rnacentral:lncRNA from 1 species
UUUGACUUAGAAGAGAUAGUUUUAUCCCAACAGUGGGAUAAAUCAUUGAGAUGCAUGGCAGUGUGAAUAUAGUAGACAAAAUCAUUGAGACACAUGGUGGUGUGAACAUAGUAAACUUUGUCAAACACAGCUAAGAUAAACAAAUUGUUUCAUUAGCCUUUAUCUUAUCUGCUGUGAUGAUUCAAAUUAAUGCUGUUUGGUAAGUUGCAAAAAACGAAAUGAGCUGACUGUUCGUAUUAUUUAGUCAGAUCUAUAGCAAUAAGUUGAAGUUCAUUGUCACAUGGGUUGGGAGUAGCGUGGGCUGUGAGUAGUAGAAUGGAUUUAUGGAGUUGAUACAAGUGCCCACAAUCUAUCAUGUCAUUCUAGGAUUAAAUGGAUUGCACAUUACUAUAAAGAUGGAGGUUAAAUUUAUAUAAUUCGGAUUGAUUGUAAAAUGGGAGGCAGAGAUGAGUUAGAAAAAGAAUGACCUGUGUCCUUUUUGAGCUGUUUCUAAAUGUCCCUGGUGUGCUUCAUGCUUAACACGUGCCUUUCCAAAUAAUUUUGCUUAACCUGUGCUUGUCUACUUCUUGUGCUAUUCUGUGCCUGGUCCUGAGCUGUGUUGGUAGAUUGACAUCCAGCUUGAACUUUUAGGUAUAUCUUUUGUACAUAAAUUCUGAAUACCCAUGGACUUAGCGUGAUAAAGUCAAGGAUCCAUUUAGCUGAGUCGUUCAAGGUUUGUUAGUAUGUCUUCGGAUUAUAAAUAUGUGACAAAAAUGAGGUGUAGAAUACAUUUAAAAAGAAAAGGAUAAAAAAAAAAGAAGAAAUGAAAAGAGGUGUUUAGAAGGAAUAGUUAAACUAGAUACACUCCCACUAAUUAGCGAUUCUGAUGAACAGUGCCCAUAGCUUCUUUUAUACCUUGAAGUUGCAGAAAUUGAUUCUUGGUGAAUUAAGUCACUUACAGACAUAACUUUUUCUUCCAUCUAAUUUUUAUUAGGUUAGAUAGGAGAAGACUUGUUUCAGGGUGUCCUGACCCUAGUAUUAGUUUUCUCGUCAGACUUUUCAAGAAAAUUUACAAUGCACACGACAUACAACUUCUAGUAAUCCUAGGACUUUGUUGACAGGGUGCUUCUAUUCCUCGUUGUGGAAAUGGGACAAACCUUUUGAUACCUUUACCAGGAUCAGUUAGUGCUGAGGAUAUGGCUAUUACUGGAGCUGGUGCACGACUUCAUGAUCAAGAUGCACCAACCCUUCCACUGUUGUAUGAUUUUGAAGAAUUAGAGGGAGAAUUGGAUUUUCUUACUCGUUUUGUGGCAGUUACCUUUUAUCCUGCUAUUUCUGGAACAAGCUCCAUGACUCUUGGUGAGGUAGAAAAUAUUUUCAUAAAAUGUUAAUUGAUGUGUCUACGCACUUUAUUCUUAAAUUAGUAUUUUAGACCAUGAGCUUUGUGGAGUGGGUUUGCUGUAACUGCUGCUGGUGACAACAUAAUUGUUAAUAUUAUUACAGAUAGAGAUUCUUGGAGUUUCUCUUCCAUGGACGGGGUAUUCAAUAAUGAAGGCCCUGGUGCUAGAUUAAUUGAGCUUGGCAAAAAGUUUCAGAAGGAAACCGAUCCAUUUUUGUCAAAUUCAGUUACAAAUACAGUUCCGUUUUCCAAUGAAAAUAUGUCAACAUCAAUGCAAACAGAAGCUGCUUCCAAUCCUUGGGUUGACCUGUUGUCUGGAGGGGACACAUUUUCUGAUCCUCUUUCAGAGCCGUUUUCUAGCCCUCUUUCCGAGCCGUUCUCUGAUCCUCUUUCUGAGCCGUUCUCUGAUCCUCUUUCUGAGCCAGUGACAAGAAAUGUUGCAUUUGGAGGGGCUGAUUUGCUUGAUUUCUUGGACCAGCCUAUAGUUGAAGAUCAUGGUGUGGAAACUUAUAAAAGAUCUUCAACACAGGAUGGCUGUUCUCUAGCUAGUGGUGCCCAGCAGUACAUAAGCUGUCUAAAAUCCCUUGCAGGGCCAUGCGAGGUAUAGUACUGCUCUCUUGUGUUUUUUGCAGCUCUACAUCUUAGCAACUUCAUCUUUUUAAAGGAGUAAAUUCUAGAAGUUCAACAAAUUUUGCUCUGCUAAAUGUAUAACUUAUUAAUCAGUGUCCUGUUAUUAUGGUUUGACACUACUGACAUAUUGUGUUGGUAUUUAUUUGUACUUCCCUUGGUUGAAUUAUUUGCUGUCUCCAUGCCAUUCGAUAUGGUGCUACUUGGUUUUUGAUCAUCCAUGACGCUAUAUAUAUGUAAAGGAUGAAUUGAUUGUUUUGGCUUGUAUUCUCACAUUUUAUGAUUGAUUGAUGGAAAGGUCUUCAUGUAUUAAAUUCAACCUCACAAGCGUAAGAUUGACAGAUUCUGGGCAAAUUUUCAGGAAAAGAAACUAGACUUCAUGGAAGCAAUGAAGCUUGAAAUUGAAUGUCCGCAGCUGAAUCUUUCUGCAGCUGAAAGGGAUAGAGCUUUAUUGUCAAUUGGAACUGAUCCUGCCUCUAUAAAUCCAAAUGUAUUGCUUGAUGAAUCUUACAUGGGAAGACUGUGUCGAGUAGCAACCACUCUUGCAUUACUUGGCCAAACUUCCCUAGAAGACAAAAUUGUUGGUGCAAUUGGCCUUGAGAAUAGUGAUGAUAGUGUUUUAGACUUCUGGAAUAUUACUAGAAUCGGAGAGAGUUGUUCUGGUGGCUGGUGGCGGGUGCAAGGUUCGUGCAGAAACUAAGGUGCCUGCUCUUGCUUCCUCAACUGCAACAUCUGUUGGAGCUUCACAAUCCCCUUUGUUGUGUUCUCAAUGUGAAAGAAAAGUUUGCAUAGUUUGUUGUGCAGGAAGAGGAGCUCUACUGUUUUCAAAUUAUAAAUCAAGGGAUGUGACCAACUACAAUGGCUUCUCAAGUCAGAGUGGAUCAAGCCAUGGAAGCCAAGUUGAUGUAUCUACCAGUCGUUCACUAACACUGGAUGGCGUUAUCUGUAAACACUGCUGCCAUGAGAUUGUGCUUGAUGCAUUGAUGUUGGACUAUGUUAGGGUCUUGAUUAGCUUGCGAAGAAGUUCCCGUGCAGACAACGCAGCAUACAAUGCUUUGAAUGAGGUUGUUGGAUCCUGCUUAAAGGAUAGUCUUUCUGAAAGGAUUCAGUCUUCCGAUAACGUGCAAGCUGCUGAAGUCCUUCACCAAUUAUGUGGUGGACAGGAAUCUCUUGCUGAAUUUCCAUUUGCUAGCGUUUUGCACUCGGUAUGUUCUUGGUUUGUAUUCAGUUCUCAUCAUGUUAUGUUUUCCUUUUAAAUUUCUUUUCUUGAUUAAAAUUUUUAGAAAUAUGUUUUAGUAUUUGUUCUUAUGAUAUAUGCCCAGAACAUUCAUCCCACUUAUCCAUGAGAAUCCUUGUCUGGUUUGAUUUUCAAUUGAGACAUUUUUGGGAACCCUGAGCAGGUUCCAUAUGCUAAUAAUCUUUGAGGUAAGGUGUUGUAGGAUGCCUUGAGAAGCUAAAAACCAAUUACAAGGAAAAGCUCUUGCAUUGUUUUGUGCAAUCUGUGUGCUAGCAAGUCAUGUCUCUAAUAAUUUCAUAGUUCGCUUGAUUGGAAUUUUUUAUUUUGAUAUGGAUUGUUUAUUCUAGAUUCCUUGCUGCCACUGUAGGUUGAAACAGCAAAAGAUUCAGCACCGAUUUUGUCACUGCUUGCUCCAUUAAAUUCUGGAUCAAGGCACUCAUAUUGGAGAGCUCCACCUAGUACUACUUCUGUUGAAUUUGUUAUUGUUCUCGGUUCUGUUUCUGAUGUCAGUGGGGUUAUCUUGCUUGUUAGUCCUUGCGGCUAUUCUGUGGCUGACACUCCGAUGGUAAGUGCCAUAUUUAUUCCCUUAUUUCCUUGUUGUUCAAUAAAUUUGGUGAUAAGCCAAGUGGCCUUAAUAAUGAAGCCCAGUACCAGGGGUGGUGGGUAAUCGAUAUUCAACUUGUGAAUAUUCCUAAGCAAACACUGAAUCAACAUAUACCUCGGCAAAAGUUCUCCAUGCUAUUAUAACAAAAGUCAUAUUUUGAAAUGAUUAAAACAGUCCCUGUGUAGUGCCAUUUCCAAAGAAAUUGCAGCUGGGGGUUUAGUUUCAUGUAGGUUAGUUUCCGAUAAUAAACUUUCCAUUUCAUUAAUUGCCGAUGGAAAAACCAAGUAAGAACAGUUUCGUUGCUCGUCAUUUAUGUAUAUUUUGGUAAACUGUAAUUUUAAAUUCUCAACGAUCUUCCCUUUGUAGGUAAGAAGAUGGUCCACUCACUUGAUAUUUAUGAUUGUAGAUCAGGUUUCUAUUGGUUUGCCUUUAUCAUUCGGAACCCAAGUUUGAUAUUAACAGAGAUCACGUCAAUAAUAUCCUAUUUGGGUAGAUGUGGGUGAGGAUUUAAAAUCAAAUUUGAAAUUGAGGGGAAAGAAGAGAAAAGGAACUACAAUAAUUAUUCUGAUGAGUUUUAAUCUCGAGAGGAGCAAUUUUCAAAUGCAAAUUUAACGGCUAGAGAAAUUGUAGCUUUUUGUCAUUAGUUAAGAGGAAAGAGAAUAAGAACUAUCCGGCCCUUUCCUUCAUGAAUGUGUGUUGAGGUUGCUGUAUUAUUUAGUCAGUAUUUGUAAUUUUCUUCCCUGCAGUGCUCUCUGCCUCCUGAAUUUGCUACUGAGUCCAUAUUUUUCUUUGAGCUGUUCCUUCCUAUUGCUGUUACAGUUACAAAUCUGGGCAAGCAAUAAGAUACACCGGGAGGAAAGGUCAUCAAGGGGAAAAUGGGAUGUCCAAUCCCUCAUCACAUCUUCUUCAGAUUUGUAUGGUCCAGAAAAGUCCGCUAGUGUUGAAAAAUUACCUAGGCAUGUACAAUUUACUUUUAAGAAUCCUGUUAGGUGCGCAUUGUUUGGAUCACAUUACGUCUUCAGAGACCUGGUUCGGCUUCAGUUAAUUUCGGGAAGGACUUCAGUCUUUUGUCUCUUGAUGAAGAUGAAAACCCCUUUGCACAAGUAGACAGACGUGCUUCAUUUGGAGGAGCAGUUGAAAAUGAACCAUGUAUUCAUGCCAAAAGAAUUCUUGUAGUCGGAAGCCAGUAAAAAGGGAGGGGCUUACCUCAUCACAGAGCUCUGAGCAGCUAAGUAUUAGAAACUGGUUGGAUAGAGCUCCACAAAUGAGUAGAUUCAAGGUAUUAGUUGCUUUCACUCUUUGUUCAUUCAUAAUUCCAGCUUUCUGCUUCACUGAUAAAACUCUUUUUUCUCUUCAGGUCCCAAUUGAGGCCGAGAGAUUGAUGGACUACGAUCUCGUCUUGGAACAGUAUCUACCUCCAGCAUCACCUUCGCUUGCCGGAUUCCGUCUAGACUCUUUCAGUGCAAUAAAACCUAGGGUUACCCAUUCACCUUCCUCAGAUUCAUUUACAUGAGAGAAAGAGUUUUGGGUUUGACUUUGAUUUUGAUUUGUAUUUGUUGUCAUUUCAUUGAAAUUUCUUUUUGUUGUAUAAAAAUCAGAAGGUAAAAGUAUUAAAUUCACUGAUGCGGUAAUAUCUGUGCUGGUUACAGGAUUUUAUGUUUAACUUGAAGUUAGUAAGCAAUGACUUAACAAUAGCACUUUGAAUUUAACGUGGAUCAUAUUGUAUUUGAAAUUAAAAAAUAAAGAGAGAGAAAUUAAUUGUUAAUUGAGUUGGACAAUUUUCCGUGGUUAAUUGCUCCCAGAAAAGAGAAGAAUGGGAUUGUGCUUCCUCACACGAAGAAAGACUCGAACGUCUUCGUGCUAAUUAAUCAAUGAAAGAUUUUGUCAAAUAUCUGGCCCUUUCUUUCUUGAAUGUCUGUGUACAAGUUGCUGUGUCAUUUAGUCAAUAUUUGCAAUUUUCUUCCCUGUAGUGCUCUCUGCUUCCUGAAUUUAUAUUAGUGAUCUGGUUUCUGAGUGCAUAUUUUUUCUUUCUCGUUGCUGCAGGUUUGUCGUUGUCAAACAGAAUCAAGUUAUAUUAUUAUUGUGAUCCUUAUGAGCUUGGAAAAUGGGCAAGCCUUUCUGGAGUUUGAUCGUUAUUUAUAUGUUAGAGAAAGAGUUCUGGGUUUGUUAAAACUCAUUAUUAUAAUUUGAAAUAUGUGUUAUUUCAGCUAAUGAUUAACACUAAAAAAAUUAUCACCCAUAUAAUUUUUUAAUUUGUGUAGGGUAAUAAUAAAAUUGAAAAUAAUUAAAAAAAUAGCACAAUAAUGAGUUUUAACAAUAAAACAAAUUAAAUGAAAAUUGAAAAUUUAGAAAAGUGUAUCUAAGAAAAUGGAUAUUUUCAGAAAUAAAAUGAAUAUAACUAAAAAUGGGGUUUUAUGAGGAGAUCAAAGGGGUGCCAAUAGUCCAACUCGUAAUUAAGAAUCUCCCAUUACAUUGUCAACCAAAAAGACACUUGCAUAAGAAAAAAAAUUUCUGUUUGAUUUUAUUUGUAGAUCCAACAUUUCUCAUAUCCUGGUCGCCUUUCCGUAUCAAAUUAAAAUAGUAUUAGCAAAAUCGUAGUGCAAAUUCAAUUAACCAACUAAUAGUCUAAGAAGCAAAGAGAGGAUUACAAGUUCACAACACCAUUACAAAGGAUUCAAAAUUCCCACACGAAAACAUCAAUGUACAGAUUAUAAACAAUCCGAAUUGGACACAAGAAAAACCCUUCAAUGGAUUGCUUGCCUUCCCAAUGCUAAAUACUGUGCAAACUGCGCAUUGGCCAAGAAAAUGUUUUCAAUUUAGUGUAUUUUCAAAAUGCUUAUUUUCUCAGAAUAUAAAAAAUGAAAAAAUAAAAAAAGAAUUCUUACAUGUUUCAUCAGCAUGAUUAAAAUCAAAGAAGAAAGCGAGACAUAAUGUCUCUGACAUAAUAAAAUUACAAAAAUUUCAAGAAAAAAAAAGGGUUAAAACAUGUAAUCUUCAGAAGCAUAUAAUAAAAGAAGACUUCCACAAGUUACUACAAUUACAUGCAGUAGAGAUUAACUGAUGCUUUGACUUAUUAGCAGGUUGCAAUGAAUUAUUAACUGAUGCUUUGACUUAUUAGUUCUGCAGCUAAGUUAAAUAAAAUAAGGUAUUUUCAAAAGCAAAAUGGAAUACAUAGACAAAACAUCAUCUUAAACAAAUCACAAUCUAGAAUUAGAGUGUUGAUUUGAGAUUCUAGAUUGUGAUUUGAUCGGCUCAUUUGUUAAGAAGUGUUGAUUUGAUCGGCUCUGCAAAUUCUCUUGGGACUCGGUUCCAAUUCCUCUUCAUCAAAACUGUAAUAUAAUUCCCCUUCAUCAGAACUCGAAUCAAAUUCACUUGCAGCAGUUCCACUCGCGCUUGGCAAAUCAUCUAAUUUCCAAACUUCGGUAGCAAAAUUGAGAGUAAAAGUGUUGGCUUUGAUCUCGCUGGGAUUUGCAUAUACUGGACAUACUCCGCAACGUUUUAUCUUCUGACCCUUUUGGACCUUUAGGUUUCGGCAACACUCAUUGAAGAACUUAAGUGAGACAGUUGUAUGAUGGUAACCAUCAGGAAAGCCAACAUUCAAGCAAGGUUUAAAACCAAGUAUGACAUGAUCUGAAUCAAUGAGGUCUUCAAUUGAGUGCGAAUCGAAACUCAGAUGAACAUGUUUGGUUUCAGAGAGAGUCUUUAUUUCUAAGUCGGAUCGACAGCCGACGUAAACAUUACGAAAACGAUCAGAAUAAAGUUGCUUAAAAUCAAGAACAGCACAAAAAGCAAACCCGAUUAAGUUUCUGCAAAAAGAGUGCGGUGGCAGUUGAAUACGUAUUGAAGAUCCUGAACUUUGAUUGCUGAACCAGUCAGGAAUUUUGCUCCCAGGUAAAACAAUUUGGGAUCGCCUGAGUUCAGAAAGUUUCUGUGAAACGACAUUUAAAAAAAGAAAAUUGUCAAAUGAAAACCAUGAUUUCAGAUAUAACAAAGAGGGACAGAGUAAACAAGAGAGGGAAUUUGAUACCUCGUCGAUUGUCUUUCCCCGUCUCAGUGAUGCUGCAAUUGCCAUACGUAGUGAAUCUGCCAAAAUCUUGUUGUUUGCUUUUCCAUCAAGUUUCAAGCAGUUAGUAAACCGAAAAUAAAUUGGUUGUGACAGUCGAUAUUCCGGAUGCCAUUCACAAAGGUCAGGAGAGGGUUUGGAUAGCUUUUCGAGUACGGAUGCAUCUAGUUCUUGUAGACAUGACGGAAUCUCUGGCAAAGAUUGAAGCCGGUUGCAGUUCGUUGCAUUUAGUGAAUGUAGACACAAUGGAAGUUCUGGUAAUGACCGAAGCAUGUUACAACCCGUCAAGUCAAGAGAUUCUAGACACAAUGGAAGUUCUGGUAAUGACUGAAGCAUCUUACAACCCUCCAAGUGAAGAGACCUCAGCUGCGACAGUUGCUUGAUACUUGCAGGUAAGCUCUCAAAGCUAUUUCCACUUAGAUUUAAUGUUGUCAGUGAGGAUAGACAGGCAAUCUCUUGUGGAAUUUCCAUUACAGCACAGUUCCUCAUAUCUAGAUGUCCCAAAUAAGCUAAACCUAAUAAAAACGAUCGAGGCAAUGAUACCAAACCUUUGCAGCGAGAGAAGUAAAGAACUCCAAGUCUGUUUGAAUAUGCAACAGAGGAUGAUGGUAGUUGACUAAUAGCUGAUCCAACUGCUGAGAUGAUAAACAAACAUUUUAAAUUGCCAAUGUUAUCCGGCAACUUAUCAAGCUUAGAGCAAUCUUCUACGAACAAUUCUUCAAGCCCCGGUAGAUUUUCAAAUGACGAUGGCAGCUCUGUAAUUGCCGUCUUGUUUAAAUUGAUGCGUUCUAAAUGUUCCAUUUUCUCCAAGAUUUCUGGGAAGCGCUCAAGGUUCACGCAGCCAUUAAGAAAAAGAUCAACCAAAGAUCUCAAUUUACAAAACCUAGUUGAAAUCCUCUUCAGCCGUUUGCAAUACUUCAAAUUCAACUUUUUAAGAUCAGUUAGGCACUCUAUUGAUGACGGAACUUCUUCUAUUGCAGACUUGCUCAAGUUUAGCGAUGUUACUUUCCCAGAAAUCAGUGGAAACUCUAUGAGAUUAACACAAUAGGAGAAAUUAAUAGUUACUGGACAAACAAAAUGAAGAUUGCUUGGAAAAGACCUAAGACUUUUGCAGCCCUCAAAAGACAACGCACUGAGAUACUUGAAAUUCUGGAUAGAUGAGGGAACACAAGCCAAGUUUGUAUAAUCCAAAAGAUAUGUUUCAACAUUUGGGGUUUCAAAUGGGCCUGGCAUCUUAAUGAAAUGUUGAGAAUGGCUGAGGUUAAUAGAUUUUAACUUGAAAGCUUCCUGCAAUAACAGAUAUAUAAAGACUAUAUUAAUUAAAAAGCAACAUUGAAUUCAACAAUUAAUUGCACGUAUAUUUAAAGAAAGAAAAAAUUAAUGUUUUAGUUUUAGUACAAAACUUACCUUUUCUCCUUCCCAAAGUUGCUCAACUUUACUACAACUCAAAUUCAGUGCAACAAGGUUCUUUGGCUUGAAAUUUGAUGGCAGUGUCCUUAAUGGAUAUGUGUCCCAAUGAAGAUAUCUCAAUUUUUUAGGAAGAUAAUCUAGGCCAUUUGGAAGCUGCACUUUAGAGUAUGAAAGAUGCUCUUCAAUGCUCAUACUUGGAAGCUUUUCAAUCCCAUAAAAUUUGAGCAAUCUCAUAUUAGACAUAUUUGUGAAGGCUCCGGGGUCUAAAUUGAUGCGUUUUAUUUUGGACAAAUCCAGAAAUAUGCCUUCAAUUGCAUCGGUCCCCUUAUUAAAAAAAAAAAAAAGAAUGAGUAAGCCUAAAACUCAAAAGAAACAUUCGUAAACUUUAUUAAUUAAGAGCUCCUUAAACAAAAAUAAAUUACGCAAUCUUUGAUUUUAUUUUUUUAAUAUAUUAAAUAUCUAUAUGCGAGAAAAGAAAAUUUUGGGGACCAUUGCAAAAUUAAACUAACUGAAAAAAAAUUCAAAAUUUCUCUAAUUUACAAACCUGUUAUCUUAAUAUCUAGAAGUUGAGAAGACAAGGCCUAUUUGAUUGGUAUAAGAUUUCGAUUUUUUUUUUUUUUAGUCCAUAGAAUCCAAAAUGUUAGUUCAAAAUUAGGGAAAAAGUCAUUUUUUUUCCACUAGCUGUAAUUGUAUCCAAGUCAAAUUGAGAUACGACCCUUUUCAAAAGGAUUUAACCAUCUUACAGCCUCCUUAAGGCACAUUUAAGCUAAAAGGAGUGAUUGGAGGCAGAACUAGGUGGGCCAAUCAGUCCAUUUUAUUAGUGACCGUUGCUUAAAAAAAAUUAUACUCUAAACCACACUUACUUUUUUGAAAAAAAAAUGUAAUUAUAUUGAAAUAAAAUCAGGUGGGCCAAUCCUCAUGGCACUCACUUUGUUCUAACACUCUUCACUAAAUUUGAAGAAAAAUAAAAUUAUACUCUUCACACUCGUAUUCAACAUUCCAAAAUUGAUAAAAUCGGGAGUUUUCUUUAAAAAUUUAAAAUUUGAAGACUUGUUCUCUUGACACCCUCAGUCAUUAAUUUUACCUAAUUAUGGUUUUUAUGAUUUUGGUUGUUUUGUUCAUAAAAAUGCUUUUACUAAAGGAUGUUCUGGUAAUAAUAAAAUUUAUAAAAAAAACAUGGGUGUGCUGAUAUAGUUGGAAAAAUAUGAGUGCAUAACUCCAAACAAAUAAAAGAUAUAUAUAUAUAUAUAUAAAUGGAGGAUUCUUACCUUAUUAUGCUUUAGUACGCGGCGGAUUUCCUUAGGAUCCCACAACCUGCUGCGUUUGCCUGGCUCUUUCUCAGAUUCUUGGCGAACAAUCUGUCGCCCCAUUUCUUGCAAUAUAUCAUGCAUCUGCAAGGAAUCACCUGAUAUUGAUAUGAGUGACUUAUCAAUAAGGACAUCCAGUCCAUCAGACUCAGAAUCAUCAAGAAUCCUUGCCAGAAAAUCUUUAUCCCCUCCCUCGAAGAAACACGCAAUAUCUAGAAAUAUGCUCUGCACCCUGGGCGUUAAUUCAUAAAAACUAAUCUUUAAUAUUUCAUAAAUAUUAUGAAUAUCAGAUUCACAAAUCCGAUUUAAGUCGUCCAAUACAUUUUCCCAAUGGCUUUUCCUCUUGAGAUACAGGGAGGAACCCAACACCUUAAGAACUAAUGGAUUGCCUUUGGCAUACUUUACAAACCUCCGUGAGUGCCGAUUGAGAUCUUCAGGACAAUGAUUUUCUUUAAAAGCGAAGUUACAAAAAUGCUCGAAAGCCUCAUCCAAUCUCAAUCCAUUGACCCUAUAUAUUUUCUCCACUCCAAAUUUUUCGAGGACUCGUUUAUCCCUGGUGGUUACAACAAUUCUACUUCCUGGACCAUAUUGAUCAAGCCCUCCAAUCAAACCCUCUAAUUGUUCAUCUUUAUUCACAUCAUCGAGUACAAUCAACACCUUCAUGCGUCGGACCCUCCCUUUAGUAAAUUGUGGAAUAUUGGGACCAGCUACUUCAAGUUUUUCACUUAAUAUUGUCGAAAGCAUUUCCUUUUGUAGGUCUUCUAGGCCACCCUCUGUUUCUGAUUUUCUCCUAACAUUUUUUGCAAAGUAUUUACCAUCAAACUCACCAGAGAAUUGAUCGAAAAUAGCUUCAGCAAGGGUAGUUUUGCCUAUACCACCCGUGCCCCAAAUUCCAACAAUUUGGACAGUAUCCCACAAAUCCAUACACAAAAAUGGUUUAAUCUGCUCAAUUCGUGAAUUUAAUCCAACUAGGCCGUUGGAUGAGUCCGUUGAGACUGUUAUUUUUUCCAACUUCUUCAAAACAUCUUCGACAAUUUUGUUUACAAGUUGCGCAUCAAGCCUAAUAUGAAGGUGCAAAGAUGCAAAAACAUUGAGUCAAAUCGGGCCAAGACAGAAACAGAGAAAAGAUGAAUUAGGAAAGAGAGUUACCUGAAUUUCGUGGAUUCAUGGCCGGCUAGAUGGGAUGUUUCUGUCAGUGCAUCCCUCCACUUCUGAACCAUUUCUGGUUUAUCUUUGAACUGUUUUUUGAGCUCAUCAAAACGGUCUCCAAAUGUUCCGUUUUGAUGCCGCACAUCAGAUGGACUUACUCCAUAGAAGACUGGAAUAAUAAUUUGGCCGUUUGUGUUCUUGCAUUCAAGAAUCUUGACAAGUUCAUUCAGGCACCAUUUUGAAGAAGCGUAGUCCUUUGAGAAAAUGACCACCGAAAUUUUUGAACCUUGGAUUGCGUACAAAAGGGCGGGUGAAAUCUCAUCUCCUCGCCUAAGCCCUUCAUCAUCAAUAAAUGUUUUGAUUUUCUUUCCUUCAUACAAUUUAUCAUAGAGAUAGCAAGUAAAGCUCUUACGAGUGUCCUCCCCUCUAAAGUUGAGGAAGACUUCAUAAUUGCCACAAGAAGAAGAGGAAGCCAUGAAGGAAAUUUUAGAAAAUUGGUGACAGAAACAGAGAAUUAAUCUUGAGAGUUGAGAGAGGAGAUGUAAGAAUGAACAUGUGUGAAGAUUCUUGCGAGUACAUAGUAAAUAAUUGAAUGGCUGGAGCUUUCUUAGUUUCCUGGAAAUUUCCUGGAGCUUUCGUAUACAUGAUUUGUCAAGUCAUGAAACAUAAUCAUGAUAAUGGGGCAGACCAAAAAGAAAAGCAACAAUUCAAAUAUUUGAUUCAACCAGUAUAAAAAGGAAGGAAAAGCAAAGAAAGGAAAUGUUGAAAGUAGAGUUAGGGAAUUAUAAAAAGCUGAAGGAAAUUGGAAUUUUGUACAAUUUCUCCAGCGAGGAACUUUCACAGUCGUUACCUCAUUGUUACAGUUUAGAUUAAGAUUUGAGGGUGCAAGCAUUUACCUAGAUUUUACCUCCGCACUAAAUUCUUAAGUUUGAAAAAUUAUGAGACCUUUAUAUUGGAAGAUAUUAUAAUCGAAUCAAAACUUAAAAUUUUAAUAUUGUUAAUCUUUAAUCUUUAAAAAAAAUUACCUUGCCGUUACAAUUUGGAUUAAGAUUUGAAUAAGCAUUUACCUAAAUUUUAUCUCCGCCUGUAAAUUCUUAUGUUUUAAAAAUUAUGAGACCUUUAUAUUGGGAGAUAUUAUAAUCGAAUCAAAAUUUUGAAUUUCAAUAUUAUUAUUCUUUUAAAAAAAUUUGAGAUAACAGAGUGAUUGAUAAUAGAGAACUUGUCUAGGCAAACACAUGCAUACACAAAAAUGUGAUGGAUUCAAAAAGAAAUUAAAGUGAUAAUGUACGUGGAUCCUUAAAACAAAAAGCGAAAUCGCUUGGUGGCCCAGUAAAAUUAAGACUGAAUAUUUUUUACACGAGAAGUCAAGCUCAUAAAUGGCAAAAGCCAUUUCAUUUCACUUUUACGCGUCAUUGACUUUUGUAACACGGUGUAUGCAUCGUCAAGUGGGGCAAAAGGGUUUCGAUUACAGUGGGAAAACAUGAACAAGAAUGCAUAAUGAAUAAUUCUUUCGAUAAAGCGAAAAUUAAACACAGAAUAAUCCUAAAAUUUAAACUCUAAUAUCUUAUAAUGUAUUGAUUAAAAAUAAUCCUAAGAGUUCCCAAUUGAAACUUUCAUAAGUAUUUUUAUUGUUUUGGAUAAACAAAUUGCACUAGGAAAACAAUUUGGCAAAUUCAGAGGAUAAUGAAAAAUAGCUAUGCUUCAAUAGGCCAAAGAUUAGAGAACAAAGAAGAAUUAGUUAUUGAUAUACGAAAGAGAAACACUCCAAAAUUUCAAGCAAAAUAUUUUCAUAUACCAUUUCGAUUUUGGAAGGGGUGUGGUUUUGAACUUCAAUAGUUUCCUCUAAAAUCAAAAGGCAGCAAUUAAGCUAGAAAGAGCAAAGAAGACUUUUUGGUACCUUAUUGAAGGUAAACAUUAUGGAACUUCCAAUGUCAUUACCUCACUGUUUAAUUUUUAUUGAGAUUUGUGCAAGCAUUUACCUAAAUCUUACCUCUGCCUGUAAAUUCAUAAGUUUUGAAAAUUAUGAGACCUUAUAUCGGGAGAUAUUAUAAUCGAACUAAAACUUAAAAUUUCUUUUCUUUUCUUUUUUUAUCAUAAAAGGGCUCUUAAGAGAGCUACGACAACACUAAGUGGGAGUGUGCAACCCCAUGAACAUCAUUAAUCAAUAUGUUUAGCGUAUUUGGAGGAAUAGAUUGAAAGCAAUGUAAACCCAAAGGAAACAAAAAGCUGUACGAAGUAAGGAAAUCUGCUGCUACAUUGGUUUCUCGGUAGAUAUGAUCCACUUUGAUCAGCCAAUCACGCCAAAGGAGUUCUUCGAUGGCCUGAAUGAGAAUAAAAUGCUCAUUGACGGGAGGGUUUUAGUUAGAGAUUAACUUCAUAACACACAUGCUGUCUACUUCCACGUAAAACUUAAAAUUUCAAUAUUAUUAUUCUUUAAAAAAAAAAUUGAGAUAUCAGAGUAAUAUCACAUAGAAAAACUUGCCCACGGACGGUAAGCCAAAUGUCUAGUCAACCACAUGCAUAAAGCUAAGUAGAACAAGAGAACAGAGAAACGCGUGGGUCCCUAAAGAAAAGGCAAGCACAUAAAUGAAAAAGCCAUUACAUUUCUAUUAACACGGUGUGGCAGCAUAUGCACAAUCAAGUGAGGCAAAAGGGAUUCGCUUAUCGUGGCAGAACAUGGACGAGGACGCGUGACGAAUAAUUCCUUCGAUAAAACGAAAAACAAACGCAGAGAAAAGAAUUUCUUAUAUGACAAGAAAUCAAAGAAAUGUGAAGGAACAUGAUGAAGAAAUUGCAGACUGAUCAAUUAUCCCCAUGGACUCCUAUAAAUUCAACCAAAAUAACAAUUCGAAUCUUACCAAAUUCUUGAGUUAAAUUUAUUCAAUGCUUUUAUUUUUUUAGAGAAAUUUUUUCCAUUGCUACUUUCCCUUUUUUGGGGAAAUUAGAACCGCGGCAUGUAUAGAAAACAUUGAGGUGUAAAGCAACAUUAAUUUCAUGGGAUAUGCGUUAUACGCAUAAUAUAUUUUCAGUCCAAAUUCAACUAUACAAAGAGGCUUGAGAACUUAAAAUUAAGCACAAACUAAACAGACGAAGUAAAUACAUGAUUAUGCAACAUAACAUUAAUUCUCUUAAUUUAUAACUGUUUUUGCCACAUGAAUCUUGCACAGUUAAUCCUAAUUGAAGACUAAAAAAGAGCAAUUGGAAGAAGGUUUUGGAAUAGAAUGGUAUACAAUCGAUAUGAUCCUUUUCCAGUAGUCAACGCUAAUUAACUGCAGUUUCUAGACUCCUAAUUAUACUAGCCAUAGAAAACUGGUGAUCAAAUUAGAUUUUGAAAGGAAAUAAUGUUCAUUUUCCCUUCGCUGCCUUUUUUUUUCUUUUCUUUUUAUAGCAAAGAAUUAUAUCAUGAAAAGAAUCAAUUUAAUCACCUUUUCCAGCAGCACAAUUUUUCUUUUAUAAAAUUUGACCACAGAGACAAAGAAGAAUUAUUCAUACCUUCAUCAGUGAGGAAAUACUUUUCGGUAUGGCUAGGGUGAGAAAAGGCUUUCCACAAACACUUGUACUUUGUAUUCCUGUAAAUUUUCUUUAAAGUCAAUAAAAACCAUAAGUUCUUUACAAUAACCACCUCUUUGAUAAAAAAGUGCCGUAUUCCUUUAGAAUUUAAAACCGGCAAAAUCGGAAUCAGUGUCUUUGAAGAGACAUAAUGGUCGUAAUUCUUUAAAUGAGUUGGCUAUGGAAAUCCUUAUCCAAGAUUCUUUUACGCCAUAUUCUUUCGUAAACCAAAAUUCAUUUUGGAAUACUCUGUUGAGAAUGUCAAAUAAAACGGCAUUGAAGGAAGUUUUCAAAGGUAGAAUCCGCACUUGUCAAAGGGAUGAUCUGCACUUGUCAAAGACACGAUCCGCGUCAAACGAAUCGACACAUUUCCUUUCGUAUUCGCAUAUGUAAUCUUUGAAAAAAUGUAGCUUCUGCAUCUAUAAAUAACGCUCAGUGUAUAAUGUUUUAUUCAAGAAAAAAAACAAGUUUCUUCAUACUCGUCGUCCGAACAUACAGAGACCGUCUCUCAUAACUUCAGCCGAAUACUUGUGAUGAUGAUCAUUUGUGAUUUCAUCAGGCAAAGGGUUGAUGGUGAAAAUUUUUGUAUGUGUGAAGAAUUGAGCUGUGGAUAUAGGGGACUUAAGUGUAAUCGAAAGAGAGUUAUUAGGUCAUAGUGCAGAUUGCAUUCAGUUUAUGGGUCGCUAUGCAGAUAAUUUGUUGACGUGGCGAAAUCUGUUAUGGUCGUUAGUAUUGUUUCUGGAAAUUUUCUAGAAACCUCAGCAUAAAAGGGGCUUUUGCAUAGCCUCUGGUGUGCGUGUGAUUUCUCUUUCGUUUCCUCAUCAAAUUCUGUAAUUCUUGCUUUGAUAAAAAGCUUGUAAUCUCUUCUGUAAUGUGUGAUCAGUGCGUAAUCAUUUUGAGCAAUAAACGCUUGUGGGUUUUUCCUUCAAACAGUGUCGUUUUGGUCAGUUUGUUAGUUUGAUCUGUUGGUGGAAUUUUCUUUGGUUAUUUGUUCUCAAAAUUCAACCGUAUAUAAAGUUUGAACUCUAAUGGCUUAUAAUGUAUUGAUUAAGAAUAAUCCUAAGAGUUCCCGAUUGAAAUUUUUAAUGACUAUUUUUAUUGUUUUGGAUAUACAAAUUGCAUUAAGAAAAAAUAUUGUCAAAUUCAGAGGAUAACGGGAAAUAAUUAUGCUUCAAAAGGCCAGAGAUUUGAGAACAAAGAAGCAUUCAUUACUGAUAUACAAAAGAGAAACACUCCAAAAUUGCAAGCAAACUAGUUUCAUAUACUGUUUGGAUUCUGGAAGGGGUGAAGUUUUGAACUUCAGUUGUUCCUCUAAAAUCAAAAGCAGCAAUUAAGCGUUCUCAAUUAGAAAUAGCAAAGAAGACUUAUUCGUACCUUACUGAAGCUAACAUUAUGGCACGGUUGUUCAUAUGUAAUGGCUGCUCUGUUAUGCUAUAUGCUCUGUUAUGCUAGCUUCUCUGUUUUUGCUUACAGUUUUGAACAUAAAUUCUUGCUCAAAUAACCCAUAAUUAAAUAACACUAAUAUGGCUCCUGAAAUCCCAUAAUAGCUAAUUACGCAACUUUCUCCUCCUCCUCAAUUAUGUCUUCCCCUGCUCGGACACUAACUUCAAAAUUCAAUGCCCCGAAAAACAACACAAGAAAUCUUUGAGUUAAAUCGUGACCAGUUUAUAUAUCGUAGCAAUUGAAAAAGAAAAAGAAGAAAAGAGUUAAUUAUUAUUCAGACCUUCACUUAUUAGGAAGUUUGUUCUGCUAUUGGGUGAGAUCAAGCUCUCAGCAUAUACUUCCACAUGAUACUUUCUAACAUUUUCUUGAAAGCCAUCAAUCAUAAAAUCUUCAUACUUUUUUCCAUCCUUUGGAUCAAUAAGUACAAAUUUCUCAUCUAAAACAGACAAAAUAAAAUCACUGUCCUUCAUGGAACAUAAUGGCUGCAAUGCCUGAACUGAAUUGGCUAAUGAAACAUAGUCUUCUUUUCUUUCUCGACAUGGAACAUAGUCUUCUUUUCUUUCUGGACAUAUGUCUCUGUACUUUUCUCUCUCUACUGAUCCACACUUUUUCAUACUUCUAACUAUCAUUUUGUUUUUUUUUUUGGUUAAGUUGUGAUUUAUUCAAUUAUUUUGUAUUUUUAAUGACAAUUAUUUAAUAUUUAGUUAGUUUUGAUAUUGAUUAGUGAUUGAAAGUGUAUUUUAGAAGACUUCCGGUCUCUUGGAAAAAGGAAAAAUGGAGACGAAGAAGAAGUGUUCUUGAUUUUUUUGUAGGCAUUAAAGUUAAACGGUUUGAAAUGAUAUUUUGUUUUAAUUUCACUCAUUAAUCUCAUUCAGGAUAAAAUUAUAAAUGCAAAUAAAUGGGGUUUCAUGAGUUUUUUUUAAUAGUGUUAAAAGGUCUACUCACUAAAUAAACAUGUUUUACCCAAACCAAUCCGAUUAAUAAAGUUAUUGGGUUGGGUUGAUCAGGUUAAAAAUCAAAAUUAAAAAUUAAAUAAAUAAAAAAGGCGUUAAAACUAUCUGUUACUUGAAAAUAAAAAGAAUUUCAAAUAGUUAGUUCUAAUGUCCCAUAUCCAAAACAUGCAUAUUAAAUAAAUAUUAUAAGUUAGAGAUAAAAUAUCCAAGAAAUAAUGAAUGAAUGAAAUACCAUAUUUUUGUUGAGAAUUAAGAGUGUGAUUUUAAUUUUGAUAUUGGAGUCUAAAGCAAUAGAUAGUACAAUGAAAUCAUGAAUGCCACAUUUAAAUAAUGUCUUUUAUAAAAUAAUAAAAAGAAGUUAAAAAUUAGGUUAGCCAUUUAGGCGUUUAGGGUUUAGCAGUUAAGGAUGAACAUAUUAUUAUUAUUGUUGUUGUUGUUGUUAUUAUAACAAUUAUUAUUUACAUAUUAAUUAAUCCAACCCAACCCAAUUAUUAACAAACUAGGAAAUAAAACCGCACUUCGUGCGGCUUUAAAAGAAAAUUAAUAUUAUUUUUUUAUUACUUUACAAUUGAUGAAACUAAUAAAAAAUAUGAAUUAUUUUUAAAAUGACGUAAUCUUAUAAAACUAAUGUUAUUUAUGAAAGUUAAUUAUUUUUUUGUUAACAUUAAAAAUAUAUAUUAAUGUGUAUAGUUAAGUGUACACAACUUUUUCAUCAAUAAAAAUUAUGUUCACAUUAAUCAACUCUCCAUUUUUCUUAGUAUUAACAGACUCUCACAUCUUACAAAGUCUGACCCUUAUUAUUCAACUAUCUUUAUCAUAGUUUAACUCAUGAAGAAAAUAGUACUCCAUGAAGCAUACAAUACUAAAAAUUUAAAUAAGUCAAAAAAUAAAAACACAAAAACAUUUCUAAAGAGAAUGUUGGUUAAAUAAUAAAAAAAACUCAAACAUAACAAAUCUUAAAUGCUUAAUAUUUAUAGAGCUUGAAGAAGCCAAAAGAUACUAAAUAAAAGGUUGCAUAAUUAAAUAUAGGAUUAUAACAUUAAAAUUAGGUCAUAAGGCAUUGGUGAGGGAAGAGGAAGGAACAUUCCUUCUUAUAUUAAUUAGUUGAUGUAUUUUAAACCACUAAAGUUUAUUUGUUGGCUUAAUAAAAUAAAUGAAUGUUUCAAAACUUAUAAUUAAUUUAUUAUUAAUGGUUAUAUAUUGUUGAAUUUAAAUAGAAAGAGAAAGAGACAUGUAAUCUUUUGUAAUCUAUUAAUUAUUUUAUAUUUUUAAUAUUUUGUAAUGUAAUUAUUUUUUAAUCUCAACCAAUAUGUUAGAUAAUAGAGAAUAUAAAAAGAUGAGAAAUAAUAAUGCCACAAAUCUUAACUACUUAAUAUUUAUAGAGUUUGAAGAAGUCAAAAGGUACUAAACAAAAGGUUGCAUAAUUAAAUAUGAGAUUAUAGCAUUAAAAUUAGACCCCACUGGCAUUAUUGAGAGAAGAUGAAGGAACAUUCCUUCCUAUAUUAAUUAAUUGAUAUAUUUAAGCUACUAAAAUUUAAUUGUUGGCAUAAUAAAAUAAAUAAAUGUUUCAAGAUUUAUAAUUAAUUAUUAUUAAUGGUUACAUAUUAUUGAAUUUAAAUAGAAAGAGGAAGAGACAUGUAAUCUUUUAUAAUCUAAUAAUUAUUUUUAUUUUUAAUAUUUUAUAAUGUAAUUAUUUUUUUAAUAUCAACUAAUUUAUUAGAUAAUAGAGAAUACAAGAAGAUGAGAAAUAGUGAUGUCACAUCACCUCCUCUAGUCCCAACUUUAUAUAUAUAUAUAUAUAUAUAUAUAAUAUUUUGUAAUGUAAUUAUUUUUUAAUCUCAGCCAAUAUAUUAGAUAAUAGAGAAUAAAAAAAGAUGAGAAAUAAUGAUACCACAAAUCUUAAAUAUUUAAUAUUUAUGGAGUUUGAAGAAGCCAAAAGGCACUAAACAAAAGAUUGAAUAAUUAAAUAUGAGAUUAUGACAUUAAAAUUAGACUCUAAUGGCAUUGUUGAGGGAAGAUGAAGGAACUUUCCUUCCUAUAUUAAUUAAUUAAUGUAUUUUAAGCCACUAAAAUUUAAUUGUUGGCAUAAUAAAAUAAAUGAAUGUUUCAAGACUUAUAAUUAAUUAUUAUUAAUGGUUACAUAUUGUUGAAUUUAAAUAGAAAGAGGAAAAGACAUGUAAUCAUUUAUAAUAUAAUAAUUAUUUUCUAUUUUCUAUUUUAAUAUUUUGUAAUGUAAUUAUUUUUUAAUUUCAACCAAUUUAUUAGAUAAUAGAGAAUAUGAAAUGAUGAGAAAUGGUGAUGCCACAUCACCUCUUGUAGUCUCAACUUUAUAUAUAUAUAUAUAUAUAUAUAUUAAUUCAUGUCUUUUAUACCACUAAAGUUUAAUUGCUAGCAUAAUAAAAUAAAUAAAUGUUUCAGAAGACUUAUAAUUAAUAUUAUUAAUGAUUACAUAUUGUUGAAUUUAAAUAGAAAGAGAAAAAAAUUACAAAGAAUAUCCACCAAUAUUUUAGAUAUUUUAGAUAAUAGAAAAUAUAAAAAGAUGAGGAAUGAUAUAUAUUAAUAAAGUUACUAUUUAUUAAAUGAGUUAAAUACAAUCAAAUUAAUUAUGAGAAGAUGAAAAGCCAAAUCUAAAAAAAAAAUCUCUAUUUAUUAGAUAAUAGAGAAUAUAUAAAGAAGUAAAAUGGUGAUGCCACAUCACCUACUCAAGUCCUAGCUUUAUAUAUACACUAGAAAAUAGAACCGCGUUUCACGCGGCUUUGAAAAAAAAUUUUAAUGUUAUCUUUUUUUUUUAUUUUGCACAUGAUGAAACUGAUAAAAAAUAUGAAUUGACUUUUUUUUAAGAUGAAGCAGCCUUAUUAAAAAAAAACUAUUAGCCAGCAAUACAAAUAAAGAAGUAAUGUAAGAUAAAAAAUAAAAUGAGAGAAUAUAUUAUAGAAUGAUUUUAUUCAUUCUAAUUGUGUGGUACAAAACAAAAAGAUGAGCUCUCAUUUUAUAGUUACAUAAUCACUCCAUGAAAUUAAUGAAAAAUUAUGGAUCAUAAUUCCUUGUGAGAUAGUGGGAGUUAUAGGGAAGCUAAAGGUUGCUAAUGGAAGAUAGUGGGGAGACUAAGAGAUAUAUGUUAUGAACAUCUACAUUUAUUUUAAUAAAUUCAUAACACUCCCCCUUUGAUGUUCAUUAUAAAAAAUAUGCCUCAUUAAAAUCUAUUAGCCAACAAUACAAAUAAAAAAGCCACACAAUAUAAAGAAUAAAAUGAGAGAAUAUAUUAUAGAGUGAUUUCAUUCAUUCCAAUUAUGUGUGUACAAAACAAAAAGAUGAGCUCUCCUUUUAUAGUUACAUAAUCACUCCAUGAAAUUAAUGAAAAAUUAUGGAUCAUAAUUCCUUGUGAGAUAGUAGAAGUUAUAGGAAAGCUAAAGGUUACUAAUGGGAGAUAGUGGAGAGAGUAAAAGAUAUAUGUUAUGAACAUCUACAUUUAUUUUAAUAAAUUCAUAACACUCCCCUUUGGAUGUUCAUUACAAAAAAUAUGUCUCAUUAAAACCUUUAUAUAAUUGUUAUUGUGUAAUAACAAUCAAAUUAAUUAUGAGAAGAUGAAAAGUCAAAUCUAAAAGAAAAUUUCUCUAUUUAUUAGAUAGAUAAUAGAGAAUAUACAAAGAUGAGAAAUAGUGAUGCCACAUCACUCUCUCAAGUCUCAACUUUAUAUAGAUAUAUAGAUUUGAAAUGAUUGACUCAAUUAAUCCACAAUAAUUCAUUCAACUCGUCUAAAUUAGAUUAUGUUGAAUUUGAUUUGCUACACCUACAUUGAGCAACAAACCUCAACGACAUUCUACGAGCUCUUUGAUUGUUUAUAAAAUUGAUUUAGAGUACAUAAAGUGUAUCGACAAUGAAAGUGCAAAACAAAUUAUUGUACAUAUUAAAAUGUGCAAAACAAUGAAUUAUAUGUACAAACGAGUGCAAACACAUUUUUCAAUAAGAAGUUAAAAGAUAUUUAUGCAUGAAAAAGCCUACGUUUGUAGUUAUUCUAAAUUUUAAAAACAAAAUUUACAUUUAGAUCCCUAAAAUUUACGUAUAAGUAUAAAAGUUUCAAAUAUUGUCUAUUAUUUUUUUAACAUGCCUAUUCCUUAUGGAUAAUUCUGUCUCAUCACUAAUGUUGUUUCUUGCUUAGAAAAAAUAAAUGUCAUCUCCUUUUACAAUUUUUAUAGCGUCUCGAAAUAGACAAUAGGGGAUUUUGAAUUUUUUAAGUCUCAAGAUAGUCUCUAAUCGUGUGAGAAAGAUUUUCUUUCAAUAAUUUGGAGCUAAACAUAACAUAUUUUUUAGACUAAAAUCUAACUCUGCUGGUUAGUAGUUGGUGGUAUCCUUUUCAAGACUUGAGUCUUUAGAUUCGAGUUUUAUAUAGUGUACAUGUGUAUUUAAUUAAUAAUUUUUUUCAAAAAAAAAAAUUACAUCAAAUACUAAUAUUCAUGACAUAAUUUAGUUCAUAAUUUUUUUAAAUACAUCGAAAAAUAUAAUUUUUUAACAACUUAUAGGCACGACAAAUUUCAAGAUAUAAAUAUCAGUCAAAAUAAAUGAAAGAAAUAAUGGUGUCAAUUCUAAUUUCUUAACUAAAUUAAUUAUUGCAUGAGCCCCGAAUACGACAUGAGAGUUUGAUGGGCUAACUUGGCACAAGAACGCGAAUAGUUAACUCAUUUAAGAAAUAAUUCAACAAAAAAUAUAAUUGAUAAGAAUUCAGUAUUGAAAUGAAUUUUUUACGAAACAUUGAAUUAAUGAUUAUUAAGCAAGAACAAUAAAAAAAUAAAAUAAAAAUAAAUAUUAACCAUUGAUAAGCUUCAACAAGAACUUAACACAACCCUCAAUCCUAAUUCAAAUCAUAAAUGUCAUUCAUAUAUUCAUUAUAAAUCAAUAACAAAGGUUAUAAAUGUUUAGAAAUUCUAGAGGGAAGGAAGCUAUCUCCGGGGAAUCAACAACUAAAUUUGAUGUAAUUGUGGCACACGAUGGAAUAUGGAAACUACACCAUAAUUUCAAAUGCCGCCAUAGACAUUGACUUAUCUACAAUAACAAUGAUCUAAUUAAAAUUAAAAUAAAGUUUAUGGGCAUUUAUUAUUUUGCCAUUUCUCAUUUGCAAACAGGGAUAUAAUUAUAAUUUUACUUAGUCAAAGCAAUCAGUAAUUUUCUUCAUUAUCGGAGUGAAGUAAAAACAUUUAGAUUUUAAUGAGUGUACGGAAAAUUUAUCUUUAAAAAUACUUUCUUAAUGUGUGUGUAUAUAUAUAUUGAAAUAUUAUGCUAUCAAAAGUUAAUUUUAGAAAUUCCAAAUCCAAUAGCUAACACAAUUCUUUAAAGAAAAAAAAAAAAAGGUUGAUAAUCAGCAAUUAGUAUUACUUUCUAAACUUACUUCAACUGGUCGUUAAUGAGGGGCCUUGGGCAAGAGUGAUGAAUGUUUAGUCGGUGCAUUUGAUUGAUAGAUAUAUAAAGGGCCGAAACUUGAGAUUAUAUUACUUUUACAAAUUUUAAUCCAAUCACAUAUUUACUGAAACACAAAAUGAGUUAGGAUACUUUAUUUAGAACCCACAUUUUAAUAAGGCUUCAUUUGAUGUAGUUUUUCAAACAGUGAUUAUUUGAGUAAAGUUUCCUCAAUAGAGUUUUUAUCAAAUAAAUUUUAUUUAUUUGGUUGUCGAUAAGAACUUUUAUUAAAAAUUAUAAAAUUAUUUAAAUAAACAUAUUUUUUUAAAAUUACAUUAUAAAAAGAAUUAAAUAAAGUUAUAAAAGUAAAAUAUAUUUUAGAUAUUUUAAUAUUUAAGAAAAAAAUUUUGAAUCUCUACUUUCAGAAGCUCAAAUUUUUAGUUUUUAGUUGUAGAGACAAAAUAUCUUAUUUAAUCUUUAAAAGUUCUGCUAAAAACAAUCAAAUAACUAUAAAAUUUUUAAUAAGAGUAUAUAAAAUUAAAUAAGCAUUUAUUAAUAAUCACUUUAGUGUACUUAUCUAAUGACCAUAAGUGUUUAUUUAAUCUCAUAAGUUCUUAUUUAAUCUCAUGAGCUCUUUUCAAUUUUUUUUGUUGUUUGCUUUUUUUAGUAGAGUUUUUGAAAAUUAAAUAAACUAUUUUGUCUCUAUUAGGAAAAACUCAAAUUUUAGGUUUUUGUGAGUAAAUGUUUAAAUUUUUUUAAAAAUAUUAAAAUAUUAAAGUAAAAGUUGUAGAGACAAAAUAUCUUAUUUAAUGUUUAAAAGUUCUGCUAAAAAUAAUCAAAUAACUACAAAAAUUUUAAUAAGAGCAUAUAAAAUUAAAUAAGCAUUUAUUAAUAGUCACUUUAGUAUACUUAUCUAAUGACCAUAAGUGUUUAUUUAAUCUAAUGAGCUCUUUUUAAUUUUGUUUGUUUGUUUUUUUAGUAGAGUUUUUGAAAAUUAAAUAAACUAUUUUGUCUCUAUUAGGAAAAACUUAAAAUUUAGGUUUUUGUGAGUAAAUGUUUAAAUUUUUUUUAAAAUAUUAAAAUAUCUUUUCUUUAUUUCAUAAUCUUAUUUCAUUCUUCACAACAUAACUUUAAAUAACUCACCUAUUAAAAUAAUUUCACAAUUUAUAAUAAAAAUUUUAAUUGACAAUCAAAUAACAAAUUUUUUUUUAUAAAAACUCUAAUAAUAAAAAUUCUACUUAAAUAAAUUAUAUUUGAAAAGGUAUACCAAACGAACCUAACAUAAAAACAAAAAUUUUUACAUCCACACAAUUAAGCUUAAAACAAUUUCAAAUGAAUUUUAGACUACUCAAAGUACAAUACGUACCAAGUUUGGUAACUUAUUGGGGUCCGCUUGUAAUACAGCUCAUGAGCUCUUUUUAAAAAAAUUUUGAAUCUCUACUUUCAGAAGCUCAAAUUUUUAGUUUUUAGUUAUAGAGACAAAAUAUCGUAUUUAAUGUUUAAAAGUUCUGCUAAAAACAAUCAAAUAAUUACAAAAAUUUUAACAAGAGCAUAUAAAAUUAAAUAAGCAUUUAUUAAUAAUCACUUUAGUGUACUUUAUCUAAUGACCAUAAGUGUUUAUUUAAUCUCAUGAGCUCUUUUUAAUUUUUUUGUUGUUUUUUUAGUAGAGUUUUUAAAAAUUAAAUAAAUUAUUUUGUCUCUACUAGGAAAAACUUAAAAUUUAGGUUUUUGUGAGUAAAUGUUUAAAUUUUUUUACAAAUAUUAAAAUAUUUUUUUCUUUAUUUCAUAAUCUUAUUUCAUUCUUCACAACAUAACUUUAAAUAACUCACCUAUUAAAAUAAUUUCACAAUUUAUAAUAAAAAUUCUAAUUGACAAUCAAAUAACAAUUUUUUUUUAAUAAAAAUUCUACUUAAAUAAAUUAUAUUUGAAAAAGUAUACUAAACAAACUUUUUUUAGACUAAUCAAAGUACAUCUUCUCAUAAAAUAAUUUCACAAUUUCUAAAAAAAACUCUAAUUGACAAUUAAGUAACAACUUUUUUUUUUUUGUAAAAACUUUAUUUAUAAAAAAUCUAAUAAUAAAAAUUCUAUUUAAAUAAAUUAUAUUUGAAAAUGUAUACUAAACCAACCUAACAUAAAAACAAAAAUUUUUACAUCCAGACAAUUAAGCUUAAAACAAUUUCAAAUGAAUUUUAGACUAAUCAAAGUACAAUACGUACCAAGUUUGGUAACUUAAUUGACAUCUUCUCAUAUAACCUUCGAUCAAGUCGAUUCUGACCUGACGACUAAUUGGUACAUCACCGUUGUUCUCUAUACUCGCAUGCAUCCGAUCACAAAUCUCACUCCAAUUGUCGUCUUUCUUCGGCGUUUUAGCGCAUCCUUCUUGAAUUUCCCGCAUUUCGUUCCCUCCUGUUACAAGUCUCCGGUCAGGUCAGUUCACUUGACGAUUAAUUCGGCAAAUCUCGAAUCUCUUCUCUAUCCCUCUCGUUUUCUCGUGUCUCCUUUCAGUUUAAGUGAUUGAAUCAAUUUUAUCGCAGUCUUAAGAGAAAUUAAGUAAUGCUCUUGGAUUUAAAAUUUUUUUGCUUUCGACUUUAGAUCUCGAAAGUCAAACUCUGCUACGAAUCCAUAGAUUCUCAAUGUUUAUAAUCUUAUUUGUGUUUGACCAGGUAACUGGAUCGUGAAAUUCGUCGUUUUGUAUCAAUUCAGGCUUUCGCGAGCUCAUGGAAUCACCUGGUGAGUUGUGGUGAAACGUUAUCGUUUCAAUUUUCGCUUAAUUCUUUAUUGCAUAUUUUUUCUCUAACAUUUCAGUUUAAUUUAGAAAAGAAAGAGGACCCAAAAAGAGAGAGAGAGAGAGAGACUCUACCAUACUCAAUUCCUUGCUCAUUCUGAUUUGGCCUGAAUGUUGGCAUUGACUAUUAUUUGUUUUCAUUUCGAUUUAAUUCUCAUUUAGACAGUCUUUACUAACGGUCAAUAAUAGUUUAAGGAAAAUGAUAAUAGGGAUUCUGCAAUAAUCUUUCUGCAUUGUUCAAGUUAGUAGACGAUGAAUAGGAUGUUUAUGUUUACCUCAUUUUGAACCCUGAGGGCUUCGUUGAGUAGUUGAUUCAACAUAUCCAGCAACGGUUGAUGUGAGAACAGGAUGCCACUUAGAUAGGCUUAAACUGAUUUUGGAGGUUUGUAUUGGUUCUAUUGUACGUCUUGCUUACAAAUUUUUUAUUUUUUAUUUUUAAUUUUGUAUAAUAUGCUCUUUGUUGGUAAAUCUCAUUUGACUUAGAAGAGAUAGUUUUAUCCCAACAGUGGGAUAAAUCAUUGAGAUGCAUGGCAGUGUGAAUAUAGUAGACAAAAUCAUUGAGACACAUGGUGGUGUGAACAUAGUAAACUUCAUGGAAGCAAUGAAGCUUGAAAUUGAACGUCUGCAGCUGAAUCUUUCUGCAGCUGAAAGGGAUAGAGCUUUAUUGUCAAUCGGAACUGAUCGUGCCUCUAUAAAUCCAAAUGUAUUGCUUGAUGAAUCUUACAUGGGAAGACUGUGUCGAGUAGCAACCACUCUUGCAUUACUUGGCCAAACUUCCCUAGAAGACAAAAUUGUUGGUGCAAUUGGCCUUGAGAAUAGUGAUGAUAGUGUUUUAGACUUCUGGAAUAUUACUAGAAUCGGAGAGAGUUGUUCUGGUGGCUGGUGGCGGGUGCAAGGUUCGUGCAGAAACUAAGGUGCCUGCUCUUGCUUCCUCAACUGCAACAUCUGUUGGAGCUUCACAAUCCCCUUUGUUGUGUUCUCAAUGUGAAAGAAAAGUUUGCAAAGUUUGUUGUGCAGGAAGAGGAGCUCUACUGUUUUCAAAUUAUAAAUCAAGGGAUGUGACCAACUACAAUGGCUUCUCAAGUCAGAGUGGAUCAAGCCAUGGAAGCCAAGUUGAUGUACCUACCAGUCGUUCACUAACACUGGAUGGCGUUGUCUGUAAACACUGCUGCCAUGAGAUUGUGCUUGAUGCAUUGAUGUUGGACCAUGUUAGGGUCUUGAUUAGCUUGCGAAGAAGUUCCCGUGCAGACAACACAGCAUACAAUGCUUUGAAUGAGGUUGUUGGAUCCUGCUUAAAGGAUAGUCUUUCUGAAAGGAUUCAGUCUUCCGAUAACGUGCAAGCUGCUGAAGUCCUUCACCAAUUAUGUGGUGGACAGGAAUCAGUUGCUGAAUUUCCAUUUGCUAGCUUUUUGCACUAGGUAUGUUCUUGGUUUGUAUUCAGUUCUCAUCAUGUUAUGUUUUCCUUUUAAAUUUCUUUUCUUGAUUAAAAUUUUUAGAAAUAUGUUUUAGUAUUUGUUCUUAUGAUAUAUGCCCAGAACAUUCAUCCCACUUAUCCAUGAGAAUCCUUGUCUGGUUUGAUUUUCAAUUGAGACAUUUUUGGGAACCCUGAGCAGGUUCCAUAUGCUAAUAAUCUUUGAGGUAAGGUGUUGUAGGAUGCCUUGAGAAGCUAAAAACCAAUUACAAGGAAAAGCUCUUGCAUUGUUUUGUGCAAUCUGUGUGCUAGCAAGUCAUGUCUCUAAUAAUUUCAUAGUUCGCUUGAUUGGAAUUUUUUAUCUUGAUAUGGAUUGUUUAUUCUAGAUUCCUUGGUGCCACUGUAGGUUGAAACAGCAAAAGAUUCAGCACCGAUUUUGUCACUGCUUGCUCCAUUAAAUUCUGGAUCAAGGCACUCAUAUUGGAGAGCUCCACCUAGUACUACUUCUGUUGAAUUUGUUAUUGUUCUCGGUUCUGUUUCUGAUGUCAGUGGGGUUAUCUUGCUUGUUAGUCCUUGCGGCUAUCUGUGGCUGACACUCCGAUGGUAAGUGCCAUAUUUAUUCCCUUAUUUCCUUGUUGUUCAAUAAAUUUGGUGAUAAGCCAAGUGGCCUUAAUAAUGAAGCCCAGUACCAGGGGUGGUGGGUAAUCGAUAUUCAACUUGUGAAUAUUCCUAAGCAAGCACGGAAUCAACAUAGACGUCGGCAAAAAUUCUCCAUGCUAUUAUAACGAAAGUCAUAUUUUGAAAUGAUUAAAAGAGUCCCUUUGUAGUGCCAUUGCCAAAGAAAUUGCAGCUGGGGGUUUAGUUUCAUGUAGGUUAGUUUCCGAUAAUAAACUUUCCAUUUCAUUAAUUGCUGAUGAAAAAACCAAGUAAGAACAGUUUCGUUGCUCGUCAUUUAUGUAUAUUUUGGUAAACUGUAAUUUUAAAUUCUCAACGAUCUUCCCUUGGUAGGUAAGAAGAUGGUCCACUCACUUUAUAUUUAUGAUUGUAGAUCAGGUUUCUAUUGGUUUGCCUUUAUCAUUGGGAACCCAAGUUUGAUAUUAACAGAGAUCACGUCAAUAAUAUCCUAUUUGGGUAGAUGUGGGUGAGGAUUUAAAAUCAAAUUUGAAAUUGGGGGAAAGAAGAGAAAAGGAACCACAAUAAUUAAACAAAAUAUUAGGAACUAUUCUGAUGAGUUUUAAUCUCGAGAGGAACAAUUUUCAAAUGCAAAUUUAACUGCUAGAGAAAUUGUAGCUUUUUGUCAUUAGUUAAGAGGAAAGAGAAUAAGAACUAUCCAGCCCUUUCCUUCAUGAAUGUGUGUUGAGGUUGCUGUAUUAUUUAGUCAGUAUUUGUAAUUUUCUUCCCUGCAGUGCUCUCUGCCUCCUGAAUUUGCUACUGAGUCCAUAUUUUUCUUUGAGCUGUUGCUUCCUAUUGCUGUUACAAGUACAAAUCUGGGCAAGCAAUAAGAUACACCGGGAGGAAAGGUCAUCAAUGGGAAAAUGGGAUGUCCAAUCCCUCAUCACAUCUUCUUCAGACUUGUAUGGUCCAGAAAAGACAGCUAGUGUUGAAAAAUUACCUAGGCAUGUAAAAUUUACUUUUAAGAAUCCUGUUAGGUGCCGCAUUGUUUGGAUCACAUUACGUCUUCAGAGACCUGGUUCGGCUUCAGUUAAUUUCGGGAAGGACUUCAGUCUUUUGUCUCUUGAUGAAGAUGAAAACCCCUUUGCGCAAGUAGACAGACGUGCUUCAUUUGGAGGAGCAGUUGAAAAUGAACCAUGUAUUCAUGCCAAAAGAAUUCUUGUAGUCGGAAGCCCAGUAAAAAGGGAGGGGCUUACCUCAUCACAGAGCUCUGAGCAGCUAAGUAUUAGAAACUGGUUGGAUAGAGCUCCACAAAUGAGUAGAUUCAAGGUAUUAGUUGCUUUCACUCUUUGUUCAUUCAUAAUUCCAGCUUUCUGCUUGAUGCCCUGCCUCUGAUAAACCUCUUUUUUUCUCUUCAGGUCCCAAUUGAGGCCAAGAGAUUGAUGGACUACGAUCUCGUCUUGGAACAAUAUCUACCUCCAGCGUCACCUUUGCUUGCCGGAUUCCAUCUAGACGCUUUCAGUGCAAUAAAACCUAGGGUUACCCAUUCACCUUCCUCAGAUUCAGAUAUCUGGGACAAAUCAGUAACAUUUUUAGAAGACAGGUACAUCUCUCAAGCUGUGUUGUAUUUACAAGUAUCCGCACUCCAGGAACCACAUAACAUGGUAACUAUUGCGGAAUAUCGACUGCCGGAGGCUAGAGCCGGAACGCCAAUGUACUUUGAUUUCCCAUGACCGAUACAGUCCCGACGAGUUUCAUUCAAGCUUCUUGGAGAUGUUACAGCAUUUGCAGAUGAACCUUCAGAACAAGAUGAUUCAGGAUUGAGAGCUCCACUUGUGGCCACAGGUUUGUCUUUGUCAAACAGAAUCAAGUUAUAUUAUUAUUGUGAUCCUUAUGAGCUCGGAAAAUGGGCAAGCCUUUCUGGAGUUUGAUCGUUAUUUAUAUGUCAGAGAAAGGGUUUUGGGUUUGAUUUUGAUUUUGAUUUGUAAUUUUUGUCAGUUUAUUGAAAUUUUUUGUUGUAUAAAAGCAGAAUGUAAAGGUAUAAAAAUUCAUUGAUGCUGCAAUGUCUGUGCUUUUGAGAAAGAAGAAUUAAUUGUCUUUUCUAUGCCAUUGGAGUUUCCCACUGCUUGUAUACUUGGGCUGUCGAAUGCUCUGUGAACCUUAAGGGCUAUAAAGUAAUUUUCAAGACUGAAGGAUUUAUUAAUCGAGUUCAAAAGAUUGUAAGUUGGUGACUGGUGAGCGUUGGCAUUUAAAAAUCAAUUGUUAUUCUCUCAAUAAUCUCUCUCUUCUCCUCGUGAAGUGUUUUCUUUUUCGAGUGAAGGUGGUUUUCCACUUGCAUACGUCGGGGGUCUUAUGAUAUGUAAUGUGUGAAAUUUCUUUCUCAUUUUACCAUAAAGAAAAAUGUUGUAAUAAUCUAAAGCUCGAGUCUUAAAUUAUCUUAAAUUUAUAUUUAGAGUGGAGCUAUUCGCAACCCUAUAUUAAAAUUACAAUUAAAAACAAUUGAAAAUUAAACACUUAUAGAUUCUUUUUACAGCAAAUUACUUAAUUCAUAAUCAAUCCUUUAAAAAAAAAAUACAUAUGUUAUUUCUUAUCUAACUAAAAUAAAUUGUACAAAUUUAGAAUAAUCUAUUGUUCUCUUUUGAUUUCUUAUUAUUUAAAUAUUUUUAUACAUAAAGUUACUUUGAAAUUAUAAUUUGAAAUAUGUGUUAUUUCAGCCAAUGAUUAACACUAAAAAAUUUAUCACCCAUAUAACUUUUUAAUUUGUGUGUAGGGUAAUAAUAAAAUCGAAAAUAAUUAAAAAAAUAGUACAAUAAUGAUUUUUAACAAUAAAACAAAUCAAAUGAAAAUUGAAAAUUUAGAAAAGUGUAUCUAAAAAAAGGAACGUUUUCAAAAAUAAAAUGAAUAUAACUAAAAAGAGAUUUUAUGAGGAGAUCACUGGGGUGCCAAUAGUCCAACUUGUAAUUAAGAAUCUCCCAUUAUAUUGUCAACCAAAAAGACACUUGAAUAAGAAGAAGAAUUUAUCAGUUUGAUUUUAUUUGUAGAUCCAACAUUUCUCAUAUCCUGAACGCCUUUUCGUAUCAAAUUAAAACAGUAGUAGCAAAAUCGUAGUAUUAAAAUCGUAGUGCACAUUCAAUUAACCAACUAAUAGUCUUUGGUAUAAGAUUUUAUAUUAGGUAGCCAAGUAGGUUGUCCAUCCCACUCAGACAUGCACGAAAGCUAAAUUCAUCAAAUGAAUUACUUAAGAAGUAUUUGAUAAUUUUGAAAUUAUCAAAAGGUGUUAUACUAUUAAAUAUUUUUAUACUUAAAAUUGUUUUGAAAUUAUAAGUUCAAAUUAAAAUAAUAGUAGCAAAAUCGUAGUGCACAUUCAAUUAACCAACUAAUAGUCUAAGAAGCAAAGAGAGGAUUACAAGUUCACAACACCAUUACAAAGGAUUCAAAAUUCCCACACGAAUACAUCAAUGUACAGAUUAUAAACAAUCCGAAUUGGACACAAGAAAAACCCUUCAAUAGAUUGCUUGCCUUCCCAAUGCUAUAUACUGUGCAAACUGCGCAUUGGCCAAGAAAAUGUUUUCAAUUUAGUGUAUUUUCAAAAUGCUUAUUUUCUCAUAGUAUAAAAAAUAAAAAAAAUAAGAAAGAAUUCUCACAUGUUUCAUCAGCAUGAUUAAAAUCAAAGAAGAAAGCGAGACAUAAUGUCUCUGACAUAAUAAAAUUACAAAAAUUUCAAGGAAAAAAAAAGGUUAAAACAUGUAAUCUUCAGAAGCAUAUAAUAAAAGAACACUUCCACAAAUUACUACAAUUUCAUGCAGUAGAGAUUGAAGAGUUGAAUUCCACUAAUUUUAAUAAUGAAAACAACAACAGAGGAUUAACUGAUGCUUUGACUUAUUAGUUCUGCAGAGCAUCUCCAAAAGCCUAUAUAAAUUUUACUCUUCAAAUACUUAUUUGCUUACCUAUGUGGCAAAUAAAAGGGUGAAAAAAUAUGAUAUUCUCCAAAAGACUCUUCAAAUAGAAAAAAGUUAAUAUUAUUUUAAUCAUAUAAUUAAUUUUUUAAAGAAAAAGUCAAUAGCAAUUAAAGCACUUCUCUCUCUUUCUUCAAUGAAAAGUAAUAAAAUAUAAAUUGAAGAGGGAGAAAUUAACUCUCCAAAUUUGAAGAGAGAGAAUUAAUUCUUAUUUAAAGAAUCUUAAUUGAAGUGUCUUUUGGAGCUUUAAAUAUUGAUGUGGCUCUUCAAAUAAGUAAUAAAAUCUUAUUUGAAGAGCCUUUAAAUAAGGUGCUUUCAAAAGCAAAAUGGAAUACAUAGAUAAAAACAUCAUCUUAAACAAAUCACAAUCUAGAAUUAGAGCAUUUUCGACAUACCUAAGGAAAACGAAUACGUGAAAACGGGUGAUUCAUUUGUUAAGGAGUGUUGAUUUGGUCGUCUCUGCAAAUUCUUUAGGGACUCGGUUCCAAUUCCUCAUCAUCAAAACUGUAAUAUAAUUCCCCUUCAUCAGAACUCGAAUCGAUGCAAUAUAAUUCCCCUUCAUCAGAACUCGAAUCAAAUUCACUUGCAGCAGUUCCACUCGCGCUUGGCAAAUCAUCCAAUUUCCAAACUUCGGUAGCAAAAUUGAGAGUAAAAGUGUUGGCUUUGAUCUCGCUGGGAUUUGCAUAUACUGGACAUACUCCGCAACGUUUUAUCUUCUGACCCUUUUGGACCUUUAUUAUGUUUCGGUAACGCUCAUUGAAGAACUUAAGUGAGACAGUUGUAUGAUGGUAACCAUCAGGAAAGCCAACAUUCAAGCAAGGUUUAAAACCAAGUAUGACAUGAUCUGAAUCAUGGGGGUCUUUAAUAGAGUCCCAAUAGAAACUCAGAUCAACAUGUUUGGUUUCAGAGAGAGUCUUUAUUUCUAAGUCGGAUCGACAGUAAACGUAAAAAUAACGAGAACGAUCAGAAUAAAGUUGCUUAAAAUCAAGAACAGCACAAAAAGCAAACCCGAUUAAGUUUCUGCAAAAAGAGUGCGGUGGCAGUUGAAUACGUAUCGAAGAUCCUGAACUUUGAUUGCUGAACCAGUCAGGAAUUUCGCUCCCAGGUAAAACAAUUUGGGAUUCCCUGAGUUCAGAAAGUUUCUGUGAAACGACAUUUAAAAAAAGAAAAUUGUAAAAUGAAAACCAUGAUUUCAGAUAUAACAAAGAGGGACAGAGUAAACAAGAGAGGGAAUUUGAUACCUCGUUGUAUGCAUUUUCAUAGCCCAGUCUCAGUGAUGCUGCAAUUGCCAUACGUAGUGAAUCUGCCAAAAUCUUGUUGUUUGCUUUUCCAUCAAGUUUCAAGCAGUUAGUAAACCCAAAAUAAAUUGGUUGUGGCGUCACAUAUUCCGGAUGCCAUUGACGAAGGUCAGGAGAGGGUUUGGAUAGCUUUUCGAGUACGGAUGCAUCUAGUUCUUGUACACAUGACGGAAUCUCUGGCAAAGAUUGAAGCCGGUUGCAGUUCAUUGCAAUUAGUGACUGUAGACACAAUGGAAGUUCAGGUAAUGACCGAAGCAUGUUACAAUCCUCCAAGUGAAGAGUUUCUAAACCCAAUGGAAGUGCUGGUAAUGACUGAAGCAUGUUACAACGCCACAAGUGAAGAGUUUCUAGACCCAAUGGAAGUUCUGGUAAUGACUGAAGUAUCUUACAAUCCCUCAAUUCAAGAAAUUUUAGGCCCAAUGGAAGUUCUGGUAAUGACUGAAGCAUAUUACAAUCCUCCAAGUAAAGAUAACUUAGCCACGACAGUUGCUUGAUACUUGCAGGUAAACUCUCAAAGUUAUUUCCAUUUAAAUUGCCAAUGUUAUCCGGCAACUUAUCAAGUACAGAGCAACCACUUACGGACAAAAGUACAAGCCCCGUUUGCAAUGCCUCAAAUCCAACUUUUCAAGAUCAGUUAGGCACUCUACUGAUGAUGGAACUUCUUCUAUUGCAGUCUGGCCCAAGUUUAGCGAUGUUACUUUCCCAGAAAUCUGUGGAAACUCUAUGAGAUUAACACAAUAGGAGAAAUCAAUAGUUACUGGACAAACAAAAUGAAGAUUGCUAGGAAAAGACCUAAGACUUUUGCAGCCCAUAAAAUCCAACCUACUGAGAUACUUGAAAUUCUGGAUAUAUGAGGGAACACAAGCCAAGUUUGUAUAAUCCAAAAGAUAUGUUUCAACAUUUGGGGUUUCUAAUGGGCCUGGCAUCUUAAUGAAAUGUCGAGAAUGGCUGAGGUUAAUAGAUUUUAACUUGAAAGCUUCCUGCAAUAACAGAUAUAUAAAGACUAUAUUAAUUAAAAAGCAACAUUGAAUUCAACAAUUAAUUGCACGUAUAUUUAAAGAAAGAAAAAAUUAAUGUUUUAGUUUUAGUACAGAACUUACCUUUUCUCCUUCCCAAAGUUGCUCAACUUUACUAAAACGCAAAUUCAGUUCAACAAGGUUCUUUGGCUUGAAAUUUGAUGGCAGUGUCCUUAAGGGAUAUGUGUCCCAAUGAAGAUAUCUCAAUUUUUUAGGAAGAUAAUCUAGGCCAUUUGGAAGCUGCACUUUAGAGUAUGAAAGUUGCUCUUCAAUGCUCAUACUUAGAAACUUUUCAAUCUCAGGUACAUAAAAUUUGAGCAAUCUUAGAUUAGACAUUUUUGUGAAGGCUCCAGGGUCUAAAUUGAUGCCUUUUAUUUUGGACAAAUCCAGAAAUAUGCCUUCAAUUGCAUCGGUCCCCUUAUUAAAAAAAAAAACAAAGAAUGAGUAACCCUAAAACAGAAAAGAAACAUUCGCAAACUUUAUUAACUAAGAACUCCUUAAACAAAAACAAAUUCUGCAAUCUUUGAUUUUAUUUUUUAAAAAUAUUAAAUAUCUAUAUAUGAGAAAAGAAAAUUUUGGGGACCAUUGCAAAAUUAAACUAACCAAAAAAAAAAUUCAAAAUUUCUCUAAUUUACAAACCUGUUAUCUUAAUAUCUAGAAGUUGAGAAGACAAGGCGUAUUUGAUUGGUAUAAGAUUUCGAUUUUUUUUUUAGUCCAUAGAAUCCAAAAUGUUUGUUCAAAAUCAGGGAAAAAAACGAAAGUUAUUUUUUUUUCCACUAGCUGUAAUUGUAUCCAAGUCAAAUUGAGAUACGACCCUUUUCGAAAGGAUUUAAUCAUCUUAUAGCCUCCUUAAGAUACAUUUAAGCUAAAAGGAGUGAUUGGAGGCAGAACUUAGUGGGCCAAUCAGUUCAUUUUAUUAGCGACUGUUGCUUAAAAAAAAUUAUACUCUAAAACACACUUACUUUUUUGAAAAAAAAUAUAAUUAUAUUUAAGUAGAACCAGGUGGGCCAAUCCUCAUGGCACUCACUUUGUUCUGACACUCUUCACUAAAUUUGAAGAAAAAUAAAAUUAUACUCUUCACACUCUUAUUCAACAUUCCAAAAUUGAUAAAAUCUGGAGUUUUCUUUAAAAUUUUAAAAUUUGAAGACUUGUUCUCUUGACACCCUCAGUCAUUAAUUUUACCUAAUUAUGGUUUUGGUUGUUUUGUUCAUAAAAAUGCUUUUACUAAAGGAUGUUCUGGUAAUGAAAAAAUUUAUAAAAAAACAAACAUGGGUGUGCUGAUAUAGUUGGAAAAAUAUGAGUGCAUAACUCCAAACAAAUAAAAGAUACAUAAAAAAAAAAAAGGAGGAUUCUUACCAUAUUAUGCUUUAGUACGCGGCGGAUUUCCUUAGGAUCCCACAACCUACUGCGUCUGCCUGGCUCUUCCUCAGAUUCUUGGCGAACAAUCUCUCGGCCCAUUUCUUGCAAUAAAUCAUGCAUUUGCAAGCAGUUAUCUGACACUGUUAUAAGUGACUUGUCCACGAGGACAUCCAGUCUGUGAGACCCAGAAUCAUCAAGUAUCCUUAACACAAAAUCUUUAUCCUCUCCCUCAAGGAAACACGCAAUAUCUAGAAACAUACUCUUCACCCUGGGCGUUAAUUCUUUAAAACUAAUCUUUAAUGUAUCAUAAAUACCAUGAAUAUCAGAUUCACAAAUCCGAUUUAAGUCGUCCAAUACAUUUUCCCAAUGGCUUUUCCCCUUGAGAUACAGGGAGGAACCCAACACUUUAAGAACUAAUGGAUUGCCAUCGGCAUACCAUACAACCCUCCAUGAGUGCCGGUAGAGAUCUUCAGGACAAUGAUUUUCUUUAACAGCGAAGUUACAAAAAUGCUCGAAAGCCUCAUCAAAUUUCAAUCCAUUGACCCUAUAUAUUUUCUCCACUCCAAAUUUUUCGAGGACUCGUUUAUCCCUGGUGGUUACAACAAUUCUACUUCCUGGACCAUAUUGAUCAAGCCCUCCAAUCAAACCCUCUAAUUGUUCAUCUUUAUUCACAUCAUCGAGUACAAUCAACACCUUCAUGCGUCGGACCCUCCCUUUAGUAAAUUGUGGAAUAUUGGGACCAGCUACUUCAAGUUUUUCACUUAAUAUUGUCGAAAGCAUUUCCUUUUGUAGGUCUUCUAGGCCACCCUCUGUUUCUGAUUUUCUCCUAACAUUUUUUGCAAAGUAUUUACCAUCAAACUCACCAGAGAAUUGAUCGAAAAUAGCUUCAGCAAGGGUAGUUUUGCCUAUACCACCCGUGCCCCAAAUUCCAACAAUAUGGACAGUAUCCCACAAAUCCAUACACAGAAAUGGUUUAAUCUGCUCAAUUCGUGAAUUUAAUCCAACUAGGCCAUUGGAUGAGUCCGUUGAGACUGUUAUUUUUUCCAACUUCUUCAAAACAUCAUCGACAAUUUUGUUUACAAGUUCCGCAUCGUGCCUAAUAUAAAGGUGCAAAGAUGCAAAAACAUUGAGUCAAAUCGGGCCAAGACAGAAACAGAGAAAAGAUGAAUUAGGAAAGAGAGUUACCUGAAUUUCGUGGAUUCAUGGCCGGCUAGAUGGGAUGUUUCUGUCAGUGCAUCCCUCCACUUCUGAACCAUUUCUGGUUUAUCUUCGAACUGUUUUUUGAGCUCAUCAAAACGGUCUCCAAAUGUUCCGUUUUGAUGCCGCACAUCAGAUGGACUUACUCCAUAGAAGACUGGAAUAAUAAUUUGGCCGUUUGUGUUCUUGCAUUCAAGAAUCUUGACAAGUUCAUUCAGGCACCAUUUUGAAGAAGCGUAGUCCUUUGAGAAAAUGACCACCGAAAUUUUUGAACCUUGGAUUGCGUUCAAAAGGGCGGGUGAAAUCUCAUCUCCUCGCCUAAGCUCUUCAUCAUCAAUAAAUGUUUUGAUUUUUUUUCCUUCAUACAAUUUAUCAUAAAGAUAGCAAGUAAAGCUCUUACGAGUGUCCUCCCCUCUAAAGUUGAGGAAGACUUCAUAAUUGCAAGAAGAAGAAGAGGAAGCCAUGAAGGAAAUUCUAGAAAUUUGAAAGUAGAUUUAGGGAAUUAUAAAAAGCUGAAGGAAAUUGGAAUUUUGUACAGUUUCUCCAGCGAGGAACUUUCACCUCCGCACUAGAUUCUUAAGUUUUGAAAAUUAUGAGACCUUUAUAUUGGAAGAUAUUAUAAUCGAAUCAAAACUUAAAAUUUUAAUAUUGUUAAUCUUUAAUCUUUAAAAAAAAAUUACCUCGCCGUUACAGUUUGGAUUAAGAUUUGAGCAAGCAUUUACCUAAAUUUUAUCUCCGCCUGUAAAUUCUUAUGUUUUAAAAAUUAUGAGACCUUUAUAUUGGGAGAUAUUAUAAUCGAAUCAAAAUUUUGAAUUUCAAUAUUAUUAUUCUUUUAAAAAAAAAAUUGAGAUAACAGAGUGAUUGAUAAUAUAGGAGAACUUGUCUAGGCAAGCACAUGCAUACACAGAAAUGUGAUGGAUUCAAAAAGAAAUUAAAGUGAUAAUGUACGUGGAUCCUUAAAAUAAAAAGCGAAAUCGCUUGGUGGCCCAGUAAAAUUAGAGAACAAAGAAGAAUUAGUUAUUGAUAUACAAAAGAGAAACACUCCAAAAUUUCAAGCAAAAAUAGUUUCAUAUACCAUUUCAAUUUUGUAAGGGGUGAGGUUUUGAAUUUCAAUAGUUUCCUCUAAAAUCAAAAGGCAACAAUUAAGUUAGAAAGAGCAAAGAAGACUUAUUAGUACCUUAUUAAAGGUAACAUUAUGGAACUUUCAAUUUCAUUACCUCACUCUUCAAUUUUUAUUGAGAUUUGUGCAAGAAUUUACCUAAAUAUUACCUAAAAUUGAGAUAUCAGAGUAAUAUCAAAUAGAAAAACUUGCCACGGUAAGCCAAAAGUCUAGUCAACCACAUGCAUAAAGCUAAAUAGAACAACUAACAAGAGAACAGAGAAACGCGUGGGUCCCUAAAAGAAAAGGCAAGCACAUAGAUGAAAAAGCCAUUACAUUUCGAUUUUACAUGUCAUUAAUUUCUGUAACACGGUGUGUGGCAGCAUAUGCACAAUCAAGUGAGGCAAAAGGGAUUCGAUUAUCGUGGCAGAACAUGAACGAGGACGCGUGAUGAAUAAUUCCUUCGAUAAAACGAAAAACAAACGCAGAGAAAAGAAUUUCUUAUAUGACAAGAAAUCAAAGAAAUCAAAGUAAUGUUUCAUUUUCCCUUCCCUACCUUUUUUUUGUUUUAUUUUUAUAGCAAAGAAUUAUAUCAUGAAAAGAAUCAAUUUAAUCACCUUUUCUAGCAGCACAAUUUUUCUUUUAUAAAAUUUGACCAGGGAGACAAAGAAUAAUUAUUCAUACCUUCAUCACUAAGGAAAUACUUUUCGGUAUGGCUAAGGUGAGAAAAGGCUUUCCACAAAAACUUGUACUUUGUAUUCCUGUAAAUUUUCUUUAAAGUCAAUAAAAACCAUAAGUUCUUUACAAUAACCAUCUCUUUGAUAAAAAAGUGCCGUAUUCCUUUAGAAUUUAAAACCGGCAAAACUGAAUCAGUGUCUUUGAAGAGACAUAAUGGUCGUAAUUCUUUAAAUGAGUUGGCUAUGGAAAUCGUUAUCCAAGAUUCUUUUACGCCAUAUUCUUUCGUAAACCAAAAUUCAUUUUGGAAUACUCUGUUGAGAAUGUCAAAUAAAACGGCAUUGAAGGAAGUUUUCAAAGGCAGAAUCUGCACUUGUCAGAUGGAUGAUCUGCACUUGUCAAAGACACAAUCCGCGUCGAACGAAUCGACACAUUUCCUUUCGUAUUCACAUAUGCAAUUUUUGAAAAAAUGUAGCUUUUACAUCUAUAAAUAACACUCAGUGUAUAAUGUUUUAUUCAAGAAAAGAAAACAAGUUUCUUCAUGGUAUCAGAGCCAUGAAUACGCUCAAGUUUCUUCAAGUUUCGCUGCUCUGUUUGUAACAAAAACAGAGAAAACCAAAAUCUUCCCACAACCAUUUUUUCCACCAUUUUCUUCCUUAAAAUCAUUCCUACCAUUAUAGAAAUCCAUGCCGAUCAAAAAACAAGCCACCCAUACGUAAAAAACUUGAGUUUACAAAUUUAUCAACAAUCUCAUAAAUUAGAUACAAAACAACGUGAUGUUAAAUCUCCAGAACUGCAGCAGUCUUAAAACGACAUGUCGUUUCUAUUCCAUCAGAACCGACAUAUCAUUUCUUUAAGCAGAGGCCAAACGACUUGUCGUUUUUUUUUUUAUCUAAAAAAGUUAUUUUUUCUUAUUUCAAUCUAGACGCCAAAAAAAAAACAAAAAAAUGGAGAAAACUCCAACUGAAUCUGAUCCUGUUGUCAUUCAAUCUGUUCAAUCUGAUGAGUAUUUAAUGUUGGAAUUAUCUUCACUGAGACAAACUACGAUAUUUGGUCUUAAAUAAUGGAGUUGCAUCUCGCAGAAAGAGAAAAACUCUCAUAUAUUUGUAGCAACACAAAGUCAUCUGAGGAAUCUUCAAAGGAAUAUGAGAAAUGGUAUAGUGAGAAUGAAAAGGUAAAAAAAUGGUUACUCAUAUCCAUGUCUCUGGAUAUCAUGAAGUGAUAUUUACGAAUUCCUACAGCCUACGAAAUAUGGGAUGCAUUAUCAAAAGCCUUCUAUGAUGGAAUCGAUGAAUUACAAGUUUUCACUCUAAACCAGAAGGCGUCUCUACCAAGAAAAAUUGACAGCCACUAUCUAAAUUCUACGGAGAAUUGAUCGAAAUAUUUUGAGAACUUGAUCACCGAGAUAAAGUGAUCAUGAAGGAUCCAGAAGAUGUUGUAAUAUACAAAAGGUCUGUUGAAAGAUUGAGAGUUCACAUUUUUCUUGUUGGGCUAGAUGAAGAAUUUAACCAAGUUCGUGGAGAAAUUCUAUGAAAAGAUAUUAUCCCAGACUUAGAAGAAUGUUAUUCUUUGAUCUGAAGAGAAGAUGUACGGCAAAACAAACUAAACAAGAAGGUCGACUCAGAAACGUUUGCUAUGAUAGCACGACAACAGCCUCAAAGGAAGCUUGUUGACAAGUCAUCACUCCAUUGCACUCAUUGUAGGAAGAAGGGUCAUAUGAAAGCACAAUAUUUUGAAAUCAUUUGAUAUCCUGACUGGUGGGAUACUUGAAAGAAAAACAUCAAGCAGGGAUAAAAAACUGCAGUAGCUGAAUCCACAUCCACUACAGAUCUUAGAAAAGAAUCUUCAGUGCAAAUCGCAACCUCUGUUAGUCCAGGUAAGGCCCUUAAAACUCUUAUACUUGUUAUUAAUAGUACAUGGAUAAUUGAUUCUGGGGCAACUGAUCAUAUGACUUUUGAUUCUCGACAAGUUUCUCAAUUGAUACCAUCUUCACAAAAACAUGUUUCCACUCCAAAUGGAACCACAACCUUAGUUAUUGGGGAAGGAUCUUUACGACUCACAUAUAAAUUAAAUUUAGACUCUGUGUUAAUUGUUCCAUCUUUAGAUUAUAAUCUUUUAUCUGUGUCUCAAUUAACCACUUACUUAUCAUGUGUUGUAAUUUUUUGGCCUGAUCAUUGUGUGUUUAAAGACAUCCAAACGAAGCAAACGAUUGGUUAUGGUAUUAGACGGGGCCACUUGUACUAUUUGGAGAUGACAUCAACAAACACUGGAAAGCUAAGCCCUGCACUAGUCGCAGAUAGUUCCAUAAAAAAAAGGAAAUCAGAAAUUUGGUUAUGGCAUAGACGUUUAGGGCAUGUGUCAUUUGGUUACUUAAAAAAAUUAUUUCCUAGUUUAUUUCUGAAAUUUGAUAUUUGUAACUUUAAAUGUGAUGUUUGUGAACUUUUAAAAAGUCAUCGAACUACUUUUCCAUUGUCCUUAAAUAAGAAUCAAGUUCCUUUUAUGGUAGUACAUUCUGAUGUAUGGGGGCCAUCGAAAGUUUCUACAAUUGGAGGUGCUCGUUGGUUUGUUACAUUUAUUGAUGAUUGUAGCAGAAUGACAUAGAUUUUUCUGAUGAAAUCGAAAGACGAAGUAAACUCUUUAUUUUAAAGAUUUCAUAAGAUGGUGACGACUCAAUUUCAGACACAAAUUCGAGUUCUACAUACUGAUAAUGGAGGCGAGUAUAUGAGCACAACAAUUCAACAGUUUCUGAAAUCACAAGGAACUGUCCAUCAAACCACUUGUGUGGGGACACCCCAACAAAAUGGCAUUGUUGAACGAAAAAACAGACAUUUACUAGAAGUUGUUCGAGCAUCACUAAUCCAGGCCCACAUGCCACUAUCUUAUUAGGGAGAAGCACUGGCAUCCGCAGCAUACUUGAUCAAUCGAACACCUUCAAGCUCCCUUGGAUUCCAGACUCUUUUCCAGGUUCUAAAUGAUGCAAUUAUGUCACCAAAUGUGCCGAAUUUACCCCCACAUGUGUUUGGCUGUGUUGCCUUCGUUCAUUUGCCGCAACAAGACAAAUUAUCUCCUCGAGCACUACGUUGUGUGUUUGUAGGGUAUGCCUUACAGCAAAAGGGAUACCGAUGAUAUGAUCCACCAUCAAGAAAAAUAUACAUCACCAUGGAUGUCGUCUUUCAUGAAGAUAUCAUAUACUACUUGUCAAAGCCUGAAUUUCAGGGGGAGUAUAAUGAAGAGGAAAUUCAUAAUCUUAUAUAUCUUCCACCUAAAGAAGAUCAAUCUUCCAUUGAGGUUGUAAACCUUCAAGAUACUGGAAAAGAAAAUGGUGGUGAUUCUCAGGCUGAGAUAAGUGAAGACACAUUUGGGGAGCAAAAUAACUUAGACACAACUGCAAUCGAGAAUGAGUCACAUGAAGAAAUACCUAACUAAUCGUCUGCAGAGGAUGUUCCUACCACAAGUCCUAGUCUAGUCAGAAGAAUUCUUCCUCAGCGUCAAAAUAGAGGUAUCCCUAAACCCACAUAUGAGCCCGACCUUUCUAGUAGAGUCAAAUACCCUAUGAUUUAUUUUGUGUCUAACCAUCGCUUGUCAGAAUCAAAUCAGUCAUUUGUGAAUCAAUUAUCUACUGUAUCUAUUCCUAAUAGUGUGCAGGAAGCCUUAAAAGACCCAAAGUGGAAAGCGACUAUGAAUGACGAAAUGUGAUCUCUUCAAAAAAAUCAAACAUGGGAACUAGUUGAUCUUCCACCUGGAAAGAAACCAGUGGGUUUCCGAUGGAUCUACACUAUAAAGUACAAAGCAGAUGGCUCUAUUGAACGAUACAAAGCAAGGCUCGUAGCUAAGGGUUACACCCAAACCUACGGGAUAGAUUAUGCCAAUAUGUUUGCACCGGUAGCAAAAAUUAAUACUAUUCGUAUCUUAUUAUCAUUAGCAGUCAACUUGGAUUGGCCAGUGUAACAGUUCGAUGUAAAGAAUGCUUUCCUCCAUGGAGACCUGUCUGAAAAAAUUUAUAUGGAUAUGCCACCAGGAUGUAGUGGACCAGAACGACUCAAUCAGAAAGUAUGCAAAUUGAAGAAAUCAUUGUAUGGGUUGAAGCAACCCCUAAGAGCAUGGUUCGGGAAAUUCACAAAGGCUAUGGUUCUUUUUGGGUAUAACCAAAGCAAUUCAGAUCAUACCUUGUUCAUUAAAAAAUGACAAGGUAAAAUCACUGCCCUCAUUUUCUAUGUGGAUGAUAUGGUAGUCAUAGGUAACGACGGGGAAGCAAGAGAGGCUCUUCAGAAGUACUUGUCGAGAGAGUUUGAGAUGAAGGAUUUAUGAGCCUUAAAAUACUUUCUUGGAAUUGAGGUUUCUCGAUCUAAGGGAGGAAUUUUCCUGUCUCAAAGGAAAUAUGCUUUAGAUCUAUUAAACGAAACGUGAAUGACAGCUUGUCAGCCUAUUGACACCCCAAUAGAAGAAGGACUGAAGUUUUGUAUUACCUCAGACUAAGUUCCAGUAGACAAAGGAAGAUAUCAAAGGCUGAUUGGAAGAUUGAUGUACUUGUCCCACACAAGGCCAGCUCUUGCUUAUGCAUUGAGUGUUGUAAGUCAGCUUAUUCAUAAUCCCGGAGAACAACACAUGAAAGCAGUAAUGCGGAUCCUAAGGUACCUGAAGUCAAAUCCAGGAAAAGGAAUCCUAUGUUCCAAAAAUGGAGAUUACAGCAACAUAGAAGUUUAUACUGAUGCAGAUUGGGCCCGGUCAGUUAGUGAUAGACGCUCUACCUCAGGAUACUUUACCUUAGUGGGAGGCAACCUUGUCACAUGCUGCUUCACUUGCUGCCAAUCCAGUUCAUCAUUCAAGAACAAAACAUAUAGAGAUUGAUGUUCACUUUGUGAGAGAUAUAAUUUCCAACGGCGGAGUGGAAGUAAGAUAUGUCCCUACUGAAUAUCAGCCUGCAAACAUCUUCACAAAAGCUCUUCCUGCUGAUAUGUUUCAACAGUUGCGAGACAAGCUACAUAUUCUUCCUAGAACAUUGCGCUUGAGGGGGCAUUAUGAAAAUAUUGUAGCAGAGCUACCAAACUUGAGUAAUACGAAUUCAAAGUUGUUAGAUGACAUGGCAGCACACUUGGCAUUCAUUGGUGUUUUGGAAAGUUAAAGUGAUCAACCUUAUCUCUUAGCUUAUCAUUAAUUCAAGCUGCACUUUUGUAUUUAUCAAGAUCAAGAUAAAGAUAACAAUUGUGCUAGGCUUGAUCUUAUUCUUGGCAUUAUCGUGUUUCCUGUAGAGCAUUAUAAAUGUAAUGAUUAUGAGAUGAAUAAAAUAACGAAAAUGUGUUUUGUUUCUUCUUUAAGCUCAUCUUUAUAAUUUAAGUUGGUAUCAGAGCAUGGCGAGCUCCAAUUCUGCGAAAUUAGUCAAUAUGAAUACUGUAAACCAAACACCACAAAUUUCUAAUUUUUUGACUCCUGUCAAAUUGGAUAGGCAAAAUUUUAUGAUAUGGAAGUCUCAAGUGCUACCUUCCAUUCGUGGUAACAAUCUUGAAAGCUUGAUCAAUGGAGCAAAACUUGUACCCACUAAAUUCUUGGUGCAAGUAGAAGAGGAUCAAACAGUAACGACUGUGGAAAAUCCAGAAUAUAUACAAUGGCUGAGACAAGAUCAGCUUUUACUUAGUUGGCUUUUGUCCACUAUGACUGAAUCAGUUUUAAGCAUAGUGGUGCAGUAUACAACCUCUUUUGAGGUUUGGAAUGCCUUGAAGACAUUGUUUGCAUCUCAGUCAAAGGCUAGAAUUUUGUAGCUCAAGAUGCAACUCCAAACCACGAAAAAGAAUGCUAUGACCAUGAGUGACUAUGUCAACAAAAUGAAAAAUUUAGCUAAUAGCCUGGCAAUGGCUGGAAAAUAUGUUACUGAAGAUGAUUUAAUUUCUUAUAUUCUUGCAGGUUUAGGAACUAAAUACGACCCUGUGGUUGUAAAUAUUACAGCAAGAACAAAUGAUUUAUCUCUGCCUGAAGUAUCCUCUCUUUUGCUCAAUCAUGAAAGUCGAAUGGAACAACUCUCAGCUGCUGCAAAUCUUGAGUCUAAAGGCAGUUUUAAUGCAAAUUUUGCAGGAGCUUCUUUUCACAAAAGGAAAGUUAUAAGAAAAGGCUUUAUGUCAGGAAGUUUAUGAGGCAAUGAACGUGGUAGAGGCAAAGGAAGAACCAAUUUUAGCCGUGGUGGAAAUAGGCCAACCUGUCAGAUAUGUGGCAAAUAUGGACAUUCAGGAUAUCAAUGUUUCUUCCGCUUUGAUCGGGGGUUCUCUGCAAGACAAGAGGCAACACAAGCAGGUCAAGCCUCUGCCUAUAUGGCACUCCCUGCUGAAGAAAUAGAUAAUGGAUGGUAUUUGGACAGCGGAGCAACACACCAUGUUACAAAUGAUUUAAACAAUCUGCAGAUUAAGUUAGAAUUUAAGGGAGGUGAGAAGCUGGUAGUAGGUAAUGGUAAAACUUUAGCAAUAUCUCACAUUGGCAGUGCACUUAUUUAUAUUCCAAACCAUGAACCAUUGUUGCUUAAUGACAUUUUAUAUGUGCCCAAAAUCACCAAGAACUUAAUUAGCAUUUCAAAAUUACUUUCUGAUAAUAAACUAAUGCUUGAUUUCUGUGACAAUGUUUGUACUCUUAAGGACAAAGUUCUGGGGAAGAAGCUGCUGCAGCGAAAAAUUGAAAGAGGCUUAUAUCGGCUACCAGUGCUUUCAAGACAAGCCAUUCUAUCUGAUUCAAAAAUUAUUUCCAAUAAAUCUUAUUAGUCUUCUCUUCCAUUUAGCUGUUUCAAUUCUAGCUCAACAAUAAGUUCUGUAAAUGAACAAGAAUUUAUUUCCAAUUCCAAGCCUAGCAGUUUUAUAAAUCUUUUGCACAGAAGGAUGAGACAUCAUCAUCUUGCUGUACUAAAACAAAUUCUACCUUUGUGUAACAAAACAAGUCAGUUAAAUAAAAAUCUCAUUCCUCAAUUCUGUGAUGCAUGUCAACAAGGAAAAAGUCAUAGGCAAACUAUCAAAGCAUCAAAUAGUAGAGCUUCAGAACCUUUAGAAUUAUUGCAUCUUGACUUGUGGGGGCCUGCACCUUUAAUGUCUAGAAAUGGCUACAAAUAUUAUUUGAGUAUUGUAGAUGACAACACACGUUUUACAUGGAUAUUUCCACUUAAAGUUAAAUUACAAGCGUUUGAAGCUUUUAAGUAUUUCAAAGUUCAAGCCGAAAAACAAUUAGGAAAGAAAAUCAAAAGUUUACAAACUGACGGUGGAGGAGAGUUUCAAGCAUUUACAAUUUUUUAAAAGAACAGGGUAUUAUUCACUGACUUUCUUGCCCACACACGCAUCAUCAAAAUGGUAGAGUGGAGCGAAAACACCAACAAAUUGUAGACACUGGUUUAACACUUUUGGCAUAGGCUGGCAUGCCACUCACUUUUUGGUGGGAUGCUUUUCAAACAUCUGUUUAUUUAAUUAAUAGAAUGCCUACUUCCAUCUUAGAAAACAAAUCACCAUUUCAAAUACUUUAUGAUGAAGAAUAGGAAUCAAUAUUAUACUAGGAUUAGUUUCCUUAUUAACUAAAGUUUAAGACUUUUAAAUUCCUUUCUAAUUUAGAAUUUUGUUUCCCUUUCAAUUUAGGAUUUUGUUUUACUUCAUGAAUUAGGAUAAUUAUUACUACUAUAAAUAGCUCCCUCUUGUAGCCUUUAAAGGCAGAGAAUUUUGAGUUUAAUAAUAUUUCAAUUUUCAAAUCUCUUUGUGAGUAUUUGAACAGUUAAUUCUCGGUAUUCUGCGAAAUCAACGAGUCUUAAAUCCCUAAGUUCGCGGUAUUCUUUUGAAUCAACAUGAAUUUAGUUGUUCUUUUAUUCUGGUAUUCUCUAGAAUCAACGGAAUAUUUUGAAUAUUAAACUUCCACUGCAUCACUUUACAAGAAAAUACCUGAUUAUUCUUUUCUAAAAGUUUUUGGAUGUGCUGUAUUUCCUCAUCUUCGAGAUUACAACAAACAUAAAUUAGAUUUUUGAUCAGAUAAAUGUAUAUUUUUAGGCUAUAGUACAGCUCAUAACGGGUAUAAGUGUCUCCACAAGUCAGGAAAAAUUUUUGUAAUGCGACAUGUUGUCUUUAAUGAAUAUGAUUUUCCUUUUAAAAGUGAUCCCUCCUUCAAAAUCUCAAAGAGUUAUCCAAAUCAUGAUUCUAGUACUCUCUUUCAGUCUCCUAUGUUUGCAGGUUUUGAAAGUCCUAGAGCCUAUAAGACUCUCUCGGUUAUUCAUGCAACAGACUCUCUACUAGAGUUGGUUCAUAACACAAUAGUUAUAGAUCAGGCAUCAAGUCAAGAUGAGGAAACCAAUUUUGAAUCCAACACCAAAAGCCCACCUGGAAAAGCCAACCUUGAAUCAAGCACUGAAAUCCAAGCAACUGAAAACACCACACAAUCUUUAUCUAUCCCCGCGUUUAUCAAUCAAGAAGCCGAUCACACAAUCUCUCAACCACCUAGUUCAACUCCUCAUUCUCAACAGCCAACACAUACACAAUCCACUCAUCCAAUGAUCACUCGUGCCAAGGCCGGCAUCUUUAAACCCAAACCUAGACUUUACCUAACAACCUCUCAUACCAAAAUAAGUGUACAUGCCAGUGUUAGUGAAGCUUUGGAAGAUCACAAUUGGCGUAAUGCUAUGACAGAAGAAAUGAAUGCUUUGGCUAGGAAUAACACACGGUGUUUAGUUCAACCUACUUCUGACAUGAAGAUUGUGGGAAAUAAAUGGGUUUUUCGGAUAAAACAAAAGGCUGAUGGUUAGAUAGAGCGAUAUAAGGCUCGGUUGGUUGCAAAAGGAUUUCAUCAGACCCCAGGAAUCGAUUUCAACGAGACUUUUAGUCCUGUUGUUAAAGUUGCAACAAUUCGAUUGGUGUUAAGUAUUGCUGUGAUGAAAAAUUAGGGUGUAAUACAACUGGAUGUGAACAACGCCUUUUUAAAUGGAGACUUAGUAGAAGAUGUUUACAUGAUGCAGCCUGAAGGCUUUAUCAACAAAGCACAACCAAAUCAUGUGUGUAAAUUGAGAAAAGCAUUGUAUGGGCUUAAGCAGGCUCCAAGAGCUUGGUUUGAAAAACUCAAGAGAGCAUUGAGUGACUGGGGUUUCACAAAUUCUAAAUUAGACACAUCACUAUUUAUUUUGCAGCAAGGAAGGGAUAUAAUAUUUGUCCUUAUUUAUGUGGACGAUAUUUUAAUAACAGGAAGUAAAGAAAGUUUGGUGCAAGAAGUUAUUGAACGACUUAAUUGUCAGUUUGCUUUAAAAGUGCUCGGACCAUUAAGCUAUUUCCUUGGUCUUGAAGCUCAUCGCACAGAGAAUGGCCUACAUCUUAGCCAACACAAAUAUAUUUGUGAUCUCUUGAAGCGCACAGAUAUGGAUGGCUGCAAGGAAACAUCUACUCCUAUGAGUGUAGUACCGAAACUUUCAGCUGAAGGUGGUAAGCAAUUUUCUGAUCCUACACUUUAUCGUAGCAUCGUUGGAGCCUUAUUAUACGUAACUAUUACUCGGCCUGAAAUUUCUUAUGCUGUUCAUCGUUUAAGUCAGUAUAUGCAAAAUCCUUUACAGCCGCAUUGGCUUGGGUGUAAAAGAAUCCUUAGAUAUUUACAAGGAACAGCUGAUUAUGGAAUUUAUUAUACUACCAAAGGAAGAAUGACGCUCACAGGCUAUACAGAUGCAGAUUGGGCAAACAAUAUUGAUGAUAGAAAAUCAACUGGAGGCUACUGUAUUUAUCUUGGCAAUAACUUAAUCUCAUGGAGUUCAAAGAAACAAAAUGCAGUAGCAAGGUCUUCAACUGAGUCAGAGUAUCAAGCACUUGCAAAUACCACAGCAGAAAUUUUAUGGCUUCAAUCUGUGCUUAAAGAGUUGCAGGUGCCACUAACUGAAAUUCCAAUUAUUUGGUGUGACAACACUGAAGCUGCUUCACUUGCUGCCAAUCCAGUUCAUCAUUCAAGAACAAAACAUAUAGAGAUUGAUGUUCACUUUGUGAGAGAUAUAAUUUCCAAAGGUGGAGUGGAAGUGAGAUAUGUCCCUACUGAAUAUCAGCCUGCAGACAUCUUCACAAAAGCUCUUCCUGGUGAUAGGUUUCAACAGUUGCGAGACAAGCUACAUAUUCUUCCCAGAACAUUGCGCUUGAGGGGGCAUCAUGAAAAUAUUGUAGUAGAGCUACCAAACUUGAGUAAUACGAAUUCAAAGUUGUUAGAUGACAUGGCAGUACACUUGGUAUUCAUUGGUGUUUUGGAAAGUUAAAGUGAUCAACCUUAUCUCUUAGCUUAUCAUUAAUUCAAGCUGCACUUUUGUAUUUAUCAAGAUCAAGAUAAAGAUUACAAUUGUGCUAGGCUUGAUCUUAUUCUUGGCAUUAUCGUGUUUCCUGUAGAGCACUAUAAAUGUAAUGAUUAUGAGAUGAAUAAAAUAACGAAAAGGUGUUUUGUUUCUUCUUUAAGCUCAUCUUUAUAAUUUAAGUAAAGGGACUUUUGCAUAGCCUCUGGUGUGUGUGUGAUUUCUCUUUCGUUUCCUCAUCAAAUUCUGUAAUUCUUGCUUCGAUAAAAAGCUUUUAAUCUCUUCUGUAGUGUGUGAUCAGUGCGUAAUCAUUUUGAGCAAUAACAGCUUGUGGGUUUUUCCUUCAAACAGUGUCGUUUUGGUCAGUUUGUUAGUUUCUGUGUUCGUCUGAUUCCAUUGCUCUUGUUCUCUGUUCUUGAUCUGUUCGUGGAAUUUUUCUUUGGUUAUUUGUUCUCAAAUUUCAACUGUAUAUAAAGUUUGAACUCUGAUUGCUUAUAAUGUAUUGAUUAAGAAUAAUCCUAAGAGUUCCCGAUUGAAAUUUUUAAUGACUAUUUUUAUUGUUUUGGAUAUACAAAUUGAAUUAAGAAAAAAUAUUGUCAAAUUCAGAGGAUAAGGGGAAAUAAUUAUGCUUCAAAAGGCCAGAGAUUAGAGAAUAAAGAAGCAUUCAUUACUCUAUCAAAAAAAAAAAAAAAAAAAAAGCAUUCAUUACUGAUAUACAAACUGCUUUUAUUUGGAUUUUGGAAGGGGUGAAGUUUUGAACUUCAGUUGUUCCUCUAAAAUCAAAAGCAGCAAUUAAGCGUUCUCAAUUAGAAAGAGCUAAGAAGACUUAUUGGUACCUUACUGAAGCUAACAUUAUGGCACAGUUGUUCAUAUAUAAUGGCUGCUCUGUUAUGCUAGCUUCUCUGUUUUUGCUUCUAUUUUUGCUUACAGUUUUGAACAUAAAUUCUUGCUCAAAUAACCCAUAAUUAAAUAACACUAAUAUGGCUCGUGAAAUCCCAUAAUAGCUAAUUACGCAACUUUCUCCUCCUCCUCAAUUCUGUCUUCCCCUGCUCGUACACUAAAUUCAAAAUUCAAUGCCCCGAAAAACAACACAAGAAAUCUUUGAGUUAAUUCGCGACCAGUUUAUAUAUAGUAGCAAUUGAAAAAGGAAAAAGAAUAAAAGAGUUCAUUAUUAUUCAGACCUUCACUUAUUAGGAAGUUUGUUCUGCUGUUGGGUGAGAUCAAGCUCUCAGCAUAUACUUCCACAUUAUACUUUCUAACAUUUUCUUGAAAGCCAUCAAUCAUAAAAUCUUCAUACUUUUUUCCAUCCUUUGGAUCAAUAAGUACAAAUUUCUCAUCUAAAACAGACAAAAUAAAAUCACUGUCCUUCAUGGAACAUAAUGGCUGCAAUGCCUGAACUGAAUUGGCUAAUGAAAUUUGAGUCCAGGAUUCUCUCAGCCCAUAUUCUUUCAUAAUCCAAAAUUCUUUUCUUUCUCGACAUGGAACAUAGUCUUCUUUUCUUUCUGGACAUAUGUCUCUGUACUUUUCUCUCUCUACUGAUCCACACUUUUUCAUACUUCUAACUAUCAUUUUGUUUUUUUUUUGUUAAGUUGUGAUUUAUUCAAUUAUUUUGUAUUUUUAAUGAAAAUUAUUUAAUAUUUAGUUAGUUUUGAUAUUGAUUAGUGAUUGAAAGUGUAUUUUAGAAGACUUCCGGUCUCUUGGAAAAAGGAAAAAUGGAGACGAAGAAGAAGUGUUCUUGAUUUUUUUGUAGGCAUUAAAGUUAAACGGUUUGAAAUGAUAUUUUGUUUUAAUUUCACUCAUUAAUCUCAUUCAGGAUAAAAUUAUAAAUGCAAAUAAAUGGGGUUUCAUGAGUUUUUUUUAAUAGUGUUAAAAGGUCUACUCACUAAAUAAAUAUGUUUAACCCAAACCAAUGCGAUUAGUAAGUUAUUGGGUUGGGUUGAUCAGGUUAAAAAUUAAAAUUAAAAAUUAAAUAAUUAAAAAAGGCAUAAAAACUAUCUGUUACUUGAAAAUAAAAAGAAUUUCUAAUAGUUAGUUCUAAUGUCCCAUAUCCAAAACAUCCAUAUUAAAUAAAUAUUAUAAGUUAGAAAUACAAUAUCCAAGAAAGAAUGAAUGAAAUACCAUAUUUUUGUUGAGAAUUAAGAGUGUGAUUUUAAUUUUGAUAUUGGAGUCUAAAGUGCCACGUUUAAAUAAUCUCUUUUAUAAAAUAAUAAAAAGAGAUUAAAAAUUAGGUUAGCCAUUUAGGCAUUCAGGGUUUAGCAAUUAAGGAUGAACAUAUUAUUGUUGUUGUUUUUUGUUGUUGUUGUUGUUGUUGUUGUUGUUAUUAUUAUUAUUUAUAUGUUUACUAAUCCAAUUUACGUAUAAGUACAAAAGUUUCAAAUAUUGUCUAUUAUUUUUUUAACAUGCCUAUUCCUUGUGGAUAAUUCUGUCUCAUCACUAAUGUUGUUUCUUGCUUACAAUUUGUAUAGCGUCUCAAAAUAGACAAUAGGGGGAUUUUGAAUUUUUUAAGUCUCAAUAUAGUCUCUUAUCUUGUGAGACAGAUUUUCUUUCAAUAAUUUGGAGGUAAACAUAACAUAACUUUUUGGACUAAAGCCUAGCUCUGCUAAUUAGUAAUUGGUGGUAUCCUUUUCAAGACCUGAGUCUUUAAAUUCGAGUUUUAUAUAGUGCGCAUGUGUAUUUAAUUAAUAUUUUUUUAAAAAAAUUACAUCAAAUACUAAUAUUCAUGACAUAAUUUAGUUCAUAAUGUUUUUUUAAAUACAUCGAAAAUAUAAUUUUUUAACAACUUAUAGGCAUGACAAAUUUCAAGAUAUAAAUAUCAGUCAAAAUAAGUGAAAGAAAUAAUGGUGCCAAUUCUAAUUUCUUAACUAAAUUAAUUACUGCAUGAGCCCCCAAUACGGCACGAGAGUUUGAUGGGCUAACUUGGCACAAGAACAAUAGUUAAUUGAUUUAAGAAAUAAUUCAAUGAAAAAUAUAAUUGAUAAGAAUUUAGUAUUGAAAUGAGUUUUUUUCGAAACACUGAAUUAAUGAUUAUUAAGCAAGAACAAUAAAAAAAAUAAAAUAAAAAAUAAAGAUUAACCAUUGAUAAGCUUCAACAAGAACUUAACACAACCCUCAAUCCUAAUUCAAAUUAUAAAUGUCAUUCAUAUAUUCAUUAUAAAUCAAUAACAAAGGUUAUAAAUGUUUAGAAAUUCUAGAGGGAAGGAAGCUAUCGCCGGGCAAUCAACAACUAAAUUUGAUGUAAUUGUGGCACAAGAUGGAAUAUGAAAACUACACCAUAAUUUCAAAUGCCGCCAUAGACAUUGACUUAUCUACAGUAACAAUGAUCUAAUUAAAAUUAAAAUAAAGUUUAUGGGCAUUUAUUAUAUUUGCCAUUCCUCAUUUGCAAAUAGGGAUAUAAUUAUAAUUUUACUUAGUCAAAGCAAUCAGUAAUUUUUAGGGGUGUUCAAAAUUCAAUCCGAUCCGCUCAAUCCGUCUGAUCCGUAGAAAUCCGAUCCGUAAAAAUCUGAUCUGUGGAUUGGUAGAUUGGAUUGAAUUGAAAAUUUGAUAAUCCGCAAUCGGUGGAUUGGGUAUGGAUCUACUUCUGUAAAUUCGUAAAAAUCCGUGAAUCGGCAAAAAAUAAAAAGUAUUUAUUUAUUAAAAAAUAAAACUUGUAAAUAUGGCAAUAGUACUUACUAGUAAAUAAAUAAGUUAAAAUAUAGUUACAUUAACACUAUAUUAUAUCUUAUCCGAUAAUAAUAAAAAAUAAAAAAUAAUUAAAUAAACAAAUAUAACUUUCUAAAUAGUUAAUUUUCAUGUACUGAUCUAAACGAAUGAGAUUUUUUUUUUUUCAUUUUGGUGUGUUAUGUUUUGAACUUUAAAUGUAAUUUUUAGUUUUAUUUAAACAAGUAAUUUAUUUAAAUCUUAUUUAAUUUUAAAUUUGAUCGGCAAUAAAAUUAUUUAUAUUAAUUUUUUUUUAUUUAGUUAGUUCGUAGAUUGGACAGUAUUAAAAAUUUUCAGUCCGUAAACCAAUUCGCAAAAUGGUGGAUUGGAUAUGGAUUGGGUCAAAUCCGCAUCCAAUCCGCAGAUGUAUGAAUUGAAUUUCACCAAUCCAUGAAUUGGAUUGGAUUAAAAAUUUAUAAUCCGCAAAAUCGUGGAUCAGAUAUGGAUUGAGGUCCAAUCCGUAAAAUUUGAUCCGGAAACACCCCUAGUAAUUUUCUUCAUUAUAGGAGUGAAGUAAAAACAUUUAGAUUUUAAUGUAUGUACGGAAAAAUUUAUCUUUAAAAAUACUUUCUUAAUGUGUGUAUAUAUAUUGAAAUACUCAAACCAAUUUUGGUUAUUAUAUAAUUAAACAAAUUUUAAAAUAUGAAAAAUAUAAUGUAGUUAUAGUGGAUAAACAAUAAGUGAGCGCAAUAUAAUUAAUCAAAUAUCAUGCCAUCAAAAGUUAAUUUUAGAAAUUCCAAAUCCAACAGCCAACACAAUUCUUUUAAAAAAAAGCUGACACAAUUAAUAAAAUUAGUGACAUGAAUUUCACACCAUUGAUAAUAAGCAAUUAGUAUUACUUUCUAAACUUGCUUCAACUGGUCGUUGAUGUCCGGGGUCACCAAAAGUAUAAGCAAUAAUAAGGGGCAUUGGGCAAGAGUGAUGAAUGUUUAGUCGGUGCAUUUGAUUGCUAGAUAUAUAAAGGGCCGAAACUUGAGAUUAUAUUACUUUUACAAAUUUUAAUCCAAUCACAUAUUUAAUGAAAACAAAAUGAGUUAGGAUACUUUAUUUAGAACCCACAUUUUAAUAAGGCUUCAUUUGAUGUAGUUUUUUAAACAGUGAUUAUUUAAGUAAAUUUUCCUCAAUAGAGUUUUUAUCAAACAAAUUUAUUUAUUUAGUUGUCGAUAAGAGUUUUUAUUAAAAAUUAUAAAAUUAUUUAAAUAAACAUGUUUUUUAAAAUUACAUUAUAAAAAUAAUUAAAUAAAAUUAUAAAAGUAAAAUAUAUUUUAGAUAUUUUAAUAUUUAAGAAAAAUUUUCAAUCUCUACUUUCAAAAGCUCAAAUUUUUAGCUUUUAGUUGUAGAGACAAAAUAUUUUAUUUAAUCUUUAAAAGUUAUGCUAAAAACAAUCAAAUAACUACAAAAAUUUUAAUAAGAGUAUAUAAAAUUAAAUGGUAAUUUUUAAAAACCUCCCCUGAGGUUUGGGCUUGUUGCAAGUAGAUGGCGAGAAUCCAUUUAUUUGUAACAAACCCCCUACCGUCAGUUAAUUUUUGCAUUAACCGUUAGUUGACUGUGCAAAGACAAUAUUGUCCCUAAUGACAGUUUGUAGACUGACAUAGCUAAAAAAAAUGCUGAGAUUGUCGGCACGAAAAUCACAAAUAAUUUUUUUUUGACAAUUUUGUCCUUGUUAAUUCCAAGAUUUACAAUGUCAUAAGUAAGGAUUAUGACUAUUUUACCCUCUUAAAAUUAUUGAUAAUUCCUUAAAAUUUCUACAAAAAAGAUAAAAUUAAAAACUUGAAGAAAAAUAAAGUUCUCAAGCCGGCUAACCAAACACAUAGAAUAAAAAAUCCAUCGUUUGACAACAAAAACAACUUUCCAUAAACCCAAACAAAAAUAAACAAGUCCCCAUUACUCUAAUUGGCUUUGCUUGGAGCUGUUACUAUUGUGCAUACAUUUCUAGGCAAAGCAAAAUGACCCCAUGAUAUAAACCUUAUAAAACAUGCCUCCACUAUUCUUAAUUUUGGUAUAAUAAUAAUAAUAAUCACAAAAAAUUAAUUGAAAACUUGACUAAUUAUCUUUGGUGGAGAAUUUUAAACCGAAACCGAUUCAGGAACCUUAAAUUGAUCAAAAGGAAGCUAAUAAUGACAAAAAAGUAACCGAUCAAAAAUCAUUAAGCAUAAAAAAAUAUUGAAUUUAAAUAACUAAAAAUGCCAUCGGAAAUUGAAAUUAAUUAUUUAACAUAUAGCAUGAAAACAAAUCUUCACUAUUGGUGCUAGGCGGCUGUCGUUUAGCUUGGUUCUAAGAGGUGGCAGUCAGUCAACUUCGAGACGGUGCGUUCGAAGUCAACUAAGCUGCAGCAGAGGUUGCAGGGGGCAGAUUGCAGCGAAGUCGCGGUGGAGCAGAGGUCGCGUCGCGGUGGAGAAGAGGUCGCGUUGCGCUGGCUUGGCUUCACGGUGGUGGGAUGGCUGGGCGGGCUGGCCAGCUGUGUGCGCAUUGUAUAUGAUUGUUUUUCACUUUUUUAAUAUUUUCUUGUGCAUUAGUUCAGAUUAGAUUAGUGAGUUUGUGUGUGUGUUUGCAGUUGAUUUGGUUAAGAUAUUUAGGUUAAAAUAAUUUUUUUUAAUAAAUUUUUUUUUUCAAAAUGUCAACAAUGCCCACAACUACCCAAAUGGCAACUAAGCAGAGUAAAAACGUAGGGGUUUUUUUUUAUAAAUAAAUAGAUUCUCGUCAUCUAUUUGCAACAAACUCAAAUCUCGGGGGAGGUUUUUAAAAAUUACCCUAAAAUUAAAUAAGCAUUUAUUAAUAAUCACUUUGGUAUACUUAUCUAAUGACCAUAAGUGUUUAUUUAAUCUCAUAAGUUCUUAUUUAAUCUCAUGAGCUCUUUUCAAUUUUUUUUGUUGUUUGUUUUUUAGUAGAGUUUUUGAAAAUUAAAUAAACUAUUUUGUCUCUACUAGAAAAAACUCAAAUUUUAGAUUUUUGUGAGUAAAUGUUUAAUUUUUUAAAAAAAUAUUAAAAUAUCUAAGAUAUCUUUCCUUUAUUUCAUAAUCUUAUUUCAUUUUUUCAUAACAUAACUUUCAAUAACUUACCUAUUAAAAUAAUUUCACAAUUUCUAAUAAAAACUCUAAUUGACAAUUAACAAUUUUUUUUUGUUUGUAAAAACUCUAUUUAUAAAAAAUCUAAUAAAAAUUCUAUUUAAAUAAAUUAUAUUUGAAAAGGUGUACUAAACCAACCUAAGAUAAAAACAAAAAUUUUUACAUCCAGACAAUUAAGCUUAAAACAAUUUCAAAUGAAUUUUAGACUAAUCAAAGUACAAUACGUACCAAGUUUGGUAACUUAUUGACAUCUUCUCAUAUAACCUUCGAUCAAGUCGAUUCUCACCUGACGACUAAUUGGUACAUCACCGUUGUUCUCUAUACUCGCAUGCAUCCGAUCACAAAUCUCACUCCAAUUGUCGUCUUUCUUCGGCGUUUUAGCACAUCCUUCUUGAAUUUCCCGCAUUUCGUUCCCUCCUGUUACAAGUCUCCGGUCAGGUCAGUUCUCUUGACGAUUAAUUCGGCAAAUCUCGAAUCUCUUCUCGCGUCGUUUCACUUCAAUUUUUUGUGUCUCCUUUCAGUUUUAGUGAUUGAAUCAAUUUUAUUGCAGUCUGAGAGAAAUUAAGUAAUGCUCUUGGAUUUAAAUUUUUUUUGCUUUCGACUUUAGAUCUCGAAAGUCAAACUCUGCUACGAAUCCUUAGAUUCUCAAUGUUUAUAAUCUUAUUUGUGUUUGACCAGGUAACUGGAUCGUGAAAUUCGUCGUUUUGUAUCAAUUCAAGCUUUCGCGAGCUCAUGGAAUCACCUGGUGAGUUGUGGUGAAACGUUAUCGUUUCAAUUUUCGCUUAAUUCUUUAUUGCAUAUUUUUUCUCUAACAUUUCAGUUUAAUUUAGAAAAGAAAGAGGACCCAAAAAGAGAGAGAGAGAGAGAGACUCUACCAUACUCAAUUCCUUGCUCAUUCUGAUUUGGCCUGAAUGUUGGCAUUGACUAUUAUUUGUUUUCAUUUCGAUUUAAUUCUCAUUUAGACAGUCUUUACUAACGGUCAAUAAUAGUUUAAGGAAAAUGAUAAUAGGGAUUCUGCAAUAAUCUUUUUAAGGAAAAUGAUAAUAGGGAUUCUGCAAUAAUCUUUUUAAGGGAUGUAUAACUUAUUAAUCAGAGUCCUGUUAUUAUGGUUUGACACUACUGACAUAUUGUGUUGGUAUUUAUUUGUACUUCCCUUGGUUGAAUUAUUUGCUGUCCCCAUGCCAUUCGAUAUGGUGCUACUUGGUUUUUGAUCAUCCAUGACGCUAUAUAUAUGUAAAGGAUGAAUUGAUUGUUUUGGCUUGUAUUCUCACAUUUUAUGAUUGAUCGAUGGAAAGGUCUUCAUGUAUUAAAUUCAACCUCACAAGCGUAAGAUUGACAGAUUCUGGGCAAAUUUUCAGGAAAAGAAACUAGACUUCAUGGAAGCAAUGAAGCUUGAAAUUGAACGUCUGCAGCUGAAAGGGAUAGAGCUUUAUUGUCAAUUGGAACUGAUCCUGCCUCUAUAAAUCCAAAUGUAUUGCUUGAUGAAUCUUACAUGGGAAGACUGUCGAGUAGCAACCACUCUUGCAUUACUUGGCCAAACUUCCCUAGAAGACAAAAUUGUUGGUGCAAUGGCCUUGAGAAUAGUGAUGAUAGUGUUUUAGACUUCUGGAAUAUUACUAGAAUCGGAGAGAGUUGUUCUGGUGGCGCGUGCAAGGUUCGUGCAGAAACUAAGGUGCCUGCUCUUGCUUCCUCAACUGCAGCAUCUGUUGGAGCUUCACAAUCCCCUUUGUUGUGUUCUCUGUUGUGUUCUCUGUUGUGUUCUCAAUGUGAAAGAAAAGUUUGCAAAGUUUGUUGUGCAGGAAGAGGAGCUCUACUGUUUUCAAAUUAUAAAUCAAGGGAUGUGACCAACUACAAUGGCUUCUCAAGUCAGAGUGGAUCAAGCCAUGGAAGCCAAGUUGAUGUAUCUACCAGUCGUUCACUAACACUGGAUGGCGUUAUCUGUAAACACUGCUGCCAUGAGAUUGUGCUUGAUACAAGUUCACAACACCAUUACAAAGGAUUCAAAAUUCCCACACGAAAACAUCAAUGUACAGAUUAUAAACAAUCCGAAUUGGACACAAGAAAAACCCUUCAAUGGAUUGCUUGCCUUCCCAAUGCUAUAUACUGUGCAAACUGCGCACUGUCCAAGAAAAUGUUUUCAAUUUAGUGUAUUUUCAAAAUGCUUAUUUUCUCAGAAUAUAUAAAAAAAAAAAAAGAAUUCUUACAUGUUUCAUCAGCAUGAUUAAAAUCAAAGAAGAAAGCGAGACAUAAUGUCUCUGACAUAAUAAAAUUACAAAAAUUUAAAAAAAAAAAAGUUAAAACAUGUAAUCUUCAUAAGCAUAUAAUAAAAUAACACUUCCACAAAUUACUACAAUUUCAUGCAGUAGAGAUUGAAGAGUUGAAUUCCACUUAUAGACACCGACCUCUUAUUUUGUCUAAUGUUAACAAUGAAAAUAACAACAGUAAUGAAAACAACAACAGAAUACAACAACAGAAAACAACAAUCCGCUCUGCAAAUUCUCUUGGGACUUGGUUCCAAUUCCUCUUCAUCCGAAGUUCCACUCGAAUCAAAUUCACUUGCAGCAGUUCCACUCGCGCUUGGCAAAUCAUCCAAUUUCCAAACUUCGGUAGCAAAAUUGAGAGUAAAAGUGUUGGCUUUGGUCUCGCUGGGAUUUGCAUAUACUGGACAUACUCCGUAACGUUUUACCUUGUGACCCUUUUGGUUUUGGUAACAAUUAUUGAAGAACUUAAGUGAGACAGUUGUAUGAUGGUAACCAUCAGGAAAGCCAACAUUCAAGCAAGGUUUAAAACCAAGUAUGACAUGAUCUGAAUCAAGGGAGUAUUUAUUUCUAACACUUGUGGUUGCGGGCCCACUGAAACCUAGAUCAACAUGUUUGGUUUCAGAGAGAGUCUUUAUUUCUAAGUCGAGUUGAGAGCGGCCGAAAACAUUGCAGCAAUAACAAGAACCAACUUUCUUAAAAUUAAGAACCGCACAAAAAGCAAACCCGAUUAAGUUUCUGCAAGAAGAGUGCGGUGGCAGUUGAAUACCUAUCGAAGAUCCUGAACUUUGAUUGUUGAACCAGUCAGGAAUUUCGCUCCCAGGUAAAACAAUUAGGGAUGUCCUGAGUUCAGAAAGUUUCUGUGAAAUGACAUUUAAAAAAAGAAAAUUGUAAAAUGAAAACCAUGAUUUCAGAUAUAACAAAGAGGGACAGAGUAAACAAGAGAGGGAACUUGAUGCGUUCUAAAUGUUCCAUUUUCUCCAAGAUUUCUGGGAAACGCUCAAGGUUCAAGCAGCCAUGAAGAAAAAGCUCAACCAAAGAUUUCAAUUUACAAAACCUAGUUGAAAUCCUCUUCAGCCGUUCGCAAUCCCUCAAAUCCAACUUUUCAAGAUCAGUUAGGCACUCUAUUGAUGAUGGAACUUCUUCUAUUGCAGACUGGCUUAAGUAUAGCCGUGUAAUUUUCCCAGAAAUCUGUGGAAACUCUACGAGAUUAACACAAUAGGAGAAAUUAAUAGUUACUGGACAAACAAAAUGAAGAUUGCUUGGAAAAGACCUAAGACUUUUGCAGCCCACAAAAUCCAACCUACUGAGAUACUUGAAAUUCUGGAUAGAUGAGGGAACACAAGCCAUUUCUCCUUCCCAAAUUUGCUCAACUUUACUAAAACGCAAAUUCAGUCCAACAAGGUUCUUUGGCUUGAAAUUUGAUGGCAGUGUCCUUAAUGGAUAUGUGUCCCAAUGAAGAUAUCUCAAUUUUUUAGGAAGAUAAUCUAGGCCAUUUGGAAGCUGCACUUUAGAGUACGAAAGUUGCUCUUCAAUGCUCAUACUUAGAAGCUUUUCAAUCUCAUACUUAGGUACAUAAAAUUUGAGCAAUCUCAGAUUAGACAUAUUUGUGAAGGCUCCGGGGUCUAAAUUGAUGCCUUUUAUUUUGGACAAAUCCAAAAAUAUGCCUUCAAUUGCAUCGGUCCCCUUAUUAAAAAAAAAAAAAAAACAAAGAAUGGGUAAGCCUAAAACAGAAAAGAAACAUUCGUAAACUUUAUUAACUAAGAGCUCCUAAAACAAAACAAAUUCUACGAUCUUUGAUCUUAUUUUUUUAAUAUAUUAAAUAUCUAUAUGCGAGAAAAGAAAAUUUUGGGAACCAUUGCAAAAUUAAACUAACCGAAAAAAAAAAUCAAAAUUUCUCUAAUUUACAAACCUGUUAUCUUACUAUCUAGAAGUUGAGAAGACAGGGCCUAUUUGAUUGGUAUAAGAUUUCGAUUUUUUUUUUAGUCCAUAGAAUCCAAAAUGUUAGUUCAAAAUUAGGGAAAAAAAUGAAAGUUAUUUUUUUUCCACUAGUUGUAAUUGUAUCCAAGUCAAAUUGAGAUAUGACCCUUUUCGAAAGGAUUUAAUCAUCUUAUAGCCUCCUUAAAGGAGUGAUUGGAGGCCUAACUAGGUAGGCCAAUCAGUCCAUUUUAUUAGCGACUAUUGCUUAAAAACAUUUAUACUCUAAAACACACUUACUUUUUUGAAAAAAAAAUAUAAUUAUAUUGAAGUAGAACCAGGUGGGCCAAUCCUCAUGGCACUCACUUUGUUCUGACACUCUUCACUAAAUUUGAAAAAAAAUAAAAUUAUACUCUUCACACUCUUAUUCAACAUUCCAAAAUUGAUAAAAUCUGGAGUUUUCAUUAAAAAUUUAAAAUUUGAAGACUUGUUCUCUUGACACCCUCAGUCAUUAAUUUUACCUAAUUAUGGUUUUUAUGAUUUUGGUUGUUUUGUUCAUAAAAAUGAUUUUACUAAAGGAUGUUCUGGUAAUAAUAAAAUUUAUAAAAAAAAACAUGGUUGUGCUGGUAUGAUUGGAAAAAUAUGAGUGCAUAACUCCAAACAAAUAAAAGAUAUAUAAAAAAAAAUGGAGGAUUCUUACCAUAUUAUGCUUUAGUACGCGGCGGAUUUCCUUAGGAUCCCACAACCUCUUGCGUUUGCCUGGCUCUUUCUCAGAUUCUUGGCGUCGCCCCAUUUCUUGCAAUAUAUCAUGCAUUUGCAAGCGGUUAUAUGACACUGUUAUGAGUGACUUAUCAACAAGGACAUCCAGUCCAACAGACUCAGAAUCAUCAAGAAUCCUUGCCACAAAAUCUUUAUCCUCUCCCUCAAAGAAACACGCAAUAUCUAGAAAUAUGCUCUGCACCCUGGGCGUUAAUUCAUCAAAACUAAUCUUUAAUUUCUUAUAAAUAGCAUGAAUAUCAGAUUCACAAAUCCGAUUUAAGUCGUGCAAUACUUUUCCCCAAUGGCUUUUCCCCUUGAGGGAGGAACCCAACACUUUAAGAACUAAUGGAUUGCCAUCAGCAUACUUUACAACUCUCCGUGAGUCAGGUUUGAAAUCUUCAGGACAAUGCUUUUCUUUAAAAGCGAAGUUACAAAAAUGCUCGAAAGCCUCAUGAAAAUCCAUUCCAUUAACCCUAUAUAUUUUCUUCUCCUCCACUCCAAAUUUUUCGAGGACUCCUUUAUCCCUAGUGGUUACAACAAUUCUACUUCCUGGAACAAAUUGAUCAAGCUCUCCAAUCAGACCCUCUAAUUGUCCAACUUCAUUCACAUCAUCGAGUACUAUCAACACCUUCAUACGCCGGACCCUCUCUUUAGUAAAAUGUGGAAUAUUGGCACCAGCUACUUCAAGUUUUUCGCUUAAUAUUGUUGAAAGCAUUUCCUUUUGUAGGUCUUCUAGGCCACCCUCUGUUUCUGAUUUUCUCCUAACAUUUUUUGCAAAGUAUUUACCAUCAAACUCACCAGAGAAUUGAUUGAAAAUAGCUUCAGCAAGGGUGGUUUUGCCGAUACCACCCAUGCCCCAAAUUCCAACAAUUUGGACAGUAUCCGACAAAUCCAUACACAAAAAUGGUUUAAUCUGCUCAAUUCGUGAAUUUAAUCCAACUAGGCCGUUGGAUGAGUCCGUUGAGACUGUUAUUUUUUCCAACUUCUUCAAAACAUCUUCGACAAUUUUGUUUACAAGUUCCGCAUCGUGCCUAAUAUAAAGGUGCAAAGAUGCAAAAACAUUGAGUCAAAUCGGGCCAACACAGAAACAGAGAUAAGAUGAAUUAGGAAAGAGAGUUACCUGAAUUUCGUGGAUUCGUGGCCAGCAAGACCGGAUGUUUCUCUCAGUGCAUCCCUCCACCUCUGAACCAUUUCUGGCUUCUCUUUGAACUGUUGUUCGAGCUUACCAAAGCCGACCCCAAAAAUCCCAGUUUGAUGCCGCACAUCGGACGGACUUACGCCAUAGAAAACCGGAAUAAUGAUUUGGCCGUUUGUGUGCUUGCAUUCAAGAAUCUCGACAAGUUCAUACAGGCACCAUUUUGAAGAAGCGUAGUCCGUUGAGAAAAUGACCACCGAAAUUUUUGAACCUUGGAUUGCGUUCAAAAGGGCAGGUGAAAUCUCAUCUCCGCGCCUAAGCUCUUCAUCAUCAAUAAAUGUUCUGAUUUUCUUUCUUUUAGACAAAGCAUCAUAGAGAUGGCAAGUAAAGAUCGCACGAGUGUCCUCCCCUCUAAAAUUGAGGAAGACUUCAUAAAUGCAAGGAGAAGAAGCCAUGAAGGAAAUAUUAGAAAUUUGGUGACAGAAACAGAGAAUUAAUCUUGAGAGCUGAGAGAGGAGAUGUAAGAAUGAACAUGUGUGAAUAUUCUUGCGAGUACAUAGUAAAUAAUUGAAUGGCUCGAGCUUUCUUAGUUUCCUGGAAAUUUCCUGGAGCUUUCGUAUACAUGAUUUGUCAAGUCAAGAAACAUAGUCAUGAUAAUGGGGCAGACCAGGAAGAAAAGGAAAUUGGAAUUUUGUACAAUUUCUCCAGCGAGGAACUUUCACUGUCAUUACCUCACCGUUACAGUUUGGAUUAGGGUAAUUUUUACCCCGCACCCAAAUGUUUUGACAUACAGCACAACGCACCCAAUUCUUUUGCCCAUGAGCACCGCGCACCCAUUUCCGUUUAUUUUUCAGUUAACUGUAACAGAUCAGGGUAAAAUUGGAAUAACGCAUCAAAAUUUAAAAAUAAAAAAAUAGGUAAACUCGAUGUUUGCGCCAAAAUAAUUUCACAUCACUGUGCUUAUGUUCACUGCGUUUGCGUGUGAGACCAAGAAGCAUGGCCACACCUCCAUUGAUGCCAAAAUCGAGGAGGUGGGUGAAGAAGAAUUGGCGCCAAAAUCAUUCACAUAUGAUGUGCAAGGAAAUUAUUUCAGCCUUUAAAUACUUUUUUAUUACAGCAGCAUCAGCUAUUGCUCUGUUUCGAAGAUCUGCUCAAUUUCUAAGACAAUAGUUGGUUUGAGAGUUUAAGGGAAGUGAAUCCACUGAGCGUGCUAUUGAAGAAGUGGAGGUCAGUUUCAUUUCUUGCUCAAUUGUUUUAAUUUAUUCCAUUUUGUUUGCAUGUCAAUUAUUUACACAUUUUUAGCUGGAUUUUGCUUAUCUAUAAAACUUGAAUCAUUGUUAAUCAAAUCAGCUAUAAUUUACGCCUCAAUGUGGUUUGUAAGUUUAAGUUAUGUUGGAUUAUACCUGAAUAAUGUGGUGUUUGCGUUAUUGAUUUCAAUUUCUAUUGAUGAUUUUGAGUAUACAUAUUAGUGGAUGAAAGUUUUUAAUUAGGAUGAUUGGUCACGCAUAUAUGUCAUAGCAACUGUGUUUUUUUGGGUUAUGGUUGUACUGUAGAUCAGUAGUAGUAGUGAUUUGGAUAUAAACGCUAGUGCUUUUAUUGUAAAUGAUAGUGAUGAAGAUCCAGUGUUACAGAAUUUGAUGUAAAAGUUAUUGGUUUUUGGCUAAAUAUCUUAGAUAAAUAUGAUGCUCAUGCAAUCAAAUCCAAUGCUUAUGCAAUUUACACCAUGUUUAUGAUAAGUAAUUAAAAAAAUAAAUGACUAUUCCAGGUGAAAAUGGAUGAUGAUGAUAUUACAACUGUUCUUUGUACAUUCAAGGGCAAGACAUAUAAUGUUGGUGUAAUUGAUCCAGAUAAGUUUAGUAGAGUUUCUGUAAUUAACAAGGUUUUAGUUAGAGUCUAUGGAAGAAAGAUGAGGCCUGAUGAGAAGUUUACACUAAGUGUUUGGGUACCAUGGGUCUAUAAGGAAGUAGAGAUUAUGUCUGAUCAUGACUUAAUAUUCCAGCUGAGAGAGCAUAAUAAGAUGUUGUUCUACUGCAUGCAAUUGUAUAUUGAAGAAAUCCAUGUACCUCAUGAGUUUGUACCUAGAAGGGCUUUGUUUCAGCACUCAGCAGAAGAAAGCUUACAAGGGUAUGCUGAAACAAACUUUCCAGCCACUACUGACCUGCACAAACCUUAUACACAUGCUACAUCCACCAACACAAAUCCUUAUGAAAAUGACAGUAAUGACCAUUCGAACCAUGAACCCCCUGUCAAGAACUCCAGCAGCAUAAUGAUGCAUAAUGUUGCACUUGAUAGCAUCCAAUCACAGACCAAACCAGAUACCAACCCUGACCUAUAUCAAGACUUUUUGGAUACCUAUUUCAGAUCAUCACCACAACAGAAAACACCAUCAGCUGCCCAAACUAAUGCCGAAAAUAGUGAUAGUGAUAACACAUCUUCAUUUGGUACAAAUAAGACUCCUACUGAGCAGCUUCAACAAAACUUUGCCAUCUCUUCUGAGUUGUCCCCUUUAUUGCAGCAACAUGGACAUCAUGCAUCCCAAAAUGAACCUAUACCUUUUCACCAACCUGAGUUCUCAUCUCAACCAAUAACUCAAAACCCUCAGUCACAAGUUGUACAAGCAGAAAACUUCCAGCAACCAGAAGCCACUACACCAGCACUAGUAGAUUAUAACUCAGAUGAUAGCCAUUAUAGUGUAACUGAUAGUGAGGAAGAUCCAGAUCAUCCAUUAGGUGCUCCAAACAUUAAUAAUACUCCUAGGAAACCUUCUGUUAAUGUUGACUUAGGCUCUAUGCCUUCUGAUGAUAGUGAUGAAGAUUGUAUGCUAUCUGAUUGUGAGAGUGAUGACAAUGAGUUUGGGGAAGAAUCUGAUGAAGAGAUUGAUCAAGUGCUGGUCAGAAUGGAUGCUGUUAUGAGAGAGAACAUGUACAUUCCUAGUGAUACACCUGUUCAAUUCUUUAUUGGGCAGUGUUUUAGGAACUUCAGGCAGCUGGCAUGGGCAAUAAGGACUUAUGCUGUGGAAAACAAGUUCAAGGUUUAUAAGCACAAGUUUGAAAAAUCCAGAGUAACUGUUGGAUGUAAUUAUUUCAGGUGCCCAUGGUUUUUACAUGUUGCAAAAACUAGAUUUGGACAAACCUUUAUUGUUAGGAGGCUUCACAACGUACAUACAUGUCAGAGAGACUUAAAGAAUCCUGAAUGCACUGCAGAGUUCAUUGUUGCCAAGUUUGCUGCAACUAUAAUUGAGCAUCCAGAUACAAAGGUUGGGUGGAUUCAAAGUGAACUUAGAAGGAUGUAUGGAGCUAAGAUACACAAGUAUAAAAUUUAUAGAGCAAAGAAGAAGGUUUUACAGAGACAAUGAGCUGAUUAUGAGUCUAGUUACAUGUUGAUCAGAAAUUAUGCUCAGGCCAUACUUACUAAGAUGCCACAGGCCUUGGCAUUGGUUAAGGUUUUCAGGAUGCAUGGUCAACAACCUCAAACUCACUUUGACAGCACUGUUAUAUCUUUCCAUGCCCUCAGAGAUGGCUUCAACCAAGGUUGUAGACCCUUCAUUGGUAUUGAUGGAUGCCAUUUGAAGGGUCCAUAUAAGGGUGUUCUUUUAUCAGCAGUUGCUAUUGAUGCCAACAAUGGAAUCUUCCCACUUGCAUUUUGUGUAUGUAGUGUCGAGAGUACAACCAGCUGGACAUGGUUUCUAAGCCACUUUAGGGAAUUUUUACAAGAUACAAGACAACUGACCUUUAUGUGUGAUAGGCAGAAAGGAAUUCAGAAUGCUCUUGCCUUAGAGUUUCCUAAUGCACAUGUUAGAUUCUGUGCUAGACACAUCUUAGCAAAUAUUAAGUUAAAACAUCCUCAAUCUGACUUUAAAGCAUAUUUCUGGGCAGCAGCAAGAGCAUCAAACAGAAGGGCAUUUGAUGAUGCUAUGCAAAACAUAAGAGCAGCACAUGAGGGUGUAUAUGAGACUCUUAGGAGGAUACCACCAAAUUUCUGGUCAAGGCAUGCCUUUGACAAUAAUUGCAAGUCUGAUCAUUGCACUAACAACGUAACUGAAUCUUUUAAUGCAUGGAUUGGGAUUCAAAGAAAGUUGCCAAUAAUCUCAAUGCUGGAGUGGAUUAGGAAGAAGCUGAUGAAAAGAAUGAUUGGAAGAAGAAAUAAGGCAGAGUCUUGGGACAGUGAUAUACCAAGAAGAAUUUAUGCACAAAUGAUGAAGAAUUUACAGAUUGGCAGUGCAAACCCUAUCUGUAGAGCUAGUAAAUGGCUUUAUGAAGUGGAUGAAAAUACCAAGACUUAUAUCGUUGAUCUUGAACACCAUAUGUGUGACUGCGGACAAUGGCAAGUUAGUGGGAUUCCAUGUGUACAUGCAAUGCCUUGUAUUGUGAAUAGUCAAAAAGAUCAAGCUCAGUUCAUUAGCCAAUGGUUGAAGAAAGAUACUUACCUAAGGUGUUAUUCUGGAUUGAUUAAACCAAUUCCAGAUAGAACGUCAUGGGUAGAUGCUGGUGGUGAUGAAAUACUGCCCCCUUUAGUGAGAAGACCACCUGGACGACCUAAGAUGACAAGAAGAAGAGAAGCUGAUGAGGUACCAGCACAUAAUAAACGAUACAAGAUGCAAUGCACUAUUUGCAAGGGAUUUGGACACAACAGAAGGGGUUGUCCUGUUAACCCUCAUAAUGCUCACAAGACAACAAGACAAUAUAAGGUGAGUGUGUAUGCUUGUAAGAGAAUAUUCAAUUAUUUUUUGAACCAUGUUCCUCCCAUGUGAUGACAGCUAAUGUGCCUUGUUUGUUUGUGCUUUUUUAUAGAAUAACCUGAAGAAGCACGUGACAAGGACAAAUGGGGAGCAAAGUGAAGGUAUAAGAGUAAUUUACUAAGUUAUAUUACUAUAUUACUUUACAGCUGUAUUAGAUAAUUAUAUAGUUGUGUAUCACCAAACUAUAUUAAAUUAACUUAUUUAUUUAACGUUGCUUUAUUGGUAAUUUAUAAGGCCAAGUUCACGGAAUUACCUCAACUAUUUUGGAAAGCCAAGACAAUGACAUGGUCCAAGUAACUGUCUCAGGCCAAAACAUAACAAAGAACCAGCAGACUGCAUCUAACAAACGCAAGAUUGGCAAUCAAGCAGGGCCAUCAAAAGCAAAUGAAGUCAUUGGCAAGAGCAUGAAUGGGGUCAUAUCUGUAGCUCCAUGGGUAGGUGAACAGGGAAGAAAAGUAAUGUCAGCCGCUGGAUUAACCUUCAGCAAAGAGGAUGAAGUCGGCAACUAUACUGAAAUGAAGCAUUUGGACAAAGGGAAGGCACCAGCCUUCCCUUCGUAAAGGGUAAAACCAUAGUUUUCUAUUGAUAUAAAUUAAUAUUGGUUUUGGAAAUGAUAUUUAUAAUUUGUAACUUGUUUUGUAGUGAUUCUUUGGCUAUGAUGGAGACAUUGGCAGCAAACUUAUUAACAAACAGUGGAGGCAACAUUAUCAUUUUUUGACACCUUCCACAAUGCCACAUCAACCCACCAGGCACAAGGUUAAGGUUAUCUGGAUGCUGAUUUCAUUAGGAUCAAGUGGCCAAGUAAUGACCAGGCAUGUCAUUGUUUUCUUUUUCUUUUUUAUUUUGGAGCUGAAAUUGGUGGAAGUUGUUGGACAUUAAGCUUAAGCAUUAUAGAGCUGGAAGCUGUGAUGACCUACUAUAAGUAUGAUUGGAAGGGUUUAUGGCAUUUUGAAAGUUUUUGGGAUUAAGAUACAUAUAGGACUGAUAUCAACCAAACCAACACUUUUUUUUUUUGUUUUUUGGUCACAUGUAUGUAAACACCAGAUUGGAUGUGACUAACAUUGUAAGUUGCUGCCAAUAUGCAUUUAUAGAUAAAAUAACUUAUUGCUAUUAUUGAUAUCAUAUUUGAUUAAAUGGUAUAUGUCAAGAAACGAAUGCAUUUUAUUGAUCAUAAGAUUUCAUUUUACACAUUGUUCUAGCAUUCCUUACAGUACAAUACAAGCAAUACAAGUAUAGUUAUCACUAUAAUCGUGAUUUGAUACUUCUUAUUUUUAUGAAGUAAACCUUCAAUAUUGAUGAACCUGUUGUGGAAGUCCUCAAUGUUAAAUUGUUGAAUCUCACUUGCCCUGUCUGCAGCUUCUUCUUCAAACCUUUGUAACGCUGCUUCAAUUUCUAUAGCCUCACCUGUAGAUGGUUUCCACCAUCUAAAGAAACCACAAGAUGGGUCAUUAGGGCAUGUGUAAUAUAGUUUGUUGGGGUUUGUUUUUGAUUCUGACACUUUGAUUUCUGCCCUUCUUCGACAGUAGCAUACUGUGUUAUAGAACUUGAUGAUGCCCCCAUUGAUUUUAGGUAAAUCCCUUCUUCUGUUAUAAGUUGAUGAACUUGAUGCAUUCCUUGAAGUGGACAUUUUCUUCAAAUUUCCAAUGUCGUGUCUGUUAUAUUCUUUUUGAAAUACAGCACAACGUAUCUGAACUUCAAGUUGUUGUGCUUGUUUUGUGUGUGAAUGAAGCUGCUGUUGAAGUUGUAUUGUUUCGGUGGGUAAAACCAAAUGUUGUACUACUGUAAGUUGUUGCUGAGUAAAAAAAAUGGUGGAGUUUCCAGGUGAGUCAAUGAAAAUCACUGAGGUGUGAAGAGGGUAGGAAUUUAUAUGUGUUAAACAUCACAGCUUGUGGUGAUGCAUCAGCUCAAAUUUAUCAAUUUCUUUUACUGUUCUUGUAACCAUAUAGCCGUUAUUACUGUUGCUCAGAUUUUAUAGCCGUUGGAUUUUUGAUGCGCAUGGUAAUAAACCAAUAUGCUAAGGGCAAUAUAGUCAAUAUAAUUUAACAGUUAUAGUUGGUCUUCGUGUGUAAAUACACCUUUAAAUAAUGGCCAGUGGUAAAUUCCUUAGUUCAAUGACUCACCUGGAUGCAUUUGAAUUCAACGCAAGGGUAUAUUUGUCAUUUAAUCAAAAUAUAGACUGAUCCGUUACAAUUAACUAAAAAAUAAACAGAAAUGGGUGCGCGGUGCUCAUAGGCAAAAGAAUUGGGUGCGUUGUGCUGUAUGUCAAAACAUUUGGGUGCGGGGUAAAAAUUACCCUUUGGAUUAUGAUUUGAGGGUGCAAGUAUUUACCUAGAGUUUACCUCCGCACUAAAUUCUUAAGUUUUGAAAAUUAUGAGACCUUUAUAUUGGGAGAUAUUGUAAUCGAAUCAAAACUUAAAUUUUUUAUAAUGUUAAUAUUUAAUCUUUUAAAAAACAAUAACCUCGCCGUUACAGUUUGGAUUAAGAUUUGAGUAAGUAUUUACCUAAAUUUUACCUCCGUCUGUAAAUUCUUAAGUUUUGAAAAUUAUGAGACCUUUAUAAUCGAAUCAAAAUUUUGAAUUUCAAUAUUAUUAUUCUUUAAAAAAAAUUUUGAGAUAACAGAGUGAUUGAUAAUAUAGGAGAACUUGUCUAGGCAAGCACAUGUAUACACAGAAACGUGAUGGAUUCAAAAAGAAAUUAAAGUGAUAAUGCGAAAUCGCUUGGUGGCCCAGUAAAAUUACGACUGAAUUUUUUUUUUUUUUUUUACAAAAUUCAAGCUCAUAAAUGACAAAUUUCAUUUCCCUUUCACACGUCAUUAACUUUUGUAACAUGGUGUGUGCAUCGUCAAGUGAGGCAAAAGGGUUUCAAUUACAGUUGGAAAACAUGAACAAGAAUGCAUAAUGAAUAAUUCCUUCGAUAAACCGAAAAUUAAGCACAGAAUAAUCCUAAAAUUUAAACUCUAAUAUCUUAUAAUGUAUUGAUUAAAAAUAAUCCUAAGAGCUCCCAAUUGAAACUUUCAUAAGUAUUUUAAUUGUUUUGGAUAAACAAAUUGCACUAGGAUAAAAAUUUGGCAAAUUCAGAGGAUAAUGGAAAAUAGUUAUGCUUCAAUAGGCCAAAGAUUAGAGAACAAAUAAGAAUUAUUUAUUGAUAUACAAAAGAGAAACACUCCAAAAUUUCAAGCAAAAAUAGUUUCAUAUAUCAUUUCGAUUUUGAAAGGGAUGAGAUUUUGAACUUCAAUAGUUUCCUCUAAAAUUAAAAGGUAGCAAUUAAGCUAAAAAGAGCAAUGAAGACUUAUUGGUACCUUAUUAAAGGUAAACAUUAUGGAACUUUCAAUGUCAUUAUCUCACUGUUCAAUUUUUAUUGAGAUUUGUGUAAGCAUUUACCUAAAUCUUACCUCCGCCUUUAAAUUCAUAAGUUUUGAUUAAUUAUGAGACCUUAUAUUGGGAGAUAUUAUAAUCAAACUAAAACUUAAAAUUUCAAUAUCAUUAUUCUUUAAAAAGAAAUUGAGAUAUCAGAGUAAUAUCACAUAGAAAAACUUGCCCACGGACGGUAAGCCAAAAGUCUAGUCAACCACACGCAUAAAGCUAACUAGAACAAGAGAACAGAGAAACGCGUGGGUCCCUAAAAGAAAAGGCAAGCACAUAAAUAACUUUCAAAAUGCCCAAGCAAAUACCGAUGAAAAUCACUGUUUAAGAAUAAUUUAUUAUGUGGUUGAAGCUUUCUUUUUAUCAAUCUUCUUUCUACCCAUUAAUUUUCCCACGACUUUCCCGUUUCAUUUCUUGAAUCUCCAUGGAUUAACUUUCAAUAAACCAUAAAAUAAACUAAGGAAUCAUUUUCUCGAAUACAGCUAUGAUUUUAAUAAAUGGGCGGACCAUCUAGAAUAGUAUAUAUAAUUCUGUUUAAUUAAUAAGUUGAAAAAACCAUCAAGAGAAAUUCUAAUAUUAUGAGCUUGACACGAAUUCUUCACUAAUUCCAAAACAAGGAGCUGUUUUAUAAGAACUGUGGUUGGAUUAUUAAGUUUUACAAUUUGAAUAUAAAUAAGAAAAUAAAAUCAGUCGCGUUGAUGUUUUCGAUACAUUUCGCUGCUAACUUUUUUUUUUUUUUUAUUACAUGAGACUAUUGCUCAAAUUACAACUCAUAUUACAUGAGAAUAUAACUGAUAUUUACAAAUCAGACUAUAACUGGGACCAAUAUACAUCAAUACUAAUGGAGCGCUGCCCAGAUUUUAACCCUCUCAAAUAUUCAAGGGAUGUCUACACCUCACACUUGGGUAAGGAAACAGACUGUCUUCACUUAAAUUUACUUGAGGAAUGAAGACCCCCACAAUACAUUGUGGGGGUUCACCACUCGACCAAAGGCCGAGUGGCUCAUUUCGCUGCUAACUUAAUUAAUUACUUUACUUCAACUUUAUUUCCUUAGGGGCACUUUAUGGUGGGUCCAAGAUGGGACCUACAAUAAUCAAUCCUAAAAUUUAGUAUGGUUACCAAAUAGCUAGUAGCUAGUGUUAUUUUGUGUUUGGUGGAAGAGAUUGAAUAUUUAGUUUUAACUUAACCAUUCAACUAAUUAGAAAAUAAAUAAAAUUAAAUGAAAUGUUUAGAUAUCAAUUUAAAUAUUAAUAUCGGGGAUAUAAAUUAGUUAUAAUAUAGUUCAUUACAUAAAAUUGAUUAAAUUAAUAAUUACCCGUGAACAUAGAUGUAUAUGCUUUCCAAUUUCCAAAGUGCUCAAAGCACUUUUCUCACCAAACUUUCCUCUGAAUUUCCCGUAGCUGACUCCUUUGUUUGCGUUUUGUGAAAUUUCUAGGAACUUUUUUCGAUUUAGAAUAUUGUACAUUUUUCUUUUCAGCUGAGAUUAAUUUAACUUAUAGAAAAUCUUAUCCUUUUUUAAUAUUAUUUAAAUAAAAUUUGUCUAUCUUUUAUUUUAUUAGUCUACUUUUUACCCAUUAAUUAAGACUUUUCAAUUUCUUUUUUACCUGAGGUUUUCAGUGACUAUCUUUCAAUAAACCAUAAAAAUUACUUAGUCAUUUAUCGAACAAUUAGAUGACCAUAUUUCAAAAUAUCAACUAGAAGUUGUCCUGAAAUAUUUAAUUAAUAGUUGAAGAAUUGUGAUUAGUGUGGGCAUCUACAUAAAAAUUAUAUUAAAACACCGCUAAAAGAUAAAAAUAAAAUAAAAUAGUACAAACAUACACCCAUAGGUUAAAACAAAGAAAAAACACGAACCAAUACACUAAAAUGUUUUAGCUGUAGUUAGUUUUCAGUUUCAUUACUUAAGUCCCACGUGCAUGUCACGUGACUGAGGUCAAAAAAUGAUUGUCACAUUAAAGUUCAAAAUACGGAGCAGGGUAAUUAAGGAGUGGAGCUAUUGGCACCCCUCCAUUAUUCUUACAAAACUCCACUUUAAAUCAAAAUAUAAUUAAGAAUAAUUGAAAAUUAAACACUUAUAGAUUUCUUUACAACAUGUUGAGUGAUAAAAAAGCACCAGUCGGGCAUGUCCCCAUUUCUUACCCGGUGCCGAAUCUCCACGGUCGAAUGGUAUGAGUAGACUCUUGGUGAUGUCUUCUAUGUGGAGCACGUAACAACAGACCAGGAACUAGUACCAACCAAAAACGAGUACUGAUCGAAACAAGCAUGACCAGAAACGCAUACCGACCAGAGACUUGUGGGUCCGUAAAAGAAAAGGCAAGCACACAAAUGAAAAAGCCAUUACAUUUCUAUUUUACAUGUCAUUCCUAAUUUUUGUAACACGAUGUGGCAGCAUAUGCACAAUCAAAUGAGGCAAAAGGGAUUCGACUAUCGUGGCAGAACAUGGACGAGGACGCGUGAUGAAUAAUUCCUUCGAUAAAACGAAAAACAAACGCAGAGAAAAGAAUUUCUUAUAUGACAAGAAAUUAAAGUAAUGUGACGGAACAUGAUGAAGAAAUUGCAGAUCGAUCAAUUAUCCCCAUGGACUCCUAUAAAUUCAACCAAAAUAACAAUUCCAAUAUUACCAAAUUCUUGAGUUAAAUUUAUUCAAUGCUUUUUUUUAAGAGAAAUUUUUUCCAAUGCUACUUUCCCUUUUUUGGGGAAAUUAGAACUGCGGCAUGUAUAGAAGACAUUGAGGUAUAAAGCAACAUUAAUUUCAUGGGUUAUGCGUUAUACGCAUAAUAUAUUUUCAGUCCAAAUUCAACUAUGCAAAGAGGCUUGAGAACUUAAAAUUAAGCACAAACUAAACAGACGAAGUAAAUACAUGAUUAUGCAACAUAACAUUAAUUCUCUUAAUUUAUAACCGUUUUGCCACAUGAAUCUUGCACAGUUAAUCCUAAUUGAAGACUAAAAAAGAACAAUUGGAACAAGGUUUUGAAAUAGAAUGAUAGACAAUCGAUAUGAUCCAUUUCCAGUCGUCAACGCUAAUUAACUGCAGUUUCUAGACUCCUAAUUAUACUAGCCAUAAGAAACUGUUUAGAAAACUGGUGAUCAGAUUAGAUUUUGAAAUGAAAUAAUGUUCAUUUUCCCUUCGUUACCCUUUUAUUUAUUUAUUAUUUUUAUACCAAAGAAUUCUAUCAUGAAACGAAUCAAUUUAAUCACCUUUUCCAGCAGCACAAUUUUUCUUUUAUAAAAUUUGACCACAGAGACAAAGAAGAAUUAUUCAUACCUUCAUCAGUAAGGAAAUACUUUUCGGUAUGGCUAGGGUGAGAAAAGGCUUUCCACAAACACUUGUACUUUGUAUUCCUGUAAAUUUUCUUUAAAGUCAAUAAAAAUCAUAAGUUCUUUACAAUAACCAUCUCUUUGAUAAAAAAAGUGCCGUAUUCCUUUAGAAUUUAAAACCGGCAAAAUCGAAUCAGUGUCUUUGAAGAGACAUAAUGGUCAUAAUUCUUUAAAGAGUUGGCUAUGGAAAUCCUUAUCCAAGAUUCUUUUACGCCAUAUUCUUUCGUAAACCAAAAUUCAUUUUGGAAUACUCUGUUGAGAAUGUCAAAUAAAACGGUAUUGAAGGAAGUUUUCAAAGGCAGAAUCCGCACUUGUCAAAGGGAUGAUCUGCAUUUGUCAGAGACACAAUCUGCGUCGAAUGAAUCGACACAUUUCCUUUUGUAUUCGCAUAUGUAAUUUUUGAAAAAAUGUAGCUUCUGCAUCUAUAAAUAACGCUCAGUGUAUAAUGUUUUAUUCAAAAAAAGAAAACAAGUUUCUUCAUACUCGUCGUCCGAACAUACAGAGACCGUCUCUCAUAACUUCAGCCGAAUACUUAUGAUGAUGAUCAUUUGUGAUUUCAUCAGGCAUAGGGUUGAUGGUGAAAAAUUUUGUAUGUGUGAAGAAUUGAGCUGUGGAUAUAGGGGACUUAAGUGUAAUCGAAAGAGAGUUAUUAGGCCAUAGUGUAGAUUGCAUUCAGUUUAUGAGUCGAUAUGCAAAUAAUUUGUUGACGUGGCGAAAUUUGUUAUGGUCGUUACUAUUGUUUCUGGAAAUUUUCUAGAAACCUCAGCAUAAAAGGGGCUUUUGGAUAGCCUCUGGUGUGCGUGUGAUUUCUCUUUCGUUUCCUCAUCAAAUUCUGUAAUUCUUGCUUUGAUAAAAAGCUUGUAAUCUCUUCUGUAAUUGUGAUCAGUGCGUAAUCAUUUUGAGCGAUAAAAGCUUGUAGGUUUUUCCUUCAAACAAUGUCGUUUUGGUCAGUUUGUUAGUUUGAUCUGUUGGUGGAAUUUUCUUUGGUUAUUUGUUCUCAAAUUUCAACCUUAUAUAAAGUUUGAACUCUAAUGGCUUAUAAUGUAUUGAUUAAGAAUAAUCCUAAGAGUUUCCGAUUGAAAUUUUUAAUGACUAUUUUUAUUGUUUUGGAUGCACAAAUUGCAUUAAGAAAAAAUAUUGUCAAAUUCAGAGGAUAACGGGAAAUAAUUAUGCUUCAAAAGGCCAGAGAUUAGAGAAUAAAGAAGCAUUCAUUACUGAUAUAAAAACUGCUUCUAUUUGGAUUUUGAAAGGGGUGAAGUUUUGAACUUCAGUUGUUCCUCUAAAAUCAAAAGCAAUAAUUAAGCAUUCUCAAUUAGAAAGAGCAAAGAAGACUUAUUGGUACCUUACUGAAGCUAACAUUAUGGCACGGUUGUUCAUAUGUAAUGGCUGCUCUGUUAUGCUAGCUUCUCUGUUUUUGCUUCUAUUUUUGCUUACAGUUUUGAAGAUAAAUUCUUGCUCAAAUAACACAUAAUUAAAUAACACUAAUAUGGCUCAUGAAAUCCUAUAAUAGCUAAUUACGCAACUUUCUCCUCCUCCUCAAUUCUGUCUUCCCCUGCUCGGACACUAACUUCAAAAUUCAAUGCCCCGAAAAACAACACAAGAAAUCUUUGAGUUAGUUCGUGACCAGUUUAUAUAUAGUAGCAAUUGAAAAAAGAAAAAGAAGAAAAGAGUUAAUUAUUUUUCAGACCUUCACUUAUUAGGAAGUUUGUUCUGCUAUUGGGUGAGAUCAAGCUCUCAGCAUAUACUUCCACAUGAUACUUUCUAACAUUUUCUUGAAAGCCAUCAAUCAUUAAAUCUUCAUACUUUUUUCCAUCCUUUGGAUCAAUAAGUACAAAUUUCUCAUCUAAAAAAGACAAAAUAAAAUCACUGUCCUUCAUGGAAUCAGAAUUGAGCUUACAAAAACCGAAGUGGACAGUUCCAUUCAGAUUGGUCGCCCGAGAACAAUGAUGAGAAGACUUAAAAUCAGUUUCAAAGGUUUUCCAAGUAUUGUUCCUCUAAACCACUUGUAUAUUUUACCAGAACUCUUGGUUAAGAAAAUCCUAGUCCAUGGAGUAUGAUAUAUCAAUCAUGCAACAAUGACCUACAACAUCUAUGUGGAUUGAUUUUUGCAAAAUAAAGAACAAUGCUGACUGAGGAAUAAGGUGCAUACCCGAUUAGCAAUAUCUCAGCAAGUAACCAACAAUUUUUUAUCUGAUAAGAAAAAAUUACAAUUUCUUGAAUAUACAUGAAACAUUUUGCAGAAAGAACCAUGUCAUAAUUAUUAGUCCAACUGAAGAAUUAUCAAUACUUAUCACAUGAAACGAAAGAUACCCGAGUUCACUUAAUGAAAUUCUCUUUUUUUUUUCUCUAACAUUGAGAUAAGCAAAAACUUUUAACUAAAGACAAUCAUCUAGUGAUCUCAAACAAAUGAGGUUAGUAUGAAACCAUCAUAAUUUGUUCGCUCAUUGCCUAAUUUUAUUAAUGCAAGAGCCUGGAAGCAACUCAAAAAGAAAAUAACCGACAUAGGAAGUGUCAUCUCAUAUCUCACCAAUGAAUGGGAACAGCUUGAUGUGGCUGAGCAAACUGGCAGAAUUGUCAUUUUAACACACGUUCAAGAAACUCAGCAAAUUCUCAUAUCUGUUUAAAUUCCACAGCAAAGAUAGUUACAAGAAAUCUAAUCAAAAUUUAAAAUGUCAGAAGGCAAAUCUUCCAAUUAGGAUCAAAAGAAGAUAAUUAUAAUUUGUCAUUUCAAUUCUGAAUGUACAAUUUUAUUUUUUUAUGUGUGCAUUAAUUAAGAUUCUACCUUCUCUGCAAAAUUGUGAUGGACUUGGUAAAUAAUGAAUUGUAUCGACUUGAAUUUUAUACAACUUAUUGAGAUAAUAAUACGCCAAAUUCAACACCGUCCAUCCCAAAUCACAACAAGAAACUCAAACUUUUAUCCCCUCAAGUGGGUUCUUGAAACUGAAGCUUUAGUGCCAGUACAAUUUUGAAAGAUUGUGAUCAAACUAAAACAUCAAAUAAAAUAAGACGUAACAAAAACACGUCUUCAGAAAAUUAGUAUAGGAAUAAGAUAAGCUACACAGACCUACUUCAAUGAAUUAGAAAAAUUAUGAUAAACUUGAUGCAUUUCGAAAAACAACAAACAAAUAUUCCCAGGAAAACAAAAAAAAGACAACUUUGUUUAAGCUUAGACAAAAAUAACUAAGGACAUAUGAAUGCAUCAUAAUAGUAUCUCUAUGGGUAAUUUUCAGAAAUCUCCCCUAAGGUAUGGUGUAUUCUUAGUUUGAUAGAAAAUAUCUAAGUAUUCUUAUAGACCUCCCCUACUGUUAGUAUUCCAUUUCGUAUAUGUUAGGUAGAUGAGGGUAAGAUCGUAAUUUGAAUAAGUUAAUGAUAAAAAAUCCAGAAAUUUUAAGAUUUUCACAUUGGCCUCUGGGCUUUAUUCAUCUCUUUCAUCCACCAAAACCAGAAAUACAACUCACCUCUCUCCUCCACCUAAAUCGAAGCAAGGUAGCUCAAAACUCAUUUCAAAAAAUUGAUCAAUUACUUGGGUCACAAACUAGAGACAAUGACGACGAAGUUGAUGACGCCAAUAUCGACGACGAAGCUGAUGACGCCAAUAUCGACGACGAAUGAUUCGCAACUGCCAGGUAAGAGAGUAUAGUAGGUUUCGCCAUCGAACGCCCAAUCAUCCAGUUGUUUUGGAGCCGCGUUAUUUUUAUUAGCUAAAAUUAGAAUUUUUAGUGAAAAAUUGAAAGUGGGUCUCAAAAUUUUUUGAGAGCGUAUAUGUUUCUCCUGAUUUUUCGAUCGAUUCGUGUUAGUUGCAGUUAAAUGAUUAAUCCAAUUCGUGUUGAAGAUAGAGCUAACUCGAAUAUCUCUAUAGUCCUGUAAUUGAUUGAAAAUGGGUCUUGAAAAUUGUUUUAGAUUUCAGCUGUGUGCUUCUGAUUUUUUCCAUGGAUUCAUGAUAGAUGAAAAUGGUUGAUGAAGAUUUGCUUGACAUGUAUAUAGAUGGUAUUUUGUUAAAGGGGUUUUAAUUUUUUCCUUUUUUGGUGGUUUCGAUUGUGGUAUUUACAUGCCUUAGGUUGAGAAAAACGAAAAUGGUUUGUUGCACUCUUUUGUGUUGGAUCAGUGAGUUUAGGCGAUUUGAAAUGGUUUGCGGCAUUCAAUUGAUUGUUUUAUUUAUGUGGUUUGAUAUGGGAAAAGUAUAAUAAAAUUCAAUUGUUCCAUAUGUCAAUUUGGAUGUUUUGAAAUUAUGAACUACAAAAAGUUAAAAUUAAUUUCUUAUUAUAUUUUCAAUUGAAAGUUACUAUUGUCUUCUUUUUAGUACUUAGUAUGCAUUUUUCCCCAUCUUCUAGUGGUGGUGUUGCACCCAUUUUGAAUUUGAUCGGCAUCUUCUUCUGUACAUGCAUGUUUCUUGGACUCCAAUUUUUGUUUCAUAUGAUGAAGCUAAUUUAAUUCCUCCUUUUUAAUAUCAACUUUGUUCAUCUAGGUUUGCGAUUUUGAUCUUUCUCAUUUGAAGGCAAACACAUUUAUGUCAUCAAAAUUUCCAAUAUUUUUUAUUUUAUAGUAUCCAAACUGCUUAUGGCAAUAUGAAAUUGAGAAUAUUUCUUUCAUCAUGUUAACCUAAGUGGAUGGUGGAUGAUGUUUGUGUAAGAGAUUUAAGUUAUUUGUAUUAUAGAAUAUGUCUUAUGUUUUGAUUUGCAAUUUCACCAUUAAAUUGGCUUUGUAAAUGAUUAGAAGCUAAAUGCAUAAAAUGAAAACAAUAGUAACAUUUCUGAGUGGGGUAUAAUCAGAUGCUAACAUGGCGAUCCAUGACUUGUAAUUUCUAUUGUCGUUAUAAUUGGACUAGAUCGAGGUAAACUGACUUUUCUUGUUCUGUUUUUUUUUUCAUUUCUUUGUUCUAGAUUUUUCUUUCUUUGUUUUACUUCUGGUUUCUUCUUCAGCAUAUUCAAUAACUAGCAUGAGCAAAUGGAGAGGAAAAGGGUAGAAUAUGCUUUUAAAAAAAAAGAAAAGAAAAAAAGAGAUAGCUCUAAUUCAAAAAUAAGGAGGAGAAAAGGGCAAUGAUUGAAGUUGUGGAGAAGAAAUUCUUAAUGCAUAGGAGAUGACAACAAAGUGUUGCAACUGGGAGCAGUUUUAAAGUGCUAUUCGAUUGCUUUUGUAAUCAAAUUGUCUUUUGUACCUAUUUAUACACACACAUAUUUGUAUUUGUAAUUUGAAUUUUACAUUUUCUCAAGACAACUAUGUUUAUUUUAAAAAAAAUCUAAAUGUAACUAAAAUAUUAAAGUUUUUGUACUUAUUACUCCAUUUGAUGAUUUUUUUUAUUUUUUUGCUGACGAAUAUUCCAUGUCAAUUUUUUUCCCUUCAGCUCGUUUAAGGUGUUUUAUUGUCUGAUGUGAUAUUUGGUGCUCGGGAGGAAGGGUGUUUUAAGUCUUUUUUGGUGUCAGGGGCAAUUUUGUCUUUACAUCAGUCAACAAAUAGUCAAUGGAUGGAAAUGCAAACAGCAGGGGAGGUGUCUGAUAAUACACGGAUACUUUCUAUCAAACUUAUAAUACACAAAAUCUCAGGGGAGGUUUUUGAAAAUUACCCAACUGUGCAAAAUUAUGAAAAAAAUGAGCUAAACAUAUAUAGCAUUUCAGAGGAGUGCUUACUUGACAAAUCACUAAUACAAAGCUGCGAAUGGGCAUUCGGAAUGUUUUGAGAGACUCGUAUGGAUAAAAUAUGUAGUUAUUUAAGUAAUGACAGAAGGAGAAUCGUGUGGCUUGUCAAAGCCGUUAGCUCCAUCUCAUUUGCCUCGUCCUCUCGUUUUGUUUCUGUGGGGACAUAUUUGAUAUUUUGGAUUUUGUCUAAAAUUCGUCAUGUUUUUGGAUACUAACAUCUGCGCCUCUAGACCAAUAGCCAUUUGAUUAAGUGGGAGAACCCUUACACUAGUGUAAGAAUUUGAACUUUUAUAAAAUUAUUUAUGAGAUUAUUUAUAAUUUUUUUUAAUUAUCAAAUAAUUGAGUAGAGUCAGUUUAAUCCUUACGAAAUAUUUACUAUUCAUAAAUAUCUUUUUUUUUCUCUAUCUUACAAUUGAAUAUUCUCUCUCUACUCCAACAUUAUGUAACCUAAAUAUUUAAUUUCACUCUUUUUUAAUUUAUUUUUUUGUCUUUUCUUAGUAUAUUAUAAUCUUUAUUUCAUGUUUUCUAUAUAUAAGAAUUUUUUUAUAUCUAUUAAAUUUUGUGUUUAGUGAAAAUUAAUUUCUUGAUAUUUUUAAUUUUUAUAAUUGAUAAAAAUAUAUCAAUGUUCAUUUUUAAAUGAUGGGUUUUGUUCAUUUUAGUUUGUUAUAUUAAUUUUUUGUAGGUAAAAGAAUAUAUUUGAAUGAAUUGAAGGAAAAUUGUGAAAUUGAGAAGAGAAAGAGAAGAAAAAGUUAAUUAAAUAAUUUUUUCAAAAAUUAUUUAAAUAAUAAAAUUCUUAAUUAAAAACAAAGAUGGAGAGAGAAAUUUAGUGGGUUCAAAAUACUUAUUUUAAAUCCAAAAAAGAACCAAUAAAAGAAAUCAAAAGAUGAUUCUUUUCUUUCUGACAUAUUUCUCUGUACUUUUCUCUCUCUACUGAUUCACAAUUUUUCAUACUUCUAACUAUCAUUUUAUUCAAGUAUUUUGUAUUUUUAAUGACAAUUAUUUAAUUUUUAGUUAGUUUUGAUAUUGAUUAGAGAUUUAAAGUGUAUUUUAGAAGACUUCCGGUCUCUUGAAAAAAGGAAAAAUGGAGAAGAAGAAGUGUUCUUGAUUUUUUGUAGGCGUUAAAGUUAAAUGGUUUGAAAUGAUAUUCUUUUUUAAUUUCACUCAUUAAUCUCAUUCAAGAUAAAAUUAUAAAUGCAAAUAAAUGGGGUUUCAUAAGUAUUUUUAAUAGUGUUAAAAGGUCUACUCACUAAAUAAACAUGUUUAACCCAAACCAAUGCGAUUAGUAAGUUAUUGGGUUGGGUUAAUCAGGUUAAAAAUCAAAAUUAAAAAUUAAAUAAAUAAAAAAGGUAUAAAAACUAUCUGUUACUUGAAAAUAAAAAGAAUUUCUAAUUGUUAGUUCUAAUGUCCCAUAUCCAAAACAUGCAUAUUAAAUAAAUAUUAUAAGUUAGAAAUACAAUAUCCAAGAAAGAAUGAAUGAAAUACCAUAUUUUUGUUGAGAAUUAAGAGUGUGAUUUUAAUUUUGAUAUUGGAGUCUAAAGUGCCACGUUUAAAUAUUCUCUUUUAUAAAAUAAUAAAAAGAGGUUAAAAAUUAGGUUAGCAAUUUAGCCAUUUAGGGUUUAGCAAUUAAGGAUGAACAUAUUAUUGUUGUUGUUGUUAUUAUUAUUAUUAUUUAUAUGUUUACUAAUCCAAUCCAAUCCAAUUAUUAACGAAUUUGAAAAAAUUGAUUCAAUCAAGCCAUAAUAAUUCAUUCAACUCGUCUAAAUUGGAUUAGGUUGAAUUUGGUUUGCCACCCUUGUUUUGAGCAACAAACCUCAAUGUGAUUCCAUGAGCUCUUUGAUUGUUUAUAAAAUUGUUUAUGAAAGUGCAAAAUAAAUUAUUGUAUACAUUAAAAUGUGCAAAACAAUGAAUUAUAUGUACGAACGAGUGCAAACACAUUUUUCAAUAAGAAGUUAAAAGAUAUUUAUGCAUGAAAAAGCCUACGUUUGUAGUUAUUCUAAAUUUUAAAAACAAAAUUUACAUUUAGAUCCCUAAAAUUUACGUAUAAGUACAAAAGUUUCAAAUAUUGUCUAUUAUUUUUUUAACAUGCCUAUUCCUUGUGGAUAAUUCUAUCUCAUCACUAAUGUUGUUUCUUGCUUACAAUUUGUAUAGUGUCUCAAAAUAGACAAUAGGGGGAUUUUGAAUUUUUUAAGUCUCAAUAUAGUCUCUAAUCUUGUGAGAAAGAUUUUCUUUCAAUAAUUUGGAGGUAAACAUAACAUAACUUUUUGGACUAAAGCCUAACUCUGCUGGUUAUGGUGGUAUCCUUUUCAAGACCUGCGUCUUUAGAUUCGAGUUUUAUAGUGUGCAUGCGUAUUUAAUUAAUAAUUUUUUAAAACAAUACAUCAAAUAUUAAUAUCCAUGACAUAAUUUAGUUCUUAAUUUUUUUUUUAAAUACAUCAAAAACAUAAUUUUUUUAACAACUUAUAGGCAUGACAAAUUUCAAGAUAUAAAUAUCAGUCAAAAUAAGUGAAAGAAAUAAUGGUGCCAAUUCUAAUUUCUUAACUAAAUUAAUUAGUGCAUGAGCCCCGAAUACGACACGAGAGUUUGAUGGGCUAACAUGGCACAAGAACCUGAAUAAAUAAUUGAUUUAAGAAAUAAUUCAAUGAAAAAUAUAAUUGAUAAGAAUUCAGUAUUGAAAUGAGUUUUUUAUGAAACACUGAAUUAAUGAUUAUUAAGCAAGAACAAUAAAAAAUAAAUAUUAAUCAUUGAUAAGUUUCAACAAAAGCUUAACACAAUCCUCAAUCCUAAUUCAAAUUAUAAAUGUCAUUCAUAUAUUCAUUAUAAUCAACAACAAAGGUUAUAAAUGUUUAGAAAUUCUAGAGGGAAGGAAGCUAUCGCUGGGCAAUCAACAACUAAAUUUGAUGUAAUUGUGGCACGAGAUGGAAUAUGGAAACUACACCAUAAUUUCAAAUGCCGCCAUAGACAUUGACUUAUCUACAAUAACAAUGAUCUAAUUAAAAUAAAAAUAGAGUUUAUGGGCAUUUAUUAAAAUAAAAAUAGGAGUGAAGUAAAAACAUUUAGAUUUUAAUGUAUGUACGGAAAAAUUUAUCUUUAAAAAUACUUUCUUAAUGUGUGUGUGCAUAUUGAAAUACUCAAACCAAUUUUGGUUAUAUAUAAUUCAACAAAAUUUAAAAUAUGAAAAAUAUAAUGUAGUUAUAGUGGAUAAGCAAUAAGUGAGCACAAUAUAAUUAAUCAAAUACUAUGCUAUCAAAAGUUAAUUUUAGAAAUUCCAAAUCCAAUAGCUAACACAAUUCUUUAAAGAAAUAACAAGGGGCAUUGGGCAAGAGUAAUGAAUGCUUAGUGGGUGCAUUUGAUUGAUAGAUAUAUAAAGGGCCGAAACUUGAUAUUAUAUUACUUUUACAAAAUUUAAUCCAAUCACAUAUUUAAUGAAAACAAAAUGAGUUAGGAUUGUUUAUUUAGAACCCACAUUUUAAUAAGGCUUCAUUUGAUGUAGUUUUUCAAACAUUGAUUAUUUGAGUAAUUACAAAGUACAAUACGUACCAAGUUUGGUAACUUAAUUGACAUCUUCUCAUAUAACCUUCGAUCAAGUCGAUUCUGACCUGACGACUAAUUGGUACAUCACCGUUGUUCUCUAUACUCGCAUGCAUCCGAUCACAAAUCUCACUCCAAUUGUCGUCUUUCUUCGGCGUUUUAGCGCAUCCUUCUUGAAUUUCCCGCAUUUCGUUCCCUCCUGUUACAAGUCUCCGGUCAGGUCAGUUCACUUGACGAUUAAUUCGGCAAAUCUCGAAUCUCUUCUCUAUCCCUCUCGUUUUCUCGUGUCUCCUUUCAGUUUAAGUGAUUGAAUCAAUUUUAUCGCAGUCUUAAGAGAAAUUAAGUAAUGCUCUUGGAUUUAAAAUUUUUUUGCUUUCGACUUUAGAUCUCGAAAGUCAAACUCUGCUACGAAUCCAUAGAUUCUCAAUGUUUAUAAUCUUAUUUGUGUUUGACCAGGUAACUGGAUCGUGAAAUUCGUCGUUUUGUAUCAAUUCAAGCUUUCGCGAGCUCAUGGAAUCCCCUGGUGAGUUGUGGUGAAACGUUAUCGUUUCAAUUUUCGCUUAAUUCUUUAUUGCAUAUUUUUUUCUCUCUAAUAUUUCAGUUUAAUUUAGAAAAGAAAGAGGACCCAAAAAGAGAGAGAGAGAGAGAGAGACUCUACCAUACUCAAUUCCUUGCUCAUUCUGAUUUGGCCUGAAUGUUGGCAUUGACUAUUAUUUGUUUUCAUUUCGAUUUAAUUCUCAUUUAGACAGUCUUUUUUAACUAGCAAUAAUCUUUUUAAGGAAAAUGAUAAUAGGGAUUCUGCAAUAAUCUUUUUAAGGAAAAUGAUAAUAGGGAUUCUGCAAUAAUCUUUCUGCAUUGUUCAAGUUAGUAGACAAUGAAUAGGGUGUUUAUGUUUACCUCAUUUUGAACCCUGAGGGCUUCGUUGAGUAGUUGAUCCAACAUAUCCAGCACCGGUUGAUGUGAGAACAGGAUGCCAUUUAGAUAGGCUUAAACUGAUUUUGGAGGUUUGUAUUCAUUCUAUUGUAUGUCUUGCUUACAAAUUUUUUAUUUUUUAUUUUUAAUUUUGUAUAAUAUGCUCUUUGUUGGUAAAUCUCAUUUGACUUAGAAGAGAUAGUUUUAUCCCAACAGUGGGAUAAAUCAUUGAGAUGCAUGGCAGUGUGAAUAUAGUAGACAAAAUCAUUGAGACAGAUGGUGGUGUGAACAUAGUAAACUUUGUCAAACACAGCUAAGAUAAACAAAUUGUUUCAUUAGCCUUUAUCUUAUCUGCUGUGAUGAUUCAAAUUAAUGCUGUUUGGUAGGUUGCAAAAAACGAAAUGAGCUGACUGUUCAUAUUAUUUAGUCAGAUCUAUUGCAAUAAGUUGAAGUUCACUGUCACAUGGGUUGGGAGUAGCGUGGGCUGUGAGUAGUAGAAUGGAUUUAUGGAGUUGAUACAAGUGCCCAUAAUCUAUCAUGUCAUUCUAGGAUUAAAUGGAUUGCACAUUACUGUAAAGAUGGAGGUUAAAUUUAUAUAAUUCGGAUUGAUUGUAAAAUGGGAGGCAGAGAUGAGUUAGAAAAAAAAUGACCUGUGUCCUUUUUGAGCUGUUUCUAAAUCUCCCUGGUGUGCUUCAUGCUUAACACGUGUCUGUCCAAAUAAUUUUGCUUAACCUGUGCUUGUCUACUUCUUGUGCUAUUCUGUGCCUGGUCCUGAGCUGUGUUGGUAGAUUGACAUAAUUUUGCUCUGCUAAAUGUAUAACUUAUUAAUCAGAGUCCUGUUAUUAUGGUUUGACACUACUGACAUGUUGUGUUGGUAUUUAUUUGUACUUCCCUUGGUUGAAUUAUUUGCUGUCUCCAUGCCAUUCGAUAUGGUGCUACUUGGUUUUUGAUCAUCCAUGACGCUAUAUAUAUGUAAAGGAUGAAUUGAUUGUUUUGGCUUGUAUUCUCACAUUUUAUGAUUGAUCGAUGGAAAGGUCUUCAUGUAUUAAAUUCAACCUCACAAGCGUAAGAUUGACAGAUUGUGGGAAAAUUUUCAGGAAAAGAAACUAGACUUCAUGGAAGCAAUGAAGCUUGAAAUUGAACGUCUGCAGCUGCAUCUUUCUGCAGCUGAAAGGGAUAGAGCUUUAUUGUCAAUUGAAACUGAUCCUGCCUCUAUAAAUCCAAAUGUAUUGCUUGAUGAAUCUUACAUGGGAAGACUGUCGAGUAGCAACCACUCUUGCAUUACUUGGCCAAACUUCCCUAGAAGACAAAAUUGUUGGUGCAAUUGGCCUUGAGAAUAGUGAUGAUAGUGUUUUAGACUUCUGGAAUAUUACUAGAAUCGGAGAGAGUUGUUCUGGUGGCGGGUGCAAGGUUUGUGCAGAAACUAAGGUGCCUGCUCUUGCUUCCUCAACUGCAACAUCUGUUGGAGCUUCACAAUCCCCUUUGUUGUGUUCUCAAUGUGAAAGAAAAGUUUGCAAAGUUUGUUGUGCAGGAAGAGGAGCUCUACUGUUUUCAAAUUAUAAAUCAAGGGAUGUGACCAACUACAAUGGCUUCUCAAGUCAGAGUGGAUGAAGCCAUGGAAGCCAAGUUGAUGUAUCUACCAGUCGUUCACUAACACUGGAUGGCGUUAUCUGUAAACACUGCUGCCAUGAGAUUGUGCCUGAUGCAUUGAUGUUGGACCAUGUUAGGGUCUUGAUUAGCUUGCGAAGAAGUUCCUGUGCAGACAACGCAGUCAUACAAUGCUUUGAAUGAGGUUGUUGGAUCCUGCUUAAAGGAUAGUGUUUCUGAAAGGAUUCAGUCUUCCGAUAACGUGCAAGCUGCUGAAGUCCUUCACCAAUUAUGUGGUGGACAGGAAUCACUUGCUGAAUUUCCAUUUGCUAGCUGUUUGCACUAGGUAUGUUCUUGGUUUGUAUUCAGUUCUCAUCAUGUUAUGUUUUCCUUUUAAAUUUCUUUUCUUGAUUAAAAUUUUUAGAAAUAUGUUUUAGUAUUUGUUCUUAUGAUAUAUGCCCAGAACAUUCAUCCCACUUAUCCAUGAGAAUCCUUGUCUGGUUUGAUUUUCAAUUGAGACAUUUUUGGGAACCCUGAGCAGGUUCCAUAUGCUAAUAAUCUUUGAGGUAAGGUGUUGUAGGAUGCCUUGAGAAGCUAAAAACCUAUUACAAGGAAAAGCUCUUGCAUUGUUUUGUGGAAUCUGUGUUGUGAAAAUAGGUAGAGAAAAAGUUUAUGGAAUAAUUCUCUUAUUUCAUAUGUUCAUGAGACUGUACACAGUCUUUAUAUAGGGAUACAAGAGACUAAGAAAGGAAAGAAAAAAUUAAAGCAGAAUAUUACACACUGAUUUCUAGGAAGCAAUAACUCUAUAUUUACACCAAAUAUACACCUAAAUAUAUAAGGAAAACCAAAUCAAUUUGAUUUGGUCAACCUUUCAACACUCCCCCUCAAGCUGGUCUAAAAAUGUCUUUCAUGGCCAGCUUGCAAACCAAUUUCUCAAAAUGUUUCUUAGGUAGUCCCUUGGUGAGUAUAUCAGCAAUCUGCUCAUUUGUAGGAAUGUAGGGCAUGCAGACCAAACCACUGUCCAGUUUUUCUUUUAUGAAAUGUUUGUCCACUUCAACAUGUUUAGUUCGGUUGUGGAGUACUGGAUUAUGUGCUAUUGCAAUGGCAGAUUUGUUGUCACAAUAUACUUUCAUAGGUAGAGAAUUAUUUGCCUUAAGUUCUUCAAGAACUUUUUUGAUCCAAAAAACCUCACAAAUUCCUAGAGCUACUGCUCUAUAUUCUGCCUCUGCACUACUUCUUGCUACCACAGUUUGUUUCUUGCUGCGCUAAGUGACCAAAUUUCCUCCGACAAAGGUGCAGUAACCCGAAGUGGAUCUUCUAUCGGUUACACUACCAGCCCAGUCAGCAUCAGUGUAGACUUCUACUUGUAGGUGCCCGUUUUUUCUAAACAAAAGACCUUUACCCGGAGAUCCUUUUAAGUAUCUAAGGAUUCUAUAUACAGUUUCAAAGUGUUCUGGUCCUGGAGCAUGCAUAAACUGGCUGACUAAGCUCACUGCAAAGGCUAUGUCCGGGCGUGUAUGUGAAAGGUAGAUUAAUCUACCUACAAGGCGUUGGUACCGAUCUAUGUUGGUCACAUCUUCAAUAUUAGCUGGCUGUAAUUUCAUAUUAGGAUCUAUGGGUGUCUCGGCUGCUUUACAUCCGAGUAAACCUGUCUCUUCAAGCAAAUCAAGAACAUACUUGCGUUGAGACACAACAAUCCCAUCUUUUGAUCUAGCAAACUCCAUGCCCAAAAAAUACUUCAGGUUGCCUAAGUCUUUGAUUUCAAAGUCACGUGCAAGCACUUUCUUUAAUCUGCAAAUCUCAACUAAGUCAUCACCAGUCAAAAUUAUAUCAUCUACAUAUACAAUUAACACGACUAAUUUCCCUUCAAUAGAAUGUUUGUAAAACAUUGUAUGAUCUGCCUGACUUUGGGAGUAGCCGUGUCCCUUUAUAACAUUACCAAAGCGUUCAAACCAUGCUCUAGGAGACUGUUUGAGCCCAUACAAAGACUUAUGUAGUUUACACACUUUACUGUUGCCAUGAUUUCCCUCAAAACCUAGUGGUAAAUCCAUAAAGACUUCUUCUUCUAGCUCCCCAUUCAGAAAAGCAUUUUUAACAUCUAACUGGUAUAGAUUCCAAUCAGAAUGUACAGCCAAUGAGAUAAGGACCCGGAUGGAAUUUAUCUUUGCAACGGGGGCAAAAGUUUCUUGAUAAUCAAUUCCGUAGGUUUGAGUGAAUCCUUUUGCUACAAGCCUUGCCUUAUAUCUCUCAACACUCCCAUCAGCAUUACAUUUAAGUGUAAACACCCACUUUCAACCCACAGUUUUCUUUUCUUUUGGUAAAUCCACAAUCUCCCACGUACCAUUCUUCUUUAGAGCAUUCAUUUCCUCUAAAACUGCUAACUUCCAAUCUGGGUGGUCUAGGGCUUCUUUUAUGGUUUUAGGAAUUGGUAUUUGAGAGAUUUUUGUGGUAAAGGCUCUUUGUUUAUUGGACAACUUUUCAUAGGAAACAUAUCUAGCAAUGGGGUGCUUAGUACAGGUUCGGGUUCCUUUCCUAUGUGCUAUGGGUAAGUCAAGAUCAGGAAAAAAAGUGCUGAAAUGUUUAGGAGAAGAAAUGUUACCUGAAUUUUCUGAGGAAUCAGUGCUUGGAGGCAACGAUUGAGGCUGUAUCGAGUUUAUGAGAGGGUCUUUACUGUUGUGAUGAUACUUUCGAGUAUAAACACGCAGCUCUGGUGGUGGAAUUUUAUCUUGUAGUAUUUCUCCCCCUGUCUCUGGUACAUUAACACUUGGUUCCUGUAGUUCAAGGUUUCCUAGGUUUUCAUUAUUAGAAAUAUCAGUUUUUUGAGUUUGAGUUGGAGUGCCCAGAUCAGGUAAAAACUGAUUAGGCAUAGGUGUAGAAGUAUGCCAAAAAUGAUCUUCACUAUUUUCUUUCUCCCCCUGAAGAGAAUUUUGGCCAAAAAAAGGUUGAUUUUCGAGAAAUAUAACAUCCAUACUGACAUGGAAUUUCUUUGUUUGAGGAUUGAAACAUUUGUAACCUUUUUUAUUAGGUGCAUAGCCCAAGAAAACACAUUUUUCAGAUCUAGGAUCCAAUUUAGAUCUAAGAUGGUUAGGAACAUGAACAAAUACAGUGCACCCAAAGACUCUUAACUGAAUAUUGGAGGUAAUCCUACUAGAAGGAUAUAUAAGUGUGAAGUAUUCUAAAGGUGAUUGAUACUUUAAAACACGGGUAGGCAUCCUAUUAAUCAAAUAACAUGCUGUUAAAACAGCAUCACCCCACAAAUAUUUAGGAACAUGCAUAGAGAGCAUGAUAGCCGACUAACUUCAAGUAAAUGGCGGUUUUUUCGUUCCGCAAUUCCAUUUUGUUGUGGAGUAUCACGACAAGUGGAUGUGUGAAUUAUACCCUUUUCCUUACAAAACACCUCUAGAUAAUUAUUAAAAUAUUCAGUACCAUUAUCUGUAUGGAGUAGACUUAUUUUUGUUUGAAAUUGAUUUUCAACCAUGUUAUAAAAAUCUUUGAAUAACCCCUCAACUUCAGAUUUUUCUCUCAUUAAAUAAACCCAACAAAGCCGAGUAUGAUCAUCUAUGAAUGUUACAAACCAUUUUUUUCCAGUUAAAGUGUUGAUUUUUGAGGGUCCCCAAACAUCACUAUGAAUUAAAUAAAAAGGUUUUGAGGCACGAUAAAUAAGUGCUUUAUAUGAAACUCGAUGACUUUUAGAUAAAAAACAACUUUCACACUGAAAAGUAGUACAAUCAACAUUUUUAAAUAAAUUUGGAAACAAAUAUUUCAAAUAAGGAAAGCUAGGGUGUCCUAGUCUAAGGUGCCAAAGCAUUAUUUGAUCCCUAGCAGAGUUUGAACUAAUACUACUGCUCAAACCUUGAGUUUGUUUAUUCCUUGAUAAGUAGUCAUCAAAAUAGUAAAGACCUUCUCGCAAACUAGCACUGCCAAUCAUCGUCCCCAAGUCCCUGUCCUGAAAUUCACAAUGGGAGUCAAAAAAGACAGCACAACAAUUAGAAUCUUUGGUUAAUUUACUGACAGAUAACAGAUUGCAAGAAAGUUUAGGGACAUGUAGCACAUUUUUAAGCUCAAUGGUUCCAGAGAUUUUUAUUGAUCCUUUUCCAGCUAUGGAAGAUAAGCUUCCAUCAGCAACUCUUACCUUUUUGUUACCAGGGCAAGGAUAAUAGGAAUCAAAUAAACUAGAAAUGCUAGUCAUAUGAUCAGAAGCACCCGAAUCAAUAAUCCAUGGUGCAGUAGUUGAGUGGCUAAAUAGAGCAUUAAUAAUACUACCUGUUUGGGCUAGUGAACCACUAGGAGUACUAGGUGGAGGAUUAGAAGUCAGCAGCUUUAUGAGAUGGUCAAUUUGCUCCUUGCUGAGAUUUUUUUCUAGAUUCUCCACUUCAUUGGCAGACGCACGGCUAUGCUUGCUGUUUUUCCAAUCUGCAGGCUUUCCGUGGAGUUUCCAGCAAGCCUCCCGAGUAUGGCGUGGUUUAUUACAGUAAUCACACCAUACUCGAGGUUUUUGUUGCUGUUGAGUGAUGGAGCGGGUAGCAUUAUCUGCUGUAACAAGGGCAGAUUUUUCCACAGAGACAACGGAGUUCUUUUUUCCCAACAUAACACCUCGACGACUUUCUUCUCUCCUUACUUAAGAGAAAACAUCCUCAAGAGUAGGAAGUGGCUUUCUCCCAAUAAUUCUUCCUCUUACCUCAUCAAAUUCAACAUUGAGCCCAGCCAGGAACUUGAAGAUUCGCUCAUUAUUGACAGUUUGUUUGUGGUGUUUAAAAUCUUCCAUGCUCUCCCACUCGUAGUCGUUGAAUAAGUCCAGAUCUUGCCACAAUCUCUUUAGAGUAUUGAAGUAUUUUGUUAUACUAUAAUCUCCUUGACGGAUAUCUCCAAGAGCAAGCUGCAACUCAUAGAUCUGGGACUGAUUUCCAUAGUCAGAGUACAUCUGACUCACAUUAUCCCAGAGUUCUUUUGCAGUAGAGUAGCACAUAUAAUUUGCACCAAUGUCUUCAUCCAUGGAGUUGACUAACCAUGCCAUAAUCAUGGAGUUUUCGGCAUCCCAAACACCAUAAGAGGGAUCAGAUAUUUCAGGAGCCUUAACAUCUCCGGUAAGAUAACCAAUCUUCCCUCUUCCCCUAAUAUACAUUCUAACCGACUGAGACCAUCUUUGAAAAUUUCCUUCAUUCAGCCGGAUAGUUGUAAUCUGGACAGAAUGAGAUUCAGAAUGGGAAAUUUUUGGUUCUAGUCUUUUUGAGGUGACUGUGGUUUCAGAAGAUUGGUCAGACAUGGUAGGGAAGAGAUCAGAAAGAAAGGGAGCCUAGCUCUGAUACCAUGUGAAAAUAGGUAGAGAAAAAGUUUAUGGAAUAAUUCUCUUAUUUCAUAUGUUCAUGAGACUGUACACAGUCUUUAUAUAGGGAUACAAGAGACUAAGAAAGGAAAGAAAAAAUUAAAGCAGAAUAUUACACAUUGAUUUUUAGGAAGCAAUAACUCUAUAUUUACACCAAAUAUACACCUAAAUAUAUAAGGAAAACCAAAUCAAUUUGAUUUGGUCAACCUUUCAACAUGUGUGCUAGCAAGUCAUGUCUCUAAUAAUUUCAUAGUUUGCUUGAUUGGAAUUUUUUAUCUUGAUAUGGAUUGUUUAUUCUAGAUUCCUUGGUGCUGUAGGUUGAAACAGCAAAAGAUUCAGCACCGAUUUUGUCACUGCUUGCUCCAUUAAAUUCUGGAUCAAGGCACUCAUAUUGGAGAGCUCCACCUUGUACUACUUCUGUUGAAUUUGUUAUUGUUCUCUGUUCUGUUUCUGAUGUCAGUGGGGUUAUCUUGCUUGUUAGUCCUUGCGGCUAUUCUGUGGGUGACACUCCGAUGGUAAGUGCCAUAUUUAUUCCCUUAUUUCCUUGUUGUUCAAUAAAUUUGGUGAUAAGCCAAGUGGCCUUAAUAAUGAAGCCCAGUACCAGGGGUGGUGGGUAAUCGAUAUUCAACUUGUGAAUAUUCCUAAGCAAGCACUGAAUCAACAUAGACCUCGGCAAAAGUUCUCCAUGCUAUUAUAACGAAAGUCAUAUUUUGAAAUGAUUAAAAGAGUCCCUGUGUAGUGCUAUUUCCAAAGAAAUUGCAGCUGGAGGUUUAGUUUCAUGUAGGUUAGUUUCCGAUAAUAAACUUUCCAUUUCAUUAAUUGCUGAUGAAAAAACCAAGUAAGAACAGUUUUGUUGCUCGUCAUUUAUGUAUAUUUUGGUAAACUGUAAUUUUAAAUUCUCAACGAUCUUCCCUUUGUAGGUAAGAAGAUGGUCCACUCACUUGAUAUUUAUGAUUGUAGAUCAGGUUUCUAUUGGUUUGCCUUUAUCAUUCGGAACCCAAGUUUGAUAUUAACAGAGAUCACGUCAAUAAUAUCCUAUUUGGGUAGAUGUGGGUGAGGAUUUAAAAUCAAAUUUGAAAUUGAGGGCAAAGAAGAGAAAAGAAACCGCAAUAAUUAAACAAAAUAUUAGGAACUAUUCUGAUGAGUUUUAAUCUCGAGAGGAACAAUUUUCAAAUGCAAAAUUUAACUGCUAGAGAAAUUGUAGCUUUUUGUCAUUAGUUAAGAGGAAAGAGAAUAAGAACUAUCUGGCCCUUUCCUUCAUGAAUGUGUGUUGAGGUUGCUGUAUUAUUUAGUCAGUAUUUGUAAUUUUCUUCCCUGCAGUGCUCUCUGCCUCCUGAAUUUGCUACUGAGUCCAUAUUUUUCUUUGAGCUGUUGCUUCCUAUUGCUGUUACAGGUACAAAUCUGGGCAAGCAAUAAGAUACACCGGGAGGACAGGUCAUCAAUGGGAAAAUGGGAUGUCCAAUCCCUCAUCACAUCUUCUUCAGAUUUGUAUGGUCCAGAAAAGUCUGCUAGUGUUGAAAAAUUACCUAGGCAUGUAAAAUUUACUUUUAAGAAUCCUGUUAGGUGCCGCAUUGUUUGGAUCACAUUACGUCUUCAGAGACCUGGUUCGGCUUCAGUUAAUUUCGGGAAUGACUUCAGUCUUUUGUCUCUUGAUGAAGAUGAAAACCCCUUUGCACAAGUAGACAGACGUGCUUCAUUUGGAGGAGCAGUUGAAAAUGAACCAUGUAUUCAUGCCAAAAGAAUUCUUGUAGUCGGAAGCCCAGUAAAAAGGGAGGGGCUUACCACAUCACAGAGCUCUGAGCAGCUAAGUAUUAGAAACUGGUUGGAUAGAGCUCCACAAAUGAGUAGAUUCAAGGUAUUAGUUGCUUUCACUCUUUGUUCAUUCAUAAUUCCAGCUUUCUGCUUGAUGCCUUGCCUCUGAUAAACCUCUUUUUUCUCUUCAGGUCCCAAUUGAGGCCGAGAGAUUGAUGGACUACGAUCUCGUCUUGGAACAGUAUCUACCUCCAGCGUCACCUUCGCUUGCCGGAUUCCGUCUAGAUGCUUUCAGUGCAAUAAAACCUAGGGUUACCCAUUCACCUUCCUCAGAUUCAGAUAUCUGGGACAAAUCAGUAACAUUUUUAGAAGACAGGUACAUCUCUCAAGCUGUGUUGUAUUUACAAGUAUCCGCACUCCAGGAACCACAUAACAUGGUAACUAUUGCGGAAUAUCGACUGCCGGAGGCUAGAGCCGGAACGCCAAUGUACUUUGAUUUCCCACGACCGAUACAGUCCCGACGAGUUUCAUUCAAGCUUCUUGGAGAUGUUACAGCAUUUGCAGAUGAACCUUCAGAACAAGAUGAUUCAGGAUUGAGAGCUCCACUUGUGGCCACAGGUUUGUCUUUGUCAAACAGAAUCAAGUUAUAUUAUUAUUGUGAUCCUUAUGAGCUCGGAAAAUGGGCAAGCCUUUCUGGAGUUUGAUCGUUAUUUAUAUGUCAGAGAAAGGGUUUUGGGUUUGAUUUUGAUUUUGAUUUGUAAUUUUUGUCAGUUUAUUGAAAUUUUUUGUUGUAUAAAAGCAGAAUGUAAAGGUAUAAAAAUUCAUUGAUGCUGCAAUGUCUGUGCUUUUGAGAAAGAAAGAAUUCUAUGGCUUUUCUAUGCCAUUGGAUUUUCCACUGCCUGUAAACUUGGGCUGUCGAAUGCUCUGUGAACCUUAAGGGCUAUAAAGUAAUUUUCAAGACUGAAGGAUUUAUUAAUCGAGUUCAAAAGAUUGCAAGUUGGUGAGCGUUGGCAUUUAAAAAAUCAAUUGUUAUUCUCUCAAUAAUCUCUGUCUUCUGCCGACACCCCAUGCUCAGAAACCCAUUGUUCCGACGGACGUGUAACACUUCUAGAAAUUGUUUUGAUCUCUCCUCGUGAAGUGUUUUCUUUUUCGAGUGAAGGUGGUUUUCUACUUGCAUACGUCGGGGGUCUUAUGAUAUGUAAUGUGUGAAAUUUCUUUCUCAUUUUACCAUAAAGAAAAAUGUUGUAAUAAUCUAAAGCUCGAGUCUUAAAUUAUCUUAAAUUUAUAUUUAGAGUGGAGCUAUUCGCAAUCCUACAUUAAAAUUACAAAUAAAAAUAAUUGAAAAUUAAACACUUAUAGAUUUUUUUUACAACAAAUUAUUUAAUUCAUAAUCAAUCCUUUAAAAAAAAAAAUCCAUAUGUUACUUGCUAUCUAACUAAAAUAAAUUUUACAAAUUUAGAAUAAUCUAUUGAUUUCUUUUGAUUUCUUAUUAAUUAAAUAUUUUUAUACAUAAAAUUGCUUUGAAAUUAUAAUUUGAAAUAUGUGUUAUUUCAGCCAAUGAUUAACACUAAAAAACUUAUCACCCAUAUAACUUUUUAAUUUGUGUGUAGGGUAAUAAUAAAAUCAAAAAUAAUUAAAAAAAUAGUACAAUAAUGAGUUUUAACAAUAAAACAAAUCAAAUGAAAAUUGAAAAUUUAGAAAAAAUGUAUCUAAAAAAGGGAACGUUUUUUAAAAUAAAAUGAAUAUAACUAAAAAGGGGUUUUAUGAGAAGAGCAGAGGGGUGCCAAUAGUCCAACUUGUAAUUAAGAAUCUCCCAUUAUAUUGUCAACCAAAAAGACACUUGAAUAAGAAGAAGAAUUUAUCAGUUUGAUUUUAUUUAUAGAUCCAACAUUUCUCAUAUCCUAAACGCCUUUCCGUAUCAAAUUAAAACAGUAGUCGCAAAAUCGUAGUAUUAAAAUCGUAGUGCACAUUCAAUUAACCAACUAAUAGUCUUUGGUAUAAGAUUUUAUAUUAGCUAGCCAAGUAGGUUGUCCAUCCCACUCAGACAUGAACGAAAGCUAAAUUCAUCAAAUGGUGUUAUACUAUUAAAUAUUUUUAUAUUUAAAAUUACUUUGAAAUUAUAAUUUCAAAUUAAAAUAGUAGUAGCAAAAUCGUAGUGCACAUUCAAUUAACCAACUAAUAGUCUAAGAAGCAAAGAGAGGAUUACAAGUUCACAACACCAUUACAAAGGAUUCAAAAUUCCCACACGAAAACAUCAAUGUACAGAUUAUAAACAAUCCGAAUUGGACACAAGAAAAAGCCCUUCAAUGGAUUGCUUUCCUUCCCAAUGCUAUAUACUGUGCAAACUCCGCACUGGCCAAGAAAAUGUUUUCAAUUUAGUGUAUUUUCAAAUUGCUUAUUUUCUCAUAAUAUAAAAAAUAAAAAAGAAUCCUUACAUGUUUCAUCAGCAUGAUUAAAAUCAAAGAAGAAAGCGAAGACGUAAUGUCUCUGACAUAAUAAAAUUACAAAAAUUUCAAGGAAAAAAAAAAGGUUAAAACAUGUAAUCUUCAGAAGCAUAUAAUAAAAGAACACUUCCACAAAUUACUACAAUUUCAUGCAGUAGAGAUUGAAGAGUUGAAUUCCACUAAUUUUAAUAAUGAAAACAACAACAGAGGAUUAACUGAUGCUUUGACUUAUUAGCAGGUUGCUUUGACUUAUUAGUUCUGCAGCUAAGUUAAAUAAAAUAAGCUAUUUUCAAAAGCAAAAUGGAAUACAUAGAUAAAAACAUCAUCUUAAACAAAUCACAAUCUAGAAUUAGAGCAUUUUCGACAUACCUAAGGAACACGAAUACGUGAAAACGGGUGAUUUAUUUGUUAAGGAGUGUUGAUUUGGUCGUCUCUGCAAAUUCUUUAGGGACUCGGUUCCAAUUCCUCUUCAUCAAAACUGUAAUAUAAUUCCCCUUCAUCAGAACUCGAAUCGAUGCAAUAUAAUUCCCCUUCAUCAGAACUCGAAUCAAAUUCACUUGCAGCAGUUCCACUCGCGCUUGGCAAAUCAUCCAAUUUCCAAACUUCGGUAACAAAAUUGAGAGUAAAAGUGUUGGCUUUGAUCUCGCUGGGAUUUGCAUAUACUGGACAUACUCCGCAACGUUUUAUCUUCUGACCCUUUUGGACCUUUAUUAUGUUUCGGUGACACUCAUUGAAGAACUUAAAUGUGGCAGUUGAAUGAUGGUCACCAUCAGGAAAGCCAACAUUCAAGCAAGGUUUAAAACCAAGUAUGACAUGAUCUGAAUCAUGGGGGUCUUGAAUUGAGUGCAAAUUGUAACCCAGAUGAACAUGUUUGGUUUCAGAGAGAGUCUUUAUUUCUAAGUCGGAUCGACAGUAAACGUAAAAAUAACGAAAACGAUCAGAAUAAAGUUGCUUAAAAUCAAGAACAGCACAAAAAGCAAACCCGAUUAAGUUUCUGCAAAAAGAGUGCGGUGGCAGUUGAAUACGUAUCGAAGAUCCUGAACUUUGAUUGCUGAACCAGUCAGGAAUUUCGCUCCCAGGUAAAACAAUUUGGGAUCCCCUGAGUUCAGAAAGUUUCUGCGAAACGACAUUUAAAAAAAGAAAAUUGUAAAAUGAAAACCAUGAUUUCAGAUAUAACAAAGAGGGACAGAGUAAACAAGAGAGGGAAUUUGAUACCUCGUUGUAUGCAUUUUCAUAGCCCAGUCUCAGUGAUGCUGCAAUUGCCAUACGUAGUGAAUCUGCCAAAAUCUUGUUGUUUGCUUUUCCAUCAAGUUUCAAGCAGUUAGUAAACUCAAAACAAAUUGGUUGUGGCGUCACAUAUUCCGGAUGCCAUUCACGAAGGUCAGGAGAGGGUUUGGAUAGCUUUUCGAGUACGGAUGCAUCUAGUUCUUGUACACAUGACGGAAUCUCUGGCAAAGAUUGAAGCCGGUUGCAGUUCAUUGCUUUUAGUGACUGUAGACACAAUGGAAGUUCUGGUAAUGACCGAAGCAUGUUACAAUCCUCCAAGUGAAGAGUUUCUAGACCCAAUGGAAGUGCUGGUAAUGACUGAAGCAUGUUACAACGCCUCAAGUAAAGAGAUUUUAGACACAAUGGAAGUUCUGGUAAUGACUGAAGUAUCUUACAAUCCCUCAAUUCAAGAUAUUUUAGACACAAUGGAAGUUCUGGUAAUGACUGAAGCAUAUUACAAUCCUCCAAGUUAAGAUAACUUAGCCACGACAGUUGCUUGAUACUUGCAGGUAAACUCUCAAAGUUAUUUCCACUUAAAUUGCCAAUGUUAUCCGGCAACUUGUCAAGUAUAGAGCAACCACUUACGGACAAAAAUGAAAGCCCCGGUAGAUUUUCAAAUGGCGAUGGCAGCUCUGUAAUUGCCGUCCAGACUAAAUAGAUGCAAUUUAAAUGUUCCAUUUUCUCCAAGAUUUCUGGGAAACGCUCAAGGUUCAAGCAGCCAAAAAGAAAAAGAUCAACCAAAGAUCUCAAUUUACAGAACCUAGUUGAAAUCCUCUUCAGCCGUUUGCAAUGCCCCAAAUCCAACACUUCAAGAUCAGUUAGGCACUCUAUUGAUGAUGGAACUUCUUCUAUUGCAGACUGGCCUAAGGAUAGCUCUGUGAUUUUCCCAGAAAUCCGUGGAAACUCUUUGAGAUUAACACAAUAGGAGAAAUUAAUAGUUACUGGACAAACAAAAUGAAGAUUGCUUGGAAAAGACCUAAGACUUUUGCAGCCCUCAAAAGACAACGCACUGAGAUACUUGAAAUUCUGGAUAGAUGAGGGAACACAAGCCAAGUUUGUAUAAUCCAAAAGAUUUGUUUCAACAUUUGGGGUUUCUAAUGGGCCUGGCAUCUUAAUGAAAUGUCGAGAAUGAUUGAGGUUAAUAGAUUUUAACUUGAAAGCUUCCUGCAAUAACAGAUAUAUAAAGACUAUAUUAAUUAAAAAGCAACAUUGAAUUCAACAAUUAAUUGCACGUAUGUUUAAAGAAAGAAAAAAAUUAAUGUUUUAGUUUUAGUACAAAACUUACCUUUUCUCCUUCCCAAAGUUGCUCAACUUUACUAAAACGCAAAUUCAGUUCAACAAGGUUCAUUGGCUUGAAAUUUGAUGGCAGUGUCCUUAAUGGAUAUGUGUCCCAAUGAAGAUAUCUCAAUUUUUUAGGAAGAUAAUCUAGGCCAUUUGGAAGCUGCACUUUAGAGUAUGAAAGUUGCUCUUCAAUGCUCAUACUUAGAAACCUUUCAAUCUCAGGUACAUAAAAUUUGAGCAAUCUUAGAUUAGACAUUUUUGUGAAGGCUCCUGGGUCUAAAUUGAUGCCUUUUAUUUUGGACAAAUCCAGAAAUAUGCCUUCAAUUGCAUCGGUCCCCUUAUUAAAAAAAAAAAAAACAAAGAAUGAGUAACCCUAAAACAGAAAAGAAACAUUCGUAAACUUUAUUAACUAAGAGCUUCUUAAACAAAAACAAAUUCUGCAAUCUUUGAUUUUAUUUUUUUAAUAUAUUAAAUAUCUAUAUACGAGAAAAGAAAAUUUUGGGGACCAUUGCAAAAUUAAACUAACCGAAAAAAAAUUCAAAAUUUCUCUAAUUUACAAACCUGUUAUCUUAAUAACUAGAAGUUGAGAAGACAAGGCCUAUUUGAUUGGUAUAAGAUUUCGAUUUGUUUUUUAGUCCAUAGAAUCCAAAAUGUUAGUUCAAAAUUAGGGAAAAAAAAUGAAAGUUAUUUUUUUUCCACUAGUUGUAAUUGUUUCCAAGUCAAAUUGAGAUACGACCCUUUUCGAAAGGAUUUAAUCAUCUUAUAGCCUCCUUAAGAUACAUUUAAGCUAAAAGGAGUGAUUGGAGGCAGAACUAGGUGGGCCAAUCAGUCCCUUUUAUUAGUGACUGUUGCUUAAAAAAAAUUAUACUCUAAAACACACUUACUUUUUUGAAAAAAAAUAUAAUUAUAUUGAAGUAGAACCAGGUGGGCCAAUCCUCAUGGCACUCACUUUGUUCUGACACUCUUCACUAAAUUUGAAGAAAAAUAAAAUUAUACUCUUCACACUCUUAUUCAACAUUCCAAAAUUGAUAAAAUCUAGAGUUUUCUUUAAAAAUUUAAAAUUUGAAGACUUGUUCUCUUGACAUCCUCAGUCAUUAAUUUCACCUAAUUAUGGUUUUUAUGAUUUUGGUUGUUUUGUUCAUAAAACAAUUUUACUAAAGGAUGUUCUCGUAAUAAUAAAAAUUAUAAAAAAAACAUGGGUGUGCUGGUAUGGUUGGGAAAAUACGAGUACAGAACUCCAAACAAAUAAAAGAUUUAUAUAAAAAAAAAUGGAGGAUUCUUACCAUAUUAUGCUUUAGUACGCGGCGGAUUUCCUUAGGAUCCCACAACCUACUACGUCUGCCUGGCACUUCCUCAGAUUCUUGGCGAACAGUCUCUUGGCCCAUUUCUUGCAAUAAAUCAUGCAUUUGCAAGCGGUUAUCUGACACAGUUAUGAGUGACUUGUCGACGAGGACAUCCAGUCUGUGAGACCCAGAAUCAUCAAGUAUCCUUAACACAAAAUCUUUAUCCUCUCCCUCAAGGAAACACGCAAUAUCUAGAAACAUACUCUUCACCCUGGGCGUUAAUUCUUUAAAACUAAUCUUUAAUGUAUCAUAAAUACCAUGAAUAUCAGAUUCACAAAUCCGAUUUAAGUCGUGCAAUACAUUUUCCCAAUGGCUUUUCCUCUUGAGAUACAGGGAGGAACCCAACACUUUAAGAACUAAUGGAUUGCCAUCAGCAUACUCUACAACUCUCCACGAGUCACGUUUGAAAUCUUCAGGACGAUGCUUUUCUUUAAAAGCGAAGUUACAAAAGUGCUCGAAAGCCUCAUCAAAUUUCAAUCCAUUGACCCUAUAUAUUUUCUCCACUCCAAAUUUUUCGAGGACUCGUUUAUCCCUGGUGGUUACAACAAUUCUACUUCCUGGACCAUAUUGAUCAAGCCCUCCAAUCAAACCCUCUAAUUGUUCAUCUUUAUUCACAUCAUCGAGUACAAUCAACACCUUCAUGCGUCGGACCCUCCCUUUAGUAAAUUGUGGAAUAUUGGGACCAGCUACUUCAAGUUUUUCACUUAAUAUUGUCGAAAGCAUUUCCUUUUGUAGGUCUUCUAGGCCACCCUCUGUUUCUGAUUUUCUCCUAACAUUUUUUGCAAAGUAUUUACCAUCAAACUCACCAGCGAAUUGAUCGAAAAUAGCUUCAGCAAGGGUAGUUUUGCCUAUACCGCCCAUACCCCAAAUUCCAACAAUUUGGACAGUAUCCGACAAAUCCAUACACAAAAAUGGUUUAAUCUGCUCAAUUCGUGAAUUUAAUCCAACUAGGCCGUUGGAUGAGUCCGUUGAGACUGUUAUUUUUUCCAACUUCUUCAAAACAUCUUCGACAAUUUUGUUUACAAGUUGCGCAUCAAGCCUAAUAUGAAGGUGCAAAGAUGCAAAAACAUUGAGUCAAAUCGGGCCAAGACAGAAACAGAGAAAAGAUGAAUUAGGAAAGAGAGUUACCUGAAUUUCGUGGAUUCAUGGCCGGCUAGAUGGGAUGUUUCUGUCAGUGCAUCCCUCCACUUCUGAACCAUUUCUUGUUUAUCUUUGAACUGUUUUUUGAGCUCAUCAAAACGGUCUCCAAAUGUUCCGUUUUGAUGCCGCACAUCAGAUGGACUUACUCCAUAGAAGAAUGGAAUAAUAAUUUGGCCGUUUGUGUUCUUGCAUUCAAGAAUCUUGACAAGUUCAUUCAGGCACCAUUUUGAAGAAGCGUAGUCCUUCGAGAAAAUGACCACCGAAAUUUUUGAACCUUGGAUUGCGUUCAAAAGGGCGGGUGAAAUCUCAUCUCCUCGCCUAAGCCCUUCAUCAUCAAUAAAUGUUUUGAUUUUCUUUCCUUCAUACAAUUUAUCAUAGAGAUAGCAAGUAAAGCUCUUACGAGUGUCCUCCCCUCUAAAGUUGAGGAAGACUUCAUAAUUGGCACAAGAAGAAGAGGAAGCCAUGAAGGAAAUUUUAGAAAAUUGGUGACAGAAACAGAGAAUUAAUCUUGAGAGUUGAGAGAGGAGAUGUAAGAAUGAACAUGUGCGAAGAUUCUUGCGAGUACAUAGUAAAUAAUUGAAUGGCUGGAGCUUUCUUAGUUUCCUGGAAAUUUCCUGGAGCUUUCGUAUACAUGAUUUGUCAAGUCAUGAAACAUAAUCAUGAUAAUGGGGCAGACCGAAAAGAAAAGCAACAAUUCAAAUAUUUGAUUCAACCAGUAUAAAAAGGAAGGAAAAGCAAAGAAAGGAAAUGUUGAAAGUAGAGUUAGGGAAUUAUAAAAAGCUGAAGGAAAUUGGAAUUUUGUACAAUUUCUCCAGCGAGGAACUUUCACAGUCGUUACCUCAUUGUUACAGUUUAGAUUAAGAUUUGAGGGUGCAAGCAUUUACCUAGAUUUUACCUCCGCACUAAAUUCUUAAGUUUGAAAAAUUAUGAGACCUUUAUAUUGGAAGAUAUUAUAAUCGAAUCAAAACUUAAAAUUUUAAUAUUGUUAAUCUUUAAUCUUUAAAAAAAAUUACCUUGCCGUUACAAUUUGGAUUAAGAUUUGAAUAAGCAUUUACCUAAAUUUUAUCUCCGCCUGUAAAUUCUUAUGUUUUAAAAAUUAUGAGACCUUUAUAUUGGGAGAUAUUAUAAUCGAAUCAAAAUUUUGAAUUUCAAUAUUAUUAUUCUUUUAAAAAAAAUUUGAGAUAACAGAGUGAUUGAUAAUAGAGAACUUGUCUAGGCAAACACAUGCAUACACAAAAAUGUGAUGGAUUCAAAAAGAAAUUAAAGUGAUAAUGUACGUGGAUCCUUAAAACAAAAAGCGAAAUCGCUUGGUGGCCCAGUAAAAUUAAGACUGAAUAUUUUUUACACGAGAAGUGUAGCUCAUAAAUGGCAAAAGCCAUUUCAUUUCACUUUUACGCGUCAUUGACUUUUGUAACAUGGUGCAUGCAUCGUCAAGUGAGGCAAAAGGGUUUCGAUUACAGUGGGAAAACAUGAACAAGAAUGCAUAAUGAAUAAUUCCUUUGAUAAAGCGAAAAUUAAACACAGAAUAAUCCUAAAAUUUAAACUCUAAUAUCUUAUAAUUUAAUGAUUAAAAAUAAUCCUAAGAGUUCCCAAUUGAAACUUUCAGAGAUAAUAGAAAAUAGCUAUGCUUUAAAAGGCCAAAGAUUAGAGAACAAAGAAGAAUUAGGUAUUGAUAUAAAAAUUAUUAAUUUUUUUGAUUUCAAGCAAAAAUAGUUUCAUAUACCAUUUCGAUUUUGGUAGGGGUGAGGUUUUGAACUUCAAUAGUUUCCUCUAAAAUCAAAAGGUAGUAAUUAAGUUAGAAAGAGCAAAGAAGACUUAUCGGUACCUUAUUGAAGGUAAACAUUAUGGAACUUUCAAUGUCAUUACCCCACUGUUUAAUUUUUAUUGAGAUUUGUGCAAGCAUUUACCUAAAUCUUACCUCUGCCUGUAAAUUCAUAAGUUUUGAAAAUUAUGAGACCUUAUAUCGGGAGAUAUUAUAAUCGAACUAAAACUUAAAAUUUCUUUUCUUUUUUUUUUUUUUUAUCAUAAAAGGGCUCUUAAGAGAGCUAAGGCAACACUAAAUGGGAGUGUGCAACCCCAUGAACAUCAUUAAUCAAUAUGUUUAGCGUAUUUGGAGGAAUAGAUUGAAAGCAAUGUAAACCCAAAGGAAAAGAAAAGCUGUACGAAGUAAGGAAAUCUGCUGCUACAUUGGUUUCUUGGUAGAUAUGAUCCACUUUGAUCAGCCAAUCACGCCGAAGGAGUUCUUCGAUGGCCUGAAUGAGAGUAAAAUGCUCAUUGACGGGAGGGUUUGAGUUAGAGAUUAACUUCAUAACACACAUGCUGUCCACUUCCACGUAAAACUUAAAAUUUCAAUAUUAUUAUUCUUUAAAAAAAAAUUGAGAUAUCAGAGUAAUAUCACAUAGAAAAACUUGCCCACGGACGGUAAGCCAAAAGUCUAGUCAACCACAUGCAUAAAGCUAAGUAGAACAAGAGAACAGAGAAACGCGUGGGUCCCUAAAGAAAAGGCAAGCACAUAAAUGAAAAAGCCAUUACAUAUCUAUUAACACGGUGUGGCAGCAUAUGCACAAUCAAGUGAGGCAAAAGGGAUUCGAUUAUCGUGGCAGAACAUGGACGAGGACGCGUGAUGAAUAAUUCCUUCGUUAAAACCAAAAACAAACGCAGAGAAAACAAUUUCUUAUAUGACAAGAAAUCAAAGUAAUGUGAAGGAACAUGAUGAAGAAAUUGCAGACUGAUCAAUUAUCCCCAUGGACUCCUAUAAAUUCAACCAAAAUAACAAUUCGAAUCUUACCAAAUUCUUGAGUUAAAUUUAUUCAAUGCUUUUAUUUUUUUAGAAAAUUUUUUUCCAAUGCUACUUUUCCUUUUUUGGGGAAAUUAGAACCGCGGCAUGUAUAGAAAACAUUGAGGUGUAAAGCAACAUUAAUUUCAUGGGAUAUGCGUUAUACGCAUAAUAUAUUUUCAGUCCAAAUUCAACUAUACAAAGAGGCUUGAGAACUUAAAAUUAAGCACAAACUAAACAGACGAAGUAAAUACAUGAUUAUGCAACAUAACAUUAAUUCUCUCAAUUGAUAACUGUUUUUGCUACAUGAAUCUUGCACAGUUAAUCCUAAUUGAAGACUAAAAAAGAGCAAUUGGAAGAAGGUUUUGGAAUAGAAUGGUAUACAAUCGAUAUGAUCCUUUUCCAGUAGUCAACGCUAAUUAACUGCAGUUUCUAGACUCCUAAUUAUACUAGCCAUAGCAAACUAUUUAGAAAACUGGUGAUCAAAUUAGAUUUUGAAAGGAAAUAAUGUUCAUUUUCCCUUCGCUGCCUUUUCUUUUCUUUUCUUUUUAUAGCAAAGAAUUAUAUCAUGAAAAGAAUCAAUUUAAUCACCUUUUCCAGCAGCCCAAUUUUUCUUUUAUAAAAUUUGACCACGGAGACAAAGAAGAAUUAUUCAUAACUUCAUCACUAAGGAAAUACUUUUCGGUAUGGCUAGGGUGAGAAAAUGCUUUCCACUAACACUUGUACUUUGUAUUCUUGUAAAUUUUCUUUAAAGUCAAUAAAAACCAUAAGUUCUUUGCAAUAACCAUCUCUUUGAUCAAAAAGUGCCGUAUUCCUUUAGAAUUUAAAACCGGCAAAACCGAAUCAGUGUCUUUGAAGAGACAUAAUGGUCGUAAUUCUUUAAAUGAGUUGGCUAUGGAAAUCCUUAUCCAAGAUUCUUUUAUGCCAUAUUCUUUCGUAAACCAAAAUUCAUUUUGAAAUACUCUAUUGAAAAUGUCAAAUAAAACGGCAUUGAAGGAAGUUUUCAAAGGCAUAAUCCGCACUUGUCAAAGGGAUGAUCUGCACUUGUCAGAGACACGAUCCGCGUCGAACGAAUCGACACAUUUCCUUUCGUAUUCGCAUAUGUAAUCUUUGAAAAAAUGUAGCUUCCGCAUCUAUAAAUAACGCUCAGUGUAUAAUGUUUUAUUCAAGAAAAGAAAACAAAUUUCUUCAUACUCCUUGUCCGAACAUACAGAGACAGUCUCUCAUAACUUCAGCCGAAUACUUAUGAUGAUGAUCAUUUGUGAUUUCAUCAGGCAUAGGGUUGAUGGUGAAAAAUUUUGUAUGUGUGAAGAAUUGAGCUGUGGAUAUAGGGGACUUAAGUGUAAUCGAAAGAGAGUUAUUAGGCCAUAGUGCAGAUUGCAUUCAGUUUAUGGGUCGAUAUGCAAAUAAUUUGUUGACGUGGCGAAAUCUGUUAUGGUCGUUACUAUUGUUUCUGGAAAUUUUCUAGAAACCUCAGCAUAAAAGGGGCUUUUGCAUAGCCUCUGGUGUGCGUGUGAUUUCUCUUUCGUUUCCUCAUCAAAUUCUGUAAUUCUUGCUUUGAUAAAAAGCUUGUAAUCAUUUCUGUAAUGUGUGAUCAGUGCGUAAUCAUUUUGAGCAAUAAAAGCUUGUGGGUUUUUCCUUCAAACAGUGUCGUUUUGGUCAGUUUGUUAGUUUGAUCUGUUGGUGGAAUUUUCUUUGGUUAUUUGUUCUCAAAUUUCAACCGUAUAUAAAGUUUGAACUCUAAUGGCUUAUAAUGUAUUGAUUAAGAAUAAUCCUAAGAGUUCCCGAUUGAAAUUUUUAAUGACUAUUUUUAUUGUUUUGGAUAUACAAAUUGCAUUAAGAAAAAAUAUUGUCAAAUUCAGAGGAUAACGGGAAAUAAUUAUGCUUCAAAAGACCAGAGAUUAGAGAAUAAAGAAGCAUUCAUUACUGACAUACAAAAGAGAAACACUCCAAAAUUGCAAGCAAACUAGUUUCAUAUACUAUUUGGAUUUUGGAAGGGGUGAAGUUUUGAGCUUCAGUUGUUCCUCUAAAUAGCAAAGAAGACUUAUUGGUACCUUACUGAAGCUAACAUUGUGGCACGGUUGUUCAUAUGUAAUGGCUGCUCUGUUAUGGUAGCUUCUCUGUUUUUGCUCACAGUUUUGAACAUGAAUUCUUGCUCAAAUAACCCAUAAUUAAUUAACAUUAAAAUGGCUCGUGAAAUCCCAUAAUAGCUAAUUACGCAACUUUCUCCUCCUCCUCAAUUAUGUCUUCCCCUGCUCGUACAAUAAAUUCAAAAUUCAAUGCCCCGAAAAACAACACAAGAAAUCUUUGAGUUAGUUCGUGACCAGUUUAUAUAUAGUAGCAAUUGAAAAAAGAAAAAGAAGAAAAGAGUUAAUUAUUAUUCAGACCUUCACUUAUUAGGAAGUUUGUUCUGCUAUUGGGUGAGGUCAAGCUCUCAGCAUAUACUUCCACAUGAUACUUUCUAACAUUUUCUUGAAAGCCAUCAAUCAUAAAAUCUUCAUACUUUUUUCCAUCCUUUGGAUCAAUGAGUACAAAUUUCUCAUCUAAAACAGACAAAAUAAAAUCACUGUCCUUCAUGGAACAUAAUGGCUGCAAUGCCUGAACUGAAUUGGCUAAUGAAACAUAGUCUUCUUUUCUUUCUCGACAUGGAACAUAGUCUUCUUUUCUUUCUCGACACAUGUCUCUGUACUUUUCUCUCUCUACUGAUCCACACUUUUUCAUACUUCUAACUAUCAUUUUGUUUUUUUUUUUUGAGUUGUGAUUUAUUCAAUUAUUUUGUAUUUUUAAUGACAAUUAUUUAAUAUUUAGUUAGUGUUGAUAUUGAUUAGUGAUUGAAAGUGUAUUUUAGAAGACUUCCGGUCUCUUGAAAAAAGGAAAAAUGGAGAAGAAGAAGAAGUGUUCUUGAUUUUUUUGUAGGCAUUAAAGUUAAACGGUUUGAAAUGAUAUUUUGUUUUAAUUUCACUCAUUAAUCUCAUUCAGGAUAAAAUUAUAAAUGCAAAUAAAUGGGGUUUCAUAAGUAUUUUUAAUAGUGUUAAAAGGUCUACUAACUAAAUAAACAUGUUUUACCCAAACCAAUCCGAUUAAUAAGUUAUUGGGUUGGGUUGAUCAGGUUAAAAAUCAAAAUUAAAAAUUAAAUAAAUAAAUAAGGCAUAAAAACUAUAUGUUACUUGAAAAUAAAAAGAAUUUCUAAUAGUUAGUUCUAAUGUCCCAUAUCCAAAACAUGCAUAUUAAAUAAAUAUUAUAAGUUAGAAAUAAAAUAUCCAAGAAAUAAUGAAUGAAAUACCAUAUUUUUGUUGAGAAUUAAGAGUGUGAUUUUAAUUUUGAUAUUGGAGUCUAAAGCAAUAGAUAGUACAAUGAAAUCAUGAAUGCUACGUUUAAAUAAUCUCUUUUAUAAAAUAAUAAAAAGAGGUUAAAAAUUAGGUUAGCAUUUAGGGUUUAGCAGUUAAGGAUGAACAUAUUAUUAUUGUUGUUGUUGUUGUUAUUAUUAUUAUUAUUAUUAUUAUUAUUAUUUACAUAUUAAUUAAUCCAACCCAACUCAAUUAUUAACGAAUUUGAAAAAAAAUGACCAAAUUAAUCCACAAUAAUUCAUUCAACUCGUCUAAAUUAGAUUAGAUUGAAUUUGAUUUGCUACACCUACAUUGAGCAACAAACCUCAACGCGAUUCUAUGAGCUCUUUGAUUGUUUAUAAAAUUGAUUUAGAGUACAUAAUGGAGUGUAUCGACAAUGAAAGUGCAAAACAAAUUAUUGUAUACAUUAAAAUCUGCAAAACAAUGAAUUAUAUGUACGAACGAGUGCAAACACAUUUUUCAAUAAGAAGUUAAAAGAUAUUUAUGCAUGAAAAAGCAUACGUUUGUAGUUACUCUAAAUUUUUUAAAAAAAAUUUACAUUUAGAUCCCUAAAAUUUACGUAUAAGUACAAAAGUUUCAAAUAUUGUCUAUUAUUUUUUAACAUAUGCCUAUUCCUUGUGGAUAAUUCUGUCUCAUCACUAAUGUUGUUUCUUGCUUACAAAAAACAAAUGUCAUCUCCUUUUACAAUUUUUAUAGCGUCUCAAAAUAGACAAUGGGGGGAUUUUGAAUUUUUUAAGUCUCAAGAUAGUCUCUAAUCUUGUGAGAAAGAUUUUCUUUCAAUAAUUUGGAGGUAAAGAUAACAUAAUUUUUUGGAUAGUGUGCAUGUGUAUUUAAUUAAUAAUUUUUUAAAAAAAUACAUCAAAUAUUAAUAUCCAUGACAUAAUUUAGUUCUUAAUUUUUUUUAAAUACAUCAAAAACAUAAUUUUUUUUAACAACUUAUAGGCAUGACAAAUUUCAAGAUAUAAAUAUCAGUCAAAAUAAGUGAAAGAAAUAAUGGUGCCAAUUCUAAUUUCUUAACUAAAUUAAUUAGUGCAUGAGCCCCGAAUACGACACGAGAGUUUGAUGGGCUAACUUGGCACAAGAACGUGAAUAAAUAAUUGAUUUAAGAAAUAAUUCAACGAAAAAUAUAAUUGAUAAGAAUUCAGUAUUGAAAUGAGUUUUUUUGUGAAACACUGAAUUAAUGAUUAUUAAGCAAGAACAAUAAAAAAAUAAAUAUUAAUCAUUGAUAAGUUUCAACAAAAACUUAACACAAUCCUCAAUCCUCAUUCAAAUGAUAAAUGUCAUUCAUAUAUUCAUUAUAAAUCAACAACAAAGGUUAUAAAUGUUUAGAAAUUCUAGAGGGAAGGAAGCUAUCGCCGGACAAUCAACAACUAAAUUUGAUGUAAUUGUGGCACGAGAUGGAAUAUGGAAACUACACCAUAAUUUCAAAUGCCGCCAUAGACAUUGACUUAUCAUAAUAACAAUGAUCUAAUUAAAAUAAAAACAAAGUUUAUGGGCAUUUAUUAUUUUGCCAUUCCUCAUUUGCAAAUAGGGAUAUAAUUAUAAUUUUACCUAGUCAAAGCAAUCGGUAGUUUUCUUCAUUAUAGGAGUGAAGUAAAAACAUUUAGAUUUCAAUGUAUGUACGGAAAAAUUUGUCUUUAAAAAUACUUUCUUAAUGUGUGUAUGCAUAUUGAAAUACUCAAACCAAUUUUGGUUAUAUAUAAUUAAACAAAUUUUAAAAUAUGAAAAAUAUAAUGUAGUUAUAGUGGAUAAACAAUAAGUGAGCACAAUAUAAUUAAUCAAAUAUUAUGCCAUCAAAAGUUAAUUUUAGAAAUUCCAAAUCCAAUAGCCAACACAAUUCUUUUUUUUUUAAAAAAGUUGACACAAUUAAUAAAAUUAGCGACAUGAAUUUCACGCCAUUGAUAAUCAGCAAUUAGUAUUACUUUCUAAACUUGCUUCAACUGGUCGUUGAUGUCCGGGUCACCAAAAGUAUAAGCGAUAAUAAGGGGCAUUGGGCAAGAGUGAUGAAUGUUUAGUCGGUGCAUUUGAUUGAUAGAUAUAUAAAGGGCCGAAACUUGAGAUUAUAUUACUUUUACAAAUUUUAAUCCAAUCACAUAUUUACUGAAAACAAAAUGAGUUAGGAUACUUUAUUUAGAACCCACAUUUUAAUAAGGCUUCAUUUGAUGUAGUUUUUCAAACAGUGAUUAUUUGAGUAAAGUUUCCUCAAUAGAGUUUUUAUCAAAUAAAUUUUAUUUAUUUGGUUGUCGAUAAGAACUUUUAUUAAAAAUUAUAAAAUUAUUUAAAUAAACAUAUUUUUUAAAAUUACAUUAUAAAAAGAAUUAAAUAAAGUUAUAAAAGUAAAAUAUAUUUUAGAUAUUUUAAUAUUUAAGAAAAAAAUUUUGAAUCUCUACUUUCAGAAGCUCAAAUUUUUAGUUUUUAGUUGUAGAGACAAAAUAUCUUAUUUAAUCUUUAAAAGUUCUGCUAAAAACAAUCAAAUAACUAUAAAAUUUUUAAUAAGAGUAUAUAAAAUUAAAUAAGCAUUUAUUAAUAAUCACUUUAGUGUACUUAUCUAAUGACCAUAAGUGUUUAUUUAAUCUCAUAAGUUCUUAUUUAAUCUCAUGAGCUCUUUUCAAUUUUUUUUGUUGUUUGCUUUUUUUAGUAGAGUUUUUGAAAAUUAAAUAAACUAUUUUGUCUCUAUUAGGAAAAACUCAAAUUUUAGGUUUUUGUGAGUAAAUGUUUAAAUUUUUUUUAAAAUAUUAAAAUAUUAAAGUAAAAGUUGUAGAGACAAAAUAUCUUAUUUAAUGUUUAAAAGUUCUGCUAAAAAUAAUCAAAUAACUACAAAAAUUUUAAUAAGAGCAUAUAAAAUUAAAUAAGCAUUUAUUAAUAGUCACUUUAGUAUACUUAUCUAAUGACCAUAAGUGUUUAUUUAAUCUAAUGAGCUCUUUUUAAUUUUGUUUGUUUGUUUUUUUAGUAGAGUUUUUGAAAAUUAAAUAAACUAUUUUGUCUCUAUUAGGAAAAACUUAAAAUUUAGGUUUUUGUGAGUAAAUGUUUAAAUUUUUUUUAAAAUAUUAAAAUAUCUUUUCUUUAUUUCAUAAUCUUAUUUCAUUCUUCACAACAUAACUUUAAAUAACUCACCUAUUAAAAUAAUUUCACAAUUUAUAAUAAAAAUUUUAAUUGACAAUCAAAUAACAAAUUUUUUUUUAUAAAAACUCUAAUAAUAAAAAUUCUACUUAAAUAAAUUAUAUUUGAAAAGGUAUACCAAACGAACCUAACAUAAAAACAAAAAUUUUUACAUCCACACAAUUAAGCUUAAAACAAUUUCAAAUGAAUUUUAGACUACUCAAAGUACAAUACGUACCAAGUUUGGUAACUUAUUGGGGUCCGCUUGUAAUACAGCGUCUGUAUCUCAUACAGCCAAAUUUAAUAAUUUAUUAAGAAAAAGGGCAACCAUUAGAUAGAAGUAGAUACAUCCAACGGUUAAAAUGUUUGAUUACUCAUUUUGGCGACCGGAUAUGCCAGUUAUUAUUUCAUCAAUUAACUUACCUAAAAAAUCACAGCCGUUGGAUUGAGAUGCCUCUCUUUCCCUCAAAAUAACAGCCUUCGUAUUCUCUCUGCUAUUGUUUUCUCCUACAUCCAGAAUUUUGGAUGAAUGAACUUGGUAUUCAACAAUAUUCACCACCCAUCACAGCAAAGAGCAAAGAUGUAGUCAAAGGAGUGCCAUUUAUUCAGGCUAACUCGAUCUGUCACUCUCGCUUCAAUUCGUCACUCAUUUUCUCGCGCUCAGCUUCAAUCUAUCACUCUCAGCUUCAGUUCGUCACUCACAGCUUCAAUUUUUCACUGUCGUGAAUCAUCUCUCUUGCUGUAUCUCUCUCUUAUGUCUUCCAAUAAUUUCGGUGAGCUCUCUCUCUAAUUUAAUAUAUGAUUAAAAAUCUUAUCAUCUUAUCAUGUCAUUUAAAUAUGCUUGAAGUUUCAAUUUAGUUUAUGAAUAUUACUUGAAAUUUCAGUUUCAAUAAUUUGAUUUUGCAAUUGAGAAAUUAUUACUUGAAAUAUUGAGAUGAUUUCUAGGGAUUGAUAAUUGAAUGAUAAUUGCUAAGGCUUGUCAUUUUUUGUUUUUGAACAGAUAGAGUUACAAUUAAGUCAUACUGCAAUAUUUUAUCUUGAGAUUCUAUUAUUCACAAAAAGAAAAAAAUCAUAAAUUGAAAAAAAAAAAAAAGAGGUUACGAGCAUCAAGCAACUGCAAGUAAUGGGGUUUGUUUUGAUGAGCUGCGAAUUGGGGCCUGUCAUUUUCUUGAAGUAUCUUCAAUAUAAGUGGAAGGAGAUUUCUUCUCUCCAAAAAAUUAUUGUAUAUUUCCUUUUAAAUUCUAGAUUCGCAUGUAGCUGAUUUUUUAUGUUUGAAGGAUUUUAUUAAAGAAUGUGCUGCUGCUAGUGGCAUGAAUUAAUGUAGUCUCGCUAGUAUUCGUGAUUUGGGGUAAGGAUCGAAUUGAACAAUUAUAUUUCUAUUAUUCUUAUAUUCGAAUCCAGUGAUAUUGUGGUGGUUUUAUGAUAAUAUUCAAUUGUUUUGUGCCUCAAAUCAGCCAAUGAGUUGGGUAUGUGCUGGGUAUAUGCCGUAUGGGCUUGUUGUUGAAUUUGCUUGACCUUGGAUGUGAUUCUUGCCGUGUUUAUAAGAAAUAGACACAGGUCUUUGUGUGGUAAUAGAAUUGUCUAAGGUGCCUUACAAUAAAUUUAAGAGUCUUAAGUAACUAUGCUUUGUAACCUUAAACCUUUAUUUGUACGACUUGGUGUUCUUGGUUGUGAAAGAAUGUUAAAUGUUGACCUAUUUUCAUCGGUGAAGAUAAAUGAAGUUAGGGAAGGUUUGUAAUCACUAUAACCCUGACAAUUUUUUUGGUGGGCCGUGAUAAUUUUAUUCAUGGCAUGUACUUUGUUUUUAUCAGAAGGCCCUGUUUGCUUGUAGUCUCAAAUCUAGGGUAAUAUUUUAAAUAAGUUCUGCAAUAUAUGUUUUGCUAUUUUUCUUUUUUGUUUUUAUUUUAAUUAGUUUUAGUAUUACUUGGAGGGGAAUUCUGAUCUGCUGAAGUUUAUCAAGCUGGUGCAGUGGUGCAGCAAGCAGACCUUUAUCUUAAUCUUAUGAUUGUGCUAAGUGGAAUUUUGUGUAAGUUACAACAAUAUAAUUUUUUAAAGAGCUGACAAGACGCUCUCUCUUUUUUUUGGAAUGUUGAGCAAAACUUUUCUUUCUUAUUAGGUGUUUAUAAUAAUUCAUAGCAUGGGUUUUGUCAUAUUGGUUUCAAUGCAUUGAUUUGAUCUUGGUUACAACCCAUCAGCCCUUACUCCUCAUUCCCAGCAGCUUUUAAUGCCUUUUUUUUAAGCAUUGUACUUUGUUUCAUGAUGAAAUUUGUUUAUAUGACGCAAAGUUGAGGACACGGUAAUAGUCAUUAUUUUAAUUUAUGCAACAAAGAUCAUUAUCCAUUAAAUUUUAUGUUGUUGAAAUAUUUAGAUUUUGUAAAUUUUGUUGUAAGAAAUGAGGGCUCUUGAUCCCAUCCCUUUAUUAUAUACAAUUUUUUUUCACUCUGUCAUUCAUUUAUUGUGUGUUAGAGGUAUUAGUCAUGUGCAAAAGUAAAGAUCUUUAUUUUGUUAUUUUUGUCAUCUUGUGCUUCAUUGGUAUAAAUGAGGAAAAAAAAGAAUAAAAUAAAAUAAAAUUAUAGUUUGUGCAUGAAUUCCACCAUAUAUGAAAUGUUUAAUAGAUUAAAAAGUAAGGAGUACACAGUGACUUUGAAUAGCAGGUGGGGGAACUCAUUUUGUUUUAAAAAAAAUUAAUACAUAUUGAUAGAAUAAUUAUCCUUCACUUAAUUAUUUAAAAAUUUUAUUUUGGAAGAAUACAAAUGGACAGUCACCAAUGAAAGCGUAAACGACUACCAGGGGGCUUACAGAAAAAAUUGCUCCUAUUCUAAAAGUAGAUGGUCAGGACAAAGUUCCAACAACUUCAACUUAUGGAUUUGUCUCUUACUUGUAAGGUAAUCUCUUCUUGUAGGGUGUUUAAUUGAAUUAAAAACAGAAUAUUAUUUGCAUUAUAGAGUACAGGCAUAAAUUCAUUAUCUAUGUCAGUUCAUUCAUGAUUUUACUCCAAAUGGAGUAAUAGAUCACCAUUAAUUUAUUGAUACAUCGUCCAUGUUUGUUUUCGUCUUCAAUUUUUAUAUUACAAUAUCUAAUCUAUUUAGUAUUCGUAAAAAAACAUACGAGAAAAAGUUGGAAAAACACUUUAGGGGUGAUUGUGUACACUUUCGUAUGGCACAAAUAGCGUUAGGCUUUGUUUUUUAAGUGGACGACGUGUCCAUUUUUUGUGUUACAUCUUACUCAUUAAUAUAUUUUUGAGUUUCUUAUGGAAAAAAAAUUGAAAAAACACUUUAAGUGAAAAAAAUUUGUAUUUCAAUUUAUAUGUAACAGUGAAUUGGAAAAUAAAUUCUACCAAUAAUUAAAAGAAUACUUUUCUUUUAAUUAUUAAAAAGAUAAGGUAGUUACUCAUUACCCAUAUAAAUGGACAGUUUUAAUUUGUUCCAUAUCUAUACAACAGAAGAGCUUCAGACACGGUUUGCAGCGUUCCACGAUCACUUCCAUUCUAAGCAGCAGCGUCUUCCGUCUUUUUGCACACCAACAGCAGAUUCUAGAUGGCCAGAAGCUCAUCUGCCGCACUCUCGGGAUUUCGCUGCCAUCCUCAUCUUCAUCUCCACUACCUCCUCAGUGAUUAUCCCCUGGUUUUAUGCUCAGAAAUUAUGAUUAUUAUGUAUCUUGUUUUCAGAUUUGUCAAUACUUGUUAUAUUUUGAUUAUGCAUUAUGGACAUUUUUCAUAAGAUAGCUUAAUUUUGUGGUUUGUGUUGACGAUUUCCAUGUAUGGAUGUUUGGAUAGGUAAUUUCGCCUUCCAUGCAUUCUUCAUUCCUGCAUCCUGUGGGAGAAAAUUGGAAAAAGUGGUUUUUGAUGAGAAACGGGGAGAAGGAUGAGAUAUAUAUUUUUGAAGUGUCACAUUAUUUCAAAAACAAACCCCAAAUUUAAUUUCUCUUACCGAUCAUGAGUUAAAAUAUAAAAAUUAACGUUUACUCAUCACACUGUUAUAAGUAUCAAAGCAUUACUUAUAGAAAAAUUAUCGUCACCUAUCCUACAUUUGUGAUUGAAUAGUGGCACAAUUUUAAUUGGGAUAUUUAACAUUACUCUUUGUAAUUGUUUGGUCUUAUUUGAAGUUUGUAAAUUUUUCAUAACUAUGACUUCAACAGCAUAUUUCAGGUUGCAUUUAAUCGUUGCUAUAAUUAGGUACUUUGAAAUAAUUUAUUGGCCACGAUUACAGUCAUUGUUAUUAGUCACCCCUCUUUUUUCUCUUUUGGCCAACCAGCUCUUGGAUAUUUGGGAACCGAUGACAAUAGUUGGGAAAUUAUGUAAUAUUGGUGUGUUUGCGAAAUAAAUCAAGAGAUUUGCCUUGCCGAAGUUAAAAGAGAUAUUGUGGCCUGAAUUUUUUUUUUUUUUCUCUAGGGGCCAUGGCUCUCAAGGACAAGGCAUGAAUCAUGCAUUAUAAUUGCUCGAAAGGGUUAGUAAAAUAGCAAUCUAAAAUACCCAAGUUGGAUCUGCUGUUGAAUCACAAAAAGAACAUAAUUGGGAUAUGAAGUCAUGGUUGCAAGUGUUGGACCCUUAGGUUACGUUUGGCACGUAGGAUUGGAUUGAACUAAUUACUAAAAUUGGAUUGAAUUAUAUUCGAUUGGAUUAAACUGGAUUAUAUUAUAUAGUUCUAUGGUUAGUACAAUAUCGGAUUAAACUAUGUUAAAUUAUAUUUAAAUAAUAUUAAAUAGCAUUUAAGUUGGUAUUUUAAUAUUAAUAUCAAUUAUUCAUGAAAUUUCAUAAUCAUAAUUAAAAUAAAUUUAAAAAACAAUUACCAGGAAAAUUAAAUAUAUUGUAAAUAAGUUACUGGGUAGUCAUAAUACAGUAAACAAAUGAACAUAGAUAAAAAAAUUAAAUUUUAAAUAAUUUUUAUCAAAUUUUAAAAAAAAAUUAUAUAAAAUCAAUUAUUUAAUGGUAUUAUUAAUUUUCAUGAUUAUUUUUAAUAGUAUAUAACAAUGAUUAUUAAAUUUAAUACAAUCAAAUAAUGCAAUAAAUAAUUAAACAUUUAAUUUUAUCAAUAAAUUACUAAAUAUACAAGUGGUGAAAAUUUAAUCUCCAGAGUUAGUACAAGUAAAGGUAUUAAUUUAAUUAGAUCAUAGAUAAUAAAUAAAAAUAAGUUUUAAGUAAAUCAUAUUAAAAAUUAAUUAAUUAAUUAAUACUAGGUGUAAAUAAAAAAAAUGAUAUAAAUAAAAAUCUCAUAAAUGGACAACUUUUUUCUUUAAUCUUAUCCCAACUAAACCCAUGCGUAAAUUAGGAUUAUCAAUUCCAUGAUUUUAGGAUUAAAUUUAAAUUACUACCCCCUUAAUCCAAUCCAACUAAGCUUGCCAAACAUUGGAUAAAUAUUUAAUUCCAAAAUUAGUCUAAUCCCAUACUUAAUCCUAGAAUCCAAACAUGGCAUUAGCACCUUAUAUAACAAAGUGUCACUGAAAUACAGCAAAACGUUAUAAACAAGAACUUAUUUCUGUACAAAAUGUUAUUUACUUUUUGUGAACUUCCAAAUACCUACUAUAUGAUUUGCAAACCCUACAAAAGUCUACCUUGCAUGCUCUUUCUAACGUGAAAUUUGAUUUUUAUUAAAUUUUUGAUGUGUUCACUAAUAAAUAAUUGGAAUCUAAAAAAAUUAGAAAAAAAUAGAAUUAGAAUGAGCUACAAUAAAAAUGAGGAAUAACAAAAAAAAUGAUAUUUGUUGAGAUGAAUGAAACACAAUUGAAAUACUCUAUAUCGCUCUUAAUAUGUUCACUUUGUGAACAUAAAUUAGAAUUAGUUGUUAUAACUUAGUAAUUUAUCCUCAAUCAAUUAUUAUCAUUAUUACUAUUUGUUAUAAUAAUUGUAAUUAUUAUUUUUGAUAAUUUUAAUACUAAGAAAAUUAUUGUUAGGGGUGGAAACACCAUAUAGAGAAGGAACAAUUAAAUUUAUAAAAUUUAGUGGGGAUAAAAUAGUCACUUAAGACAGCAAGCGUCUCCCAUUCUCACCUCCACGAGCAUGAAAACACUAGUAAUCAUUCUUAAAUUUUGAUGGAAUCUGUUGCUUUUAUUCUAAUAACGAACGCAAAACCUAUGGAAUUAGUUGGAAUAACGAAUGCAAAACCUCUGGAAUUACAAUUGAAAUACGUCAACCCAAAAUGGAGAAAGCACAACUAAAAUUAGAGACCUACAAAACCAAAAAUAAACUUAUAGAAAACAAACCCGGUACCUAAUCUCAAUAAUUGGAAUCUCAACCAGUUAAUGGAAAUAUUCAACUCAAAAUUAGGGAAAAAUUAGAUGAAACACGUGAACCAUUGAGAGAGAAAGUAUGACGAAAAUUAGAAACUCAUUUAACGAAAAAUAAUAUUUACUUGGAAUCUAACCCAUGAUACUGGUACCUAAGGAACUUUAUAGGAAUAUGAAACGCAAAACCAGUGGACCAAUAAGUUGAAACAUGUGAACCAAAAAAUGAAAAACUAUAACCAAAUCUUGAGACUAAUCAAACCAAGCAAAAGUAAUAUUGAUAUUUAACCCAUAUAAUUGGAAUUUUACCAAAUUAGUUGGAAUAACGAAUGUAGAACUUGUGGAAUUACAAUUGAAAUACAUCAACAAAAAAUGGAGAAAGCACAACCAAAAUUAGAGACCUACAAAACCAAAAAUAAAUUUAUAGAAAAUAAAUUUGGUACCUAACCACAAUAAUUGGAAUCUCAACCAGUUAAUGAGAAUUCUCAACGCAAAACUAUAGGAAAAAUUAGCUGAAACACAUGAACCAUUAAGAGAGAAAUUAGAACGAAAACUUGGAACUUAUCCAACGAAGAAUGCUCGUGACUUGGAAUCUAACAACAAAUAUUGGUACUUGACUAAUUUAGUAGGAAUAUCAAAUGCAAAACUCAUUGACCAAUAAGUUGAAACAUGUAAACCAAAAGAUGAAAAAGUAUAACCAAAACCUGAGAAUAAUCAAACCAAGAAAAAGUAAUAUUGAUUUUUAACCCAUAUAAUUGGAAUUUUACCAACUUAAUUGGAAUAACGAAUGCAAAACCUGUGGAUUUACAAUUGAUAUACGUCAACCCAAAAUGGAGAAAGCACAACCAAAAUUAGGGACCUACAAAACCAAAAAUAAAGUUAUAGAAAACAAACCUGGUACCUAACCUCAGUAAUUGGAAUCACAACCAGUUAAUAGGAAUAUUCAAUGCAAAAUUGGGGAAAAAAUUAGAUGAAACACGUGAACCAUUAAGAGAGAAAGAACAACGAAAACUAGGAACUUAUCCAACAAAGAAUGAUAGUUACUUGGAAUCUAACAGUAAAUAUUGGUACUCGACGAAUUUAAUAGGAAUAUCAAACGCAAAAAUAGUGGACCAAUAAGUUGAAACAUGUGAACCUAUAGAUGGAAAAGAAUUACCAAAAUUUGUAACUAAUCAAACCAAAAAAAGUAAUAUAGAUAUCUAACCCAUAUAAUUGGAAUCUCGACAAAUUAGUUGAAAUAUUAAACAAAAAACUAGUGGAAUAAUAGUUGAAACACAUGAACCAAAUGUGGAGAAAGUUUAACCAAAUUUUGAAACUUAUCCAAUGAAGAAUGCUAGUUACGUGGAAUCUAACAACAAAUAUUGGUACUCGACGAAUUUAAUAGGAAUAUCAAACGCAAAAAUAGUGGACCAAUAAGUUGAAACAUGUGAACCUAUAGAUGGAAAAAUAUUACCAAAAUUUGGAACUAAUCAAACCAAAAAAAGUAAUAUCGAUAUCUAACCCAUAUAAUUGGAAUCUUGACAAAUUAGUUGAAAUAUUAAACGAAAAACUAGUAGAAUAAUAGUUGAAACACAUGAACCAAAUGUGGAGAAAGUUUAACCGAAUUUUGAAACUUAUCCAACGAAGAAUGCUAGUUAUUUGGAAUCUAACAACAAAUAUUGGUACUCGAUGAAUUUAGUAGGAAUAUCAAACGCAAAAAUAGUGGACCAAUAAGUUGAAACAUGUGAAUCUAUAGAUGGAAAAGCAUUACCAAAAUUUGGAACUAAUCAAACCAAAAAAAGUAAUAUCGAUAUCUAACCCAUAUAAUUGGAAUCUCGACAAAUUAGUUGAAAUAUUAAACUAAAAAUUAGUGGAAUAAUAGUUGAAACACAUGAACCAAAUAUGGAGAAAGUUUAACCAAAUUUUGAAACUUAUCCAACGGAGAAUGCUAGUUACUUGGAAUCUAACAAAAAAUAUUGGUACUCGACGAAUUUAGUAGGAAUAUCAAACGCAAAAAUAGUGGACCAAUAAGUUGAAACAUGUGAACCUAUUGAUGGAAAAGCAUUGCCAAAAUUUGGAACUAAUAAAACCAAAAAAAGUAAUAUCGAUAUCUAACCCAUAUAAUUGGAAUCUUGACAAAUUAGUUGAAAUAUUAAAUGAAAAACUAGUAGAAUAAUAGUUGAAACACAUGAACCAAAUGUGGAGAAAGUUUAACCGAAUUUUGAAACUUAUCUAACGAAAAAUAAAUUUAAUUGGAAUUUAACCCAAAAUAUUAGUGUUUAACGAGUUUAGUGGGAAUAUUAAACAUAAAACUAGUGGAUCGGAAAAUGGAGAUAAGCAAACCAAUUAGUGAGAAAGUUGAAUCAAAAUUAGGUAUAUGUGAAAUUAACUUGGAAUGUCACCUAAUAUAUUGAUAUUUAACCAAAAGAAUCGAGACAUGCUCAUUUUAAUUUUUUUAAACUUUUGUUGCAAUUAAAAAUAAUUUUUUCACUUAAAUAUUGUUUGUGUUAAAUAUUUACAAAAUUUCCUUAAUUUUUCCUGUUUCAUUUUAUUUUUUCUACAUUAAAAAUAAUUUUUUAAAAAUUAUUAAAUGAACAACCGGUAAAAUACCGGUUGUUCAAGUUUCCUUUUUACUGUUGAAGGGGCUGUAUUUUAUACAGCACUGUACUAUAGGAAGACUCAACUUAUUGACAUCUUCUCAUAUAACCUUCGAUCAAGUCGAUUCUGACCUGACGACUAAUUGGUACAUCACCGUUGUUCUCUAUACUCGCAUGCAUCGGAUCACAAAUCUCACUCCAAUUGUCGUCUUUCUUCGCCGUUUUAGCGCAUACUUCUUGAAUUUCCCGCAUUUCGUUCCCUCCUGUUACAAGUCUCCGGUCAGGUCAGUGAUUGAAUUUCCCGCAUCUCUAUCCCUCCCGUUUUCUCGCGUCGUUUCACUUCAAUUUCUCGUGUCUCCUUUCAGUUUAAGUGAUUGAAUCAAUUUUAUCGCAGUCAUAAGAGAAAUUAAGUAAUGCUCUUGGAUUUAAAAUUUUUUUGCUUUCGACUUUAGAUCUCGAAAGUCAAACUCUGCUACGAAUCCAUAGAUUCUCAAUGCUCAUAAUCUUAUUUGUGUUUGACCAGGUAACUGGAUCGUGAAAUUCGUCGUUUUGUAUCAAUUCAAGCUUUCGCGAGCUCAUGGAAUCACCUGGUGAGUUGUGGUGAAACGUUAUCGUUUCAAUUUUCGCUUAAUUCUUUAUUGCAUAUUUUUUUCUCUAAUGUUUCAGUUUAAUUUAGAAAAGAAAGAGGCCCCAAAAAGAGAGAGAGAGAGAGACUCUACCAUACUCAAUUCCUUGCUCAUUCUGAUUUGGCCUGAAUGUUGGCAUUGACUAUUAUUUGUUUUCAUUUCGAUUUAAUUCUCAUUUAGACAGUCUUUACUAACGGUCAAUAAUAGUUUAAGGAAAAUGAUCAUAGGGAUUCUGCAAUAAUCUUUCUGCAUUGUUCAAGUUAGUAGACAAUGAAUAGGAUGUUUAUGUUUACCUCAUUUUGAACCCUGAGGGCUUCGUUGAGUAGUUGAUUCAACAUAUCCAGCAACGGUUGAUGUGAGAACAGAAUGCCACUUAGAUAGGCUUAAACUGAUUUUGGAGGUUUGUAUUGGUUCUAUUGUACGUCUUGCUUACAAAUUUUUAAUUUUUAAUUUUGUAUAAUAUGCUCUUUGUUGGUAAAUCUCAUUUGACUUAGAAGAGAUAGUUUUAUCCCAACAGUGGGAUAAAUCAUUGAGAUGCAUGGCAGUGUGAAUAUAGUAGACAAAAUCAUUGAGACACAUGGUGGUGUGAACAUAGUAAACUUUGUCAAACACAGCUAAGAUAAACAAAUUGUUUCAUUAGCCUUUACCUUAUCUGCUGUGAUGAUUCAAAUUAAUGCUGUUUGGUAGGUUGCAAAAAACGAAAUGAGCUGUCUGUUCGUAUUAUUUAGUCAGAUCUAUUGCAAUAAGUUGAAGUUCAUUGUCACAUGGGUUGGGAGUAGCGUGGGCUGUGAGUAGUAGAAUGGAUUUAUGGAGUUGAUACAAGUGCCCAUAAUCUAUCAUGUCAUUCUAGGAUUAAAUGGAUUGCACAUUACUGUAAAGAUGGAGGUUAAAUUUAUAUAAUUCGGAUUGAUUGUAAAAUGGGAGGCAGAGAUGAGUUAGAAAAAGAAUGACCUGUGUCCUUUUUGAGCUGUUUCUAAAUCUCCCUGGUGUGCUUCAUGCUUAACACGUGUCUUUCCAAAUAAUUUUGCUUAACCUGUGCUUGUCUACUUCUUGUGCUAUUCUGUGCCUGGUCCUGAGCUGUGUUGGUAGAUUGACAUAAUUUUGCUCUGCUAAAUGUAUAACUUAUUAAUCAGAGUCCUGUUAUUAUGGUUUGACACUACUGACAUAUUGUGUUGGUAUUUAUUUGUACUUCCCUUGGUUGAAUUAUUUGCUGUCUCCAUGCAAUUCGAUAUGGUGCUACUUGGUUUUUGAUCAUCCAUGACGCUAUAUAUAUGUAAAGGAUGAAUUGAUUGUUUUGGCUUGUAUUCUCACAUUUUAUGAUUGAUCGAUGGAAAGGUUUUCAUGCAUUAAAUUCAACCUCACAAGCGUAAGAUUGACAGAUUGUGGGCAAAUUUUCAGGAAAAGAAACUAGACUUCAUGGAAGCAAUGAAGCUUGAAAUUGAACGUCUGCAGCUGAAUCUUUCUGCAGCUGAAAGGGAUAGAACUUUAUUGUCAAUUGGAACUGAUCCUGCCUCUAUAAAUCCAAAUGUAUUGCUUGAUGAAUCUUACAUGGGAAGACUGUGUCGAGUAGCAAACACUCUUGCAUUACUUGGCCAAGCUUCCCUAGAAGAGAAAAUUGUUGGUGCAAUUGGCCUUGAGAAUAGUGGUGAUAGUGUUUUAGACUUCUGGAAUAUUACUAGAAUCGGAGAGAGUUGUUCUGGUGGUGGGUGCGAGGUUUGUGCAGAAACUAAGGUGCCUGCUCUUGCUUCCUCAACUGCAACAUCUGUUGGAUCUUCACAAUCCCCUUUGUUGUGUUCUCAAUGUGAAAGAAAAGUUUGCAAAGUUUGUUGUGCAGGAAGAGGAGCUCUACUGUUUUCAAAUUAUAAAUCAAGGGAUGUGACCAACUACAAUGGCUUCUCAAGUCAGAGUGGAUCAAGCCAUGGAAGCCAAGUUGAUGUAGCUACCAGUCGUUCACUAACACUGGAUGGCGUUAUCUGUAAACACUGUUGCCAUGAGAUGGUGCUUGAUGCAUUGAUGUUGGACUAUGUUAGGGUCUUGAUUAGGUUGCGAAGAAGUUCCUGUGCAGACAACGCAGCAUACAAUGCUUUGAAUGAGGUUGUUGGAUCCUGCUUAAAGGAUAGUCUUUCUGAGAGGAUUCAGUCUUCCGAUAAUGCGCAAGCAGCUAAAGUCCUGCACCAAUUAUGUGGUGGACAGGAAGCACUUGCUGAAUUUCCAUUUGCUAGCUUUUUGCACUCGGUAUGUUCUUGGUUUGUAUUCAGUUCUCAUCAUAUUAUGUUUUCCUUUUAAAUUUCAUUUCUUGAUUAAAAUUUUUAGAAAUGUGUUUUAGCAUUUAUUCUUAUGAUAUAUGCCCGGAACAUUCAUCCCACUUAUCCAUGAGAAUCCUUGUCUGGUUUGAUUUUCAAUUGAGACAUUUUUGGGAACCCUGCGCAGGUUCCAUAUGCUAAUAAUCUUUGAGGUAAGGUGUUGUAGGAUGCCUUGAGAAGCUAAAAACCCAUUACAAGGAAAAGGUCUUGCAUUGUUUUGUGCAAUCUGUGUGCGAGCUAGUCAUGUCUCUAAUAAUUUCAUAGUUUGCUUGAUUGGAAUUUUUUAUCUUGAUAUGGAUUGUUUAUUCUAGAUUCCUUGGUGCCACUGUAGGUUGAAACAGCAAAAGAUUCAGCACCGAUUUUGUCACUGCUUGCUCCAUUAAAUUCUGGAUCAAGGCACUCAUAUUGGAGAGCUCCACCUAGUACUACUUCUGUUGAAUUUGUUAUUGUUCUCGGUUCUGUUUCUGAUGUCAGUGGGGUUAUCUUGCUUGUUAGUCCUUGCGGCUAUUCUGUGGCUGACACUCCGAUGGUAAGUGCCAUAUUUAUUCCCUUAUUUCCUUGUUGUUCAAUAAAUUUGGUGAUAAGCCAAGUGGCCUUAAUAAUGAAGCCCAGUACCAGGGUUGGUGGGUAAUAGAUAUUCAACUUGUGAAUAUUCCUAAGCAAACACUGAAUCAACAUAUACCUCGGCUAAAGUUCUCUAUGCUAUUAUAACAAAAGUCAUAUUUUGAAAUGAUUAAAAGAGUCCCUGUGUAGUGCCAUUUCCAAAGAAAUUGCAGCUGGGGGUUUAGUUUCAUGUAGGUUAGUUUCCGAUAAUAAACUUUCUAUUUCAUUAAUUGCUGAUGAAAAAACCAAGUAAGAACAGUUUUGUUGCUCGUCAUUUUUGUAUAUUUUGGUAAACUGUAAUUUUAAAUUCUCAACGAUCUUCCCUUUGUAGGUAAGAAGAUGGUCCACUCACUUGAUAUUUAUGAUUGUAGAUCAGGUUUCUAUUGGUUUGCCUUUAUCAUUUAGAACCCAUGUUUGAUAUUAACAGAGAUCACGUCAAUAAUAUCCUAUUUGGGUAGAUGUGGGUGAGGAUUUAAAAUCAAAUUUGAAAUUGAGGGGAAAGAAGAGAAAAGGAACCACAAUAAUUAAACAAAAUAAUAGGAACUAUUCUGAUGAGUUUUAAUCUCGAGAGGAACAAUUUUCAAAUGCACUGCUAGAGAAAUUGUAGCUUUUUGUCAUUAGUUAAAAGGAAAAAGAAUAAGAACUAUCCGGCCCUUUCCUUCAUGAAUGUGUGUUGAGGUUGCUGUAUUAUUUAGUCAGUAUUUGUAAUUUUCUUCCCUGCAGUGCUCUCUGCCUCCUGAAUUUGCUUCCUAUUGCUGUUACAGGUGCAAAUCUGGGCAAGCAAUAAGAUACACCAGGAGGAAAGGUCAUCAAUGGGAAAAUGGGAUGUCCAAUCCCUCAUCACAUCUUCUUCAGAUUUGUAUGGUCCAGAAAAGUCUGCUAGUGUUGAAAAAUUACCUAGGCAUGUAAAAUUUACUUUUAAGAAUCCUGUUAGGUGCCGCAUUAUUUGGAUCACAUUACGUCUUCAGAGACCUGGUUCGGCUUCAGUUAAUUUCGGGAAGGACCUCAGUCUUUUGUCUCUUGAUGAAGAUGAAAACCCCUUUGCACAAGUAGACAGACGUGCUUCAUUUGGAGGAGCAGUUGAAAAUGAACCAUGUAUUCAUGCCAAAAGAAUUCUUGUAGUCGGAAGCCCAGUAAAAAGGGAGGGGCUUACCACAUCACAGAGCUCUGAGCAGCUAAGUAUUAGAAACUGGUUGGAUAGAGCUCCACAAAUGAGUAGAUUCAAGGUAUUAGUUGCUUUCACUCUUUGUUCAUUCAUAAUUCCAGCUUUCUGCUUCACUGAUAAACCUCUUUUUUCUCUUCAGGUCCCAAUUGAGGCCGAGAGAUUGAUGGACUACGAUCUCGUCUUGGAACAGUAUCUACCUCCAGCGUCACCUUCGCUUGCCGGAUUCUGUCUAGACGCUUUCAGUGCAAUAAAACCUAGGGUUACCCAUUCACCUUCCUCAGAUUCAGAUAUCUGGGACAAAUCAGUAACAUUUUUAGAAGACAGGUACAUCUCUCAAGCUGUAUUGUAUUUACAAGUAUCCGCACUCCAGGAACCACAUAACAUGGUAACUAUUGCGGAAUAUCGACUGCCGGAGGCUAGAGCCGGAACGCCAAUGUACUUUGAAUUCCCACGACCGAUACAGUCCCGACGAGUUUCAUUCAAGCUUCUUGGAGAUGUUACAGCAUUUGCAGAUGAACCUUCAGAACAAGAUGAUUCAGGAUUGAGAGCUCCACUUGUGGCCACAGGUUUGUCUUUGUCAAACAGAAUCAAGUUAUAUUAUUAUUGUGAUCCUUAUGAGCUUGGAAAAUGGGCAAGCCUUUCUGGAGUUUGAUCGUUAUUUAUAUGUCAGAGAAAGAGUUUUGGGUUUGAUUUUGAUUUUGAUUUGUAAUUUUUGUCAGUUUAUUGAAAUUUUUUUGUUGUAUAAAAGCAGAAUGUAAAGGUAUAAAAAUUCAUUGAUGCUGCAAUGUCUGUGCUUUUGAGAAAGAAGAAUUCAAUGUCUUUUCUAUGCCAUUGGAUUUUCCCACUGCUUGUAAACUUGGGCUGUCGAGUGCUCUGUGAACCUUAAGGGCUAUAAAGUAAUUUUUUAGACUGAAGGAUUUAUUAAUCGAGUUCAAAAGAUUGCAAGUUGGUGAGCGUUGGCAUUUAAAAAUCAAUUGUUAUUCUCUCAAUAAUCUCUCUCUUCUGCCGACACCCCAAGCUCAGAAACCCAUUGUUCCGACGGACGUGUAACACUUCCAGAAAUUAGCCUUUUCUUCUAUAUGAAGGUUGAUCUCUCCUCGUGAAGUGAAGGUGGUUUUCCAAUUACAUACGUCGGGGGUCUUAUGAUAUCUAAUGUGUGAAAUUUCUUUCUCAUUUUACCAUAAAGAAAAGUUCUGUAAUGAUCUAAAGUUGGGAGUCUUAAAUUAUCUUAAAUUUAUAUUUAGAGUGGAGUUAUUGGCACCCUACAUUAUUCUUACAAAAUUCUAUUUUAAAUAAAAUUAUAAUUAAAGACAAUUGAAAAUUAUAGAUUUUUUUACAGCAAAUUACUUAAGUCAUAAUUAAUCCUUAAAAAAAAAUCUAUAUGUUACUUCUUAUUUAAUUAAAAUAAAUUGUACAAAUUUAAAAUAAUUUAUUGUUUUCUUUUGAUUUUUUAUUGAUUAAAUAUUUUUAUACUUAAAAUUACUUUGAAAUUAUAAUUUAAAAUAUGUGUUAUAUGCAAUAGUUCGAUUUACCGAACCACAAAGGGAGCCAAUGUGGUUUUGCCAAAAUCACAUACUGUAGCAUAAUAACAGAUAUUAUUAUUGUAUAAUAGAUGGGUUUAGAAAAAUUGAAGAACCAAGUAAGUUAUUUGAAAAAUGUCGAUUCUCGUACCAAACCCAUGUUUUAUGCCAAUUGUUUUUGGAUUGGAGUGCAGGCAUUAACAAUGAUGGAGAUGGAGGAACUGUAGCAUUAGUCAUAUGAAGAGUACGUGUCAGGUUUGAUUUUCAUGUGAUUUGGUUAGUGACGACGAAAACGACGACGUCGUAGUUGAAAAGCGUUUGAAUUAAUGUUGCGUUAAAAAAAAAAUUUAACUUGUUCCACUAAUUAAGUCAACAUUACUGAUGUCUUAUCACCCUCGGCCAACUUAACAAUUGGUGUCCUUUGGACAAUUAAAUAUGAUUUAUUCAAAAAAAAUAAAACUAUUAAAUAUUAAAAAUUAGGUCCAUUAAUAAUAAUAAUAAUAAUACUAAGAAUUAAGAAGAUCUAAUUACAUAUCAAAAUGACUCAAACAAAUUAAUUAAUUUCAUAUUAGCUAGCCAAGUAGGUUGUCCAUCCCACUCAGACAUGCACGAAAGCUAAAUUCAUCAAAUGAAUUACUUAAGGAGUAUUUGAUAAUUUUGAAAUUAUAAUUUCAAAUUAAAAUAGUAGUAGCAAAAUCGUAGUGCACAUUCAAUUAACCAACUAAUAGUCUAAGAAGCAAAGAGAGGAUUACAAGUUCACAACACCAUUAAAAAGGAUUCAAAAUUCCCACACGAAAACAUCAAUGUACAGAUUAUAAACAAUCCGAAUUGGACACAAGAAAAAACCCUUCAAUGGAUUGCUUGCCUUCCCAAUGCUAUAUACUGUGCAAACUGCGCACUGGCCAAGAAAAUAUUUUCAAUUUAGUGUAUUUUCAAAAUGCUUAUUUUCUCAGAAUAUAAAAAAAAAAAAAACAAAAAAAGAAUUCUUACAUGUUUCAUCAGCAUGAUUAAAAUCAAAGAAGAAAGCGAAGACAUAAUGUCUCUGACAUAAUAAAAUUACAAUUUCAUGCAGCAGAGAUUGAAGAGUUGAAUUCCACUUAUAGACACCGACCUCUUGUUUUGUCUAAUGUUAAUAACGAAAACAACAACAGAGGAUUAACUGAUGCUUUGACUUAUUAUCAGGUUGCAAUGAAUUAUUAACUGAUGCUUUGACUUAUUAGUUCUGCUGCUAAGUUAAAUAAAAUAAGGUAUUUUCAAAAGCAAAAUGGAAUACAUAGAUAAAACAUCAUCUUAAACAAAUCAUAAUCUAGAAUUGGAGACAUACCCAAGGAGAAAGAAUACGUGAAAAUGGGUGAUUCAUUUGUUAAGGAGUGUUGAUUUGGUCGUCUCUGCAAAUUCUUUAGGGACUCGGUUCCAGUUCCUCUUCAUCAAAACUGUAAUAUAAUUCCCCUUCAUCAGAACUCGAAUCGAUGCAAUAAAAUUCCCCUUCAUCAGAACUCGAAUCAAAUUCACUUGCAGCAGUUCCACUCGCGCUUGGCAAAUCAUCCAAUUUCCAAACUUCGGUAGCAAAAUUGAGAGUAAAAGUGUUGGCUUUGGUCUCUCUGGGAUUUGCAUAUACUGGACAUACUCCGCAACGUUUUAGCUUAGUGAAGAACUUAAAUGAGGCAGUUGUAUGAUGGUAACCAUCAGGAAACCCAACAUUCAAGCAAGGUUUAAAACCAAGUAUGACAUGAUCUGAAUCAAGGGAGCCAGUGCACACCAUGAAACCCAGAUCAACAUGUUUGGUUUCAGAGAGAGUCUUUAUUUCUAAGUCGAGUUGAAAGCGGACGUAAAUAUUGCAGCAAUAACAAGAAUGAAGGUGCUUAAAAUCAAGAACAGCACAAAAAGCAAACCCGAUUAAGUUUCUGCAAGAAGACUGCGGUGGCAGUUGAAUACAUAUCGAAGAUCCUGAACUUUGAUUGCUGAACCAGUCAGGAAUUUCGCUUCCAGGUAAAACAAUUAGGGAUCCCCUCAGUUCAGAAAGUUUCUGUGAAAUGACAUUUAAAAAAAAAAAUUGUAAAAUGAAAACCAUGAUUUCAGAUAUAACAAAGAGGGACAGAGUAAACAAGAGAGGGAAUUUGAUACCUCGUUGAUUGCCUUUUCAUAGCCCAGUCUCAGUGAUGCAAUUGCCACAUGCCGAAUUCUUAGUUGUGAAUCUGCCAAAAUCUUGUUGUUUGCUUUUCCAUUCAGUUUCAAGCAGUUAGUAAACCCAAAAUAAAUUGGUUGUGACUCCAGAAGUCCGGUUGCCCAUUGACGAAGGUCAGGAGAGGGUUUCGAUAGCUUUUCUAGUACGGAUGCAUCUAGUUCUUGCAGACAUGACGGAAUCUCUGGCAAAGAUUGAAGCCGGUUGCAGUUCGUUGCAUCUAGUUCUUGUAGACACAAUGGAAGUUCUGGUAAUGACCGAAGCAUGUUACAACCCGUCAAGUGAAGAUAUUUUAGACACAAUGGAAGUGCUGGUAAUGACUGAAGCAUGUUACAACGCCUCAAGUCAAGAGAACACAGCCGCGACAGUUGCUUGAUACUUGCAGGUAAACUCUCAAAGUUAUUUCCACGUAGAUCCAAGCUUUUCAGUGAGGAUAGAUAGGCAAUCUCUUGUGGAAUUUCCAUUACAGCACAGUUCAUUAUGUAUAGAAGUCCCAAAGAAGAUAAACCUAAUAAUAAUGAUCGAGGCAAUGAUACCAAACCUUUGCAGCGAGAGAAAUCAAGAAUUAAAAGUGCGUUUGAAUCUGCAACAGAGGAUGGUAGUUGACUAAUAGCUGAUCCAGCUGCUGAGAUGUGACGCAAAGAUUCUAAAUUGCCAAUGUUAUCCGGCAACUUAUCAAGUUUAGAGCAAUCACUUACGAACAAUUCUUCAAGCCCCGGUAGAUUUUCAAAUGACGAUGGCAGCUCUGUAAUUGCCGUCCCGUCUAAAUUGAUGCGUUUUAAAUGUUCCAUUUUCUCCAAGAUUUCUGGGAAGCGCUCAAGGUUCAAGCAGCCAUUAACAAAAAGAUCAACCAAAGAUCUCAAUUUACAAAACCUAGUUGAAAUCCUCUUCAGCCGUUUGCAAUCCCUCAAAUCCAACACUUCAAGAUCAGUUAGGCACUCUAUUGAUGAUGGAACUUCUUCUAUUGCAGACUGGUCUAAGUAUAGCCGUGUAAUUUUCCCAGAAAUCUGUGGAAACUCUAUGAGAGUAACACAAUAGGAGAAAUUAAUAGUUACUGGACAAACAAAAUGAAGAUUGCUUGGAAAAGACCUAAGACUUUUGCAGCCCUCAAAAGACAGCGCACUGAGAUACUUGAAAUUCUGGAUAGAUGAGGGAACACAAGCCUUUUCUCCUUCCCAAGGUUGCUCAACUUUACUAAAACGCAAAUUCAGUUCAACAAGGUUCUUUGGCUUGAAAUUUGAUGGCAGUAUCCUUAAUGGAUAUGUGUCCCAAUGAAGAUAUCUCAAUUUUUCAGGAAGAUAUUCUAGGCCAUUUGGAAGCUGCACUUCAGAGUAUGAAAGUUGCUCUUCAAUGCUCAUACUUAGAAACCUUUCAAUCUCAUAAAACUUACUUGGAAACCUUUCAAUCUCAUAAAACUUAGGUACAUAAAAUUUGAGCAAUCUCAGAUUAGACAUAUUUGUGAAGGCUCCGGGGUCUAAAUUGAUGCAUUUUAUUUUGGACAAAUCCAGAAAUAUGCCUUCAAUUGCAUCGGUCCCCUUAUAAAAAAAAAAAAACAAAGAAUGAGUAAGCCAAAAAUAAAAAAGCAACAUGCGUAAACUUUAUUAACUAAGAGCUCCUUAAACAAAAACAAAUUCUGCAAUCUUUGAUUUUAUUUUUUUAAUAUAUUAAAUAUCUAUAUGCGAGAAAAGAAAAUUUUGGGGACCAUUGCAAAAUUAAACUAACCGAAAAAAAAUUCAAAAUUUCUCUAAUUUACAAUCCUAUUAUCUUAAUAUCUAGAAGUUGAGAAGAGAGUGCCUAUUUGAUUGGUAUAAGAUUUCGAAAUUUUUUUUUUUUAGUCGAUAGAAUCCAAAAUGUUAGUUCAAAAUUAGGGAAAAAAAUAAAAGUCAUUUUUUUUCCACUAGUUAAAACUGUAUCCAAGUCAAAUUAAGAUACGACCCUUUUUAAAAAGAUUUAACCAUCUUACAGCCUCCUUAAGGUACAUUUAAGCUAAAAGGAGUAAUUUGAGGCAGAACUAGGUGGUCCAAUCAGUCCAUUUUAUUAGUGUCUGUUGCUUAAAAAAUUUAUACUCUAAAACACACUUUUUUGGAAAAAAAAAUAUAAUUACAUUGAAGUAGAAUCAGGUGGGCCAAUCCUCAUGGCACUCACUUUAUUUUGACACUCUUCACUAAAUUUGAAGAAAAAUAAAAUUAUACUCUUCACACUCUUAUUCAACAUUCCAAAAUUGAUAAAAUCUGGAGUUUUCUUUAAAAAUUUAAAAUUUGAAGACUUGUUCUCUUGACACCCUCAGUCAUUAAUUUUACCUAAUUAUGGUUUUUAUGAUUUUGGUUGUUUUGUUCAUAAAAAUGAUUUUACUAAAGGAUGCUCUGGUAAUAAUAAAAUUUAUAAAAAAAAAUGGGUGUGCUGGUAUGAUUGGAAAAAUAUGAGUGCAUAACUCCAAACAAAUAAAAGAUAUAUAAAAUAAAUGGAGGAUUCUUACCUUUUUAUGCUUGAGUACGCGGCGGAUUUCCUUAGGAUCCCACAACCUGCUGCGUUUGCCAGGCUCUUUCUCAGAUUCUUGGCGAACAAUCUGUCGCCCCAUUUCUUGCAAUAAAUCAUGCAUUUGCAAGCAAUUACCUGAUAUUGAUAUGAGUGACUUAUCAAUAAGGACAUCCAGUCCAUCAGACUCAGAAUCAUCAAGAAUCCUUGCCACAAAAUCUUUAUCCUCUCCCUCAAAGAAACACGCAAUAUCUAGAAACAAACUCUUCACCCUAGGAAUUAAUUCAUUAAAACUAAUCUUUAAUAUUUCAUAAAUAUUAUGAAUAUCAGAUUCACAAAUCCGAUUUAAGUCGUGCAAUACAUUUUCCCAAUGGCUUUUCCUCUUGAGGCACAGGGAGGAACCCAACACUUUAAGAACUAAGGGAUUGCCUUUGGCAUACUCUACAACCCUCCGUGAGUGCCAGUUGAGAUUUGUAGGACAAUGAUUUUCUUUAAAAGCGAAGUUACAAAAAUGCUCGAAAGCCUCUUCAAAUUCCAAUCCAUUAACCCUAUGUAUUUUCUUCUCCUCCCCUCUAAAUUUUUCGAGGACUCCUUUAUCCCUGGUGGUUACAACAAUUCUACUUCCUGGACCAAAUUGAUCAAGCUCUCCAAUCAGACCCUCUAAUUGUCCAACUUCAUUCACAUCAUCGAGUACUAUCAACACCUUCAUACGCCAGACCCUCUCUUUAGUAAAAUGUGGAAUAUUGGCACCAGCUACUUCAAGUUUUUCGCUUAAUAUUGUGGAAAGCAUUUCCUUUUGGAGAUGUUCUAAUCCACCUCCUGUUUCAGAAUUUCUCCUAACAUCUGACAUAAAGCAGCUACCAUCAAACUCACCAGUGAAUUGAUCGAAAAUAGCUUCAGCAAGGGUGGUUUUGCCUAUACCGCCCAUGCCCCAAAUUCCAACAAUUUGGACAGUAUCCGACAAAUCCAUACACAAAAAUGGUUUAAUCUGCUCAAUUCGUGAAUUUAAUCCAACUAGGCCAUUGGAUGAGUCCGUUGCGACUGUUAUUUUUUCCAAAUUCUUCAAAACAUCUUCGACAAUUUUGUUUACAAGUUCCGCAUCGUGCCUAAUAUAAAGGUGCAAAGAUGCAAAAACAUUGAGUCAAAUCGGGCCAAGACAGAAACAGAGAUAAGAUGAAUUAGGAAAGAGAGUUACCUGAAUUUCGUGGAUUCGUGGCCAGCAAGACCGGAUGUUUCUCUCAGUGCAUCCCUCCACCUCUGAACCAUUUCUGGCUUCUCUUCGAAGUGUUGUUUCAGCUGAUCAAAACCGUGCUUAAAAAUUCCAGUUUGAUGCCGCACAUCGGAUGGACUUACUCCAUAGAAAACCGGAAUAAUGAUUUGGCGGUUUGUGUGCUUGCAUUCAAGAAUCUUGACAAGUUCAUUCAGGCACCAUUUUGAAGAACCGUAGUCCUUUGAGAAAAUGACCACCGAAAUUUUUGAACCUUGGAUUGCGUUCAAAAGGGCAUCUGAAAUCUCAUCUCCUCGCCUAAGCUUUUCAUCAUCCAUAAAUGUUUUGAUUUUCUUUUUGUCAUACAAAUCAUCAUAGAGAUGGCAAGUAAAGAUCCUACGAGUGUCCUCCCCUCUAAAAUUGAGGAAGACUUCAUAAAUGCAAGAAGAAGAAGAAGAAGAAGAAGCAGCCAUGAAGGAAAUUUUAGAAAAUUGGUGACAGAAACAGAGAAUUAAUCUUGAGAGUUGAGAGAGGAGAUGUAAGAAUGAACAUGUGUGAAGAUUCUUGCAAGCACACAGAAAAUAAUUGAAUGGCUGGAGCUUUCUUAGUUUCCUGGAAAUUUCCUGGAGCUUUCAUAUACAUGAUUUGUCAAGUCAAGAAACAUAAUCAUGAUAAUGGGGCAGACCAGGAAGAAAAGAAAACUUGAUUCAACCAAUAAAGGAAGGAAAAGCAAAGAAAGAAAAUUUGAAAGUAGAUUCAGAGAAUUAUAAAAAGCUAAAGGAAAUUGGAAUUUUGUACAAUUUCUCCAGCGAAAAUUAAGCAUAGAAUAAUCCUAAAAUUUAAACUCUAAUAUCUUAUAAUGUAUUGAUUAAAAAUAAUCCUAAGAGUUCCCAAUUGAAACUUUCAUAAGUAUUUUAAUUGUUUUGGAUAAACAAAUUGUACUAGGAUAAAAAUUUGGCAAAUUCAGAGGAUAAUGGAAAAUAGUUAUGCUUCAAUAGGCCAAAGAUUAGAGAACAAACAAGAAUUAGUUAUUGAUACACAAAAGAGAAACACUCCAAAAUUUCAAGCAAAAAUAGUUUCAUAUACCAUUUCGAUUUUGGAAGGGGUGAGGUUUUGAACUUCAAUAGUUUCCUCUAAAAUUAAAAGGCAGCAAUUAAACUAGAAAGAGCAAUGAAGACUUAUUGGUACUUUAUUGAAGGUAAACAUUAUGAAACUUUCAAUGUCAUUACCUCAUUGUUCAAUUUUUAUUGAGAUUUGUGUAAGCAUUUAGCUAAAUCUUACCUCCGCCUUUAAAUUCAUUAGUUUUGAUUAAUUAUGAGACCUGGGAGAUAUUAUAAUCGAACUAAAACUUAAAAUUUCAAUAUCAUUAUUCUUUAAAAAGAAAUUGAGAUUUCAGAGUAAUAUCACAUAGAAAAACUUGCCCACGGACGGUAAGCCAAAAGUCUAGUCAACCACACGCAUAAAGCUAACUAGAACAAGAGAACAGAGAAACGCGUGGGUCCCUAAAAGAAAAGGCGUGGGUCCCAAAAGUCUAGUCAACCAUACCGAUGAAAAUCACUGAUUAAGAAUAAUAUAUUAUGUGGUUGAAGAUUUCUUUUUAUCAAUCUUCUUUCUACCCAUUAAUUUUCCCACGACUUUCCGGUUUCAUUUCUUGAAUCUCCAUGGAUUAACUUUCAAUAAACCAUAAAAUAAACUAAGGAAUCAUUUUCUCGAACACAGCUAUGAUUUUAAUAAAUGGGCGGACCAUCUAGAAUAGUAUAUAUAAUUCUGUUUAAUUAAUAAGUUGAAAAAACCAUAAAGAGAAAUUCUAAUAUUAUGAGCUUGACACGAAUUCUUCACUAAUUCCAAAACAAGGAGCUGUUUUAUAAGAACUGUGGUUGGAUUAUUAAGUUUUACAAUUUGAAUAUAAAUAAGAAAAUAAAAUCAGUCGCGUCGAUGUUUUCGAUACAUUUCGAUGCUAACUUAAUUAAUUACUUUACUUCAACUUUAUUUCCUGACGGACACUAUAUGGUGGGUCCAAGAUGGGACCUACAAUAAUCAAUCCUAGAAUUUAGUAUGGUUACCAAAUAGCUAGUGUUAUUUUGUGUUUGGUGGAAGAGAUUGAAUAUUUAGUUUUAACAUAACCAUUCAACUAAUUAGAAAAUAAAUAAAGUUAAAUGAAAUGUUUAGAUAUCAAUUUAAAUAUUAAUAUCCGGGAUAUAAAUUAGUUAUAAUAUAGUUCAUUACAUAAAAUUGAUUAAAUUAAUAAUUACACAUGAACAUAGAUGUAUAUGCUUUCCAAUUUCCAAAGUGCUCAAAGCACUUUUCUCACCAAACUUUCCUCUGAAUUUCCCGUAGCUGACUCCAUUGUUUGCGUUUUGUGAAAUUUCUAGGAACUUUUUCUAUUUAGAAUAUUGUACAUUUUUCUUUUCAGCUGAGAUUAAUUUAACUUAUAGAAAAUCUUAUCCUUUUUUUAAUAUUAUUUAAAUAAAAUUUGUCUAUCUUUCAUUUUAUCAGUCUACUUUUUACCCAUUAAUUAAGACUUUUCGAUUUCUUUUUUUCCUGAGGUUUUCAGUGACUAUCUUUCAAUAAACCAUAAAAAUUAAUGAGUCAUUUAUCGAACAAUUAGAUGACCAUAUUUCAAAAUAUCAACUAGAAGUUGCCCUGAAAUAUUUAAUUAAUAGUUGAAGAAUUGUGAUUAGUGUGGGCAUCUACAUAAAAAUUAUAUUAAAACACCGCUAAAAGAUAAAAAUAAAAUAAAAUAGUACAAACAUACACCCAUAGGUUAAAACAAAGAAAAAACACGAACCAAUACACUAAAAUGUUUUAGCUGUAGUUAGUUUUCAGUUUCAUUACUUAAGUCCCACGUGCAUGUCACGUGACUGAGGUCAAAAAAUGAUUGUCAGAUUAAAGUUCAAAGUACGGAGCAGGGUAAUUAAGGAGUGGAGCUAUUGGCACCCCUCCAUUAUUCUUACAAAACCCCACUUUAAAUCAAAUUAUAAUUAAGAAUAAUUGAAAAUUAAACACUUAUAGAUUUCUUUACAACAUGUUUAGUGAUAAAAAAGCACCAGUCGGGCAUGUCCCCAUUUCUUACCCGGGGCCGAAUCUCCUCGGCCGAAUGGUAUGAGUAGACUCUUGGUGAUGUGUUCUAUGUGGAGCACGUAAAACAGACCAGGAACUAGUACCAACCAGAAACGAGUACUGAUCAGAAACAAGCAUGACCAGAAACGCAUACCGACUAGAGACUUGUGGGUCCCUAAAAGAAAAGGCAAGCACAUAAACGAAAAAGCCAUUACAUUUCUAUUUUACAUGUCAUUCCUAAUUUUUGUAACACGGUGUGGCAGCAUAUGCACAAUCAAAUGAGGCAAAAGGGAUUCGACUAUCGUGGCAGAACAUGGACGAGGAUGCGUGAUGAAUAAUUCCUUCGAUAAAACGAAAAACAAAUGCAGAGAAAAGAAUUUCUUAUAUGACAAGAAAUUAAAGUAAUGUGACGGAACAUGAUGAAGAAAUUGCAGAUCGAUCAAUUAUCCCCAUGGACUCCUAUAAAUUCAACCAAAAUAACAAUUCCAAUAUUACCAAAUUCUUGAGUUAAAUUUAUUCAAUGCUUUUUUUUUUUAGAGAAAUUUUUUCCAAUGCUACUUUCCCUUUUUUGGGGAAAUUAGAACUGCGGCAUGUAUAGAAGACAUUGAGGUAUAAAGCAACAUUAAUUUCAUGGGUUAUGCGUUAUACGCAUAAUAUAUUGUCAGUCCAAAUUCAACUAUACAAAGAGGCUUGAGAACUUAAAAUUAAGCACAAACUAAACAGACGAAGUAAAUACAUGAUUAUGCAACAUAACAUUAAUUCUCUUAAUUUAUAACUGUUUUUGCCACAUGAAUCUUGCACAGUUAAUCCUAAUUGAAGACUAAAAAAGAACAAUUGGAACAAGGUUUUGAAAUAGAAUGAUAUACAAUCGAUAUGAUCCAUUUCCAGUCGUCAACGCUAAUUAACUGCAGUUUCUAGACUCCUAAUUAUACUAGCCAUAAGAAACUGUUUAGAAAACUGGUGAUCAGAUUAGAUUUUGAAAAGAAAUAAUUUUCAUUUUCCCUUCGCUACCUUUUUUUUUUAAUUAUUUUUAUACCAAAGAAUUCUAUCAUGAAAAGAAUCAAUUUAAUCACCUUUUCCAGCAGCACAAUUUUUCUUUUAUAAAAUUUGACCACAGAGACAAAGAAGAAUUAUUCAUACCUUCAUCAGUAAGGAAAUACUUUUCAUUAUGGCUAGGGUGAGAAAAGGCUUUCCACAACACUUGUACUUUGUAUUCCUGUAAAUUUUCUUUAAAGUCAAUAAAAACCAUAAGUUCUUUACAAUAACCAUCUCUUUGAUAAAAAAGUGCCGUAUUCCUUUAGAAUUUAAAACCGGAAAAAUUGAAUCAGUGUCUUUGAAGAGACAUAAUGGUCGUAAUUCUUUAAAUGAGUUGGCUAUGGAAAUCCUUAUCCAAGAUUCUUUUACGCCAUAUUCUUUCGUAAACCAAAAUUCAUUUUGGAAUACUCUGUUGAGAAUGUCAAAUAAAACGGCAUUGAAGGAAGUUUUCAAAGGCAGAAUCCGCACUUGUCAAAGGGAUGAUCUGCACUUGUCAAAGACACGAUCCGCGUCGAAUGAAUCGACACAUUUCCUUUCGUAUUCGCAUAUGUAAUCUUUGAAAAAAUGUAGCUUCUGCAUCUAUAAAUAACGCUUAGUGUAUAAUGUUUUAUUCAAGAAAAGAAAACAAGUUUCUUCAUACUCGUCGUCCGAACAUACAGAGACCGUCUCUUAUAACUUCAGCCGAAUACUUAUGAUGAUGAUCAUUUGUGAUUUCAUCAGGCAAAGGGUUGAUGGUGAAAAAAUUUGUAUGUGUGAAGAAUUGAGCUGUGGAUAUAGGGGACUUAAGUGUAAUCGAAAGAGAGUUAUUAGGCCAUAGUGCAGAUUGCAUUCAGUUUAUGAGUCGAUAUGCAAAUAAUUUGUUGACGUGGCGAAAUUUGUUAUGGUCGUUACUAUUGUUUCUGGAAAUUUUCUAGAAACCUCAGCAUAAAAGGGGCUUUUGCAUAGCCUCUGGUGUGCGUGUGAUUUCUCUUUCGUUUCCUCAUCAAAUUCUGUAAUUCUUGCUUUGAUAAAAAGCUUGUAAUCUCUUCUGUAAUGUGUGAUCAGUGCGUAAUCAUUUUGAGCAAUAAGAGCUUGUGGGUUUUUCCUUCAAACAGUGUCGUUUUGGUCAGUUUGUUAGUUUGAUCUGUUGGUGGAAUUUUCUUUGGUUAUUUGUUCUCAAAUUUCAACCGUAUAUAAAGUUUGAACUCUAAUGGCUUAUAAUGUAUUGAUUAAGAAUAAUCCUAAGAGUUCCCGAUUGAAAUUUUUAAUGACUAUUUUUAUUGUUUUGGAUAUACAAAUUGCAUUAAGAAAAAAUAUUGUCAAAUUCAGAGGAUAACGGGAAAUAAUUAUGCUUCAAAAGGCCAGAGAUUAGAGAACAAAGAAGCAUUCAUUACUGAUAAACAAAAGAGAAACACUCCAAAAUUGCAAGCAAACUAGUUUCAUAUACUAUUUGGAUUUUGGAAGGGGUGAAGUUUUGAACUUCAGUUGUUCCUCUAAAAUCAAAAGCAUCAAUUAAGCGUUCUCAAUUAGAAAUAGCAAAGAAGACUUAUUGGUACCUUACUGAAGUUAACAUUGUGGCACGGUUGUUCAUAUGUAAUGGCUGCUCUGUUAUGCUAGCUUCUCUGUUUUUGCUUACAGUUUUGAACAUAAAUUCUUGCUCAAAUAACCCAUAAUUAAAUAACACUAAUAUGGCUCGUGAAGUCCCAUAAUAGCUAAUUACGCAACUUUCUCCUCCUCCUCAAUUAUGUCUUCCCCUGCUCGGACACUAACUUCAAAAUUCAAUGCCCCGAAAAACAACACAAGAAAUCUUUGAGUUAGUUCGUGACCAGUUUAUAUAUAGUAGCAAUUGAAAAAAGAAAAAGAAGAAAAAAGUUAAUUAUUAUUCAGACCUUCACUUAUUAGGAAGUUUGUUCUGCUAUUGGGUGAGAUCAAGCUCUCAGCAUAUACUUCCACAUGAUACUUUCUAACAUUUUCUUGAAAGCCAUCAAUCAUAAAAUCUUCAUACUUUUUUCCAUCCUUUGGAUCAAUAAGUACAAUUUUUUCAUCUAAAACAGACAAAAUAAAAUCACUGUCCUUCAUGGAACACAAUGGCUGCAAUGCCUGAACUGAAUUGGCUAAUGAAAUUUGAGUCCAGGAUUCUCUCAGCCCAUAUUCUUUCAUAAUCCAAAAUUCUUUUCUUUCUCGACAUGGAACAUAGUCUUCUUUUCUUUCUCGACACAUGUCUCUGUACUUUUCUCUCUCUACUGAUCCACACUUUUUCAUACUUCUAACUAUCAUUUUGUUUUUUUUUUUUUUUGAGUUGUGAUUUAUUCAAUUAUUUUGUAUUUUUAAUGACAAUUGUUUAAUAUUUAGUUAGUUUUGAUAUUGAUUAGUGAUUGAAAGUGUAUUUUAGAAGACUUCCGGUCUCUUGAAAAAAGGAAAAAUGGAGAAGAAGAAGAAGUGUUCUUGAUUUUUUUGUAGGCAUUAAAGUUAAACGGUUUGAAAUGAUAUUUUGUUUUUAUUUCACUCAUUAAUCUCAUUCAGGAUAAAAUUAUAAAUGCAAAUAAAUGGGGUUUCAUAAGUAUUUUUAAUAGUGUUAAAAGGUCUACUCACUAAAUAAACAUGUUUUACCCAAACCAAUCCGAUUAAUAAGUUAUUAGGUUGGGUUGAUCAGGUUAAAAAUCAAAAUUAAAAAUUAAAUAAAUAAAAGGCAUAAAAACUAUCUGUUACUUGAAAAUAAAAAGAAUUUCUAAUAGUUAGUUCUAAUGUCCCAUAUCCAAAACAUGCAUAUUGUGAGGUUUGCUGGUGAAUCAAACUCAUCAGAACCAAAUGAUGACGUUUUGGCAAUUGAAGGAGCACUUAAAAGACACGUGAAACGCACGUCUGUUGUCACUUAAGAUUAAAGCUUGAAACGGCAGUUCAACCAUGUCGUUUAAAGGAAGCUUAGAAGUGAUGCACGUGACAGAUGUGUGAAGCAGCUCAUCUCAGUUCGUUAAGUUUGUUAUGCUACGUGUAAGCAAUCAGUUCGAUCUGGGUUUAGCUGGUUAGUUGCUCUGUUAGUUAUAAGAGCAGGCUGAUGAAACGAUUUGGGUUAAGCUUGUGAAUUCAUAUCAGAGAGAGAGAGAUUUCAGUGAAAGGGUUAAGAGUUCUCUGAAAUCUUGUAAACCAUUCUCUGUAAGAAAGAUCCUCCAUUGUUGAAUAAUAAAAGCUCUGCAGAAAACUUUUCCUGUGGAUGUAGAUUGUACCAAUUUGGUACAACUGAACCACGUAAUUGAUUCUUGUGUUGUCUGUGAUUUGUUUGUUUCUUGAUUCUCUAUUCUUUCUAGUUCUUGGGUACAUUGUUUUCACUUGGCUAGAUUCAUUCCUCAAUCUGUGCAUCUUGUAUAGUUCUUUAUCAAAGGUCCUGGGAAGUGUUUUAUUUGUCUUGCAUGUUAUAUAGCAAAUUAAAACACUACACAUAUUAAAUAAUAUAUUAUAAGUUAGAAAUACAAUAUCUAAAGAAAGAAUUAAUGAAAUAACAUAUUCUUGUUGAGAAUUAAGAGUGUGAUUUUAAUUUUGAUAUUGGAGUCUAAAGCAAUAGAUAGUACAAUGAAAUCAUGAAUGCUACGUUUAAAUAAUCUCUUUUAUAAAAUAAUAAAAAGAGGUUAAAAAUUAGGUUAACAUUUAGGGUUUAGCAGUUAAGGAUGAAUAUAUUAUUAUUGUUGUUGUUGUUAUUAUUAUAAUAAUAAUUAUUAUAAUAAUAAUUAUUAUUUAUAUGUUAAUUAAUUCAAUCCAACUUAAUUAUUAAUGAAUUUGAAAAAAUUGACCCAAUUAAUCCACAAUAAUUCAUUCAACUCGUCUAAAUUAGAUUAAGUUGAACUUAAUUUGCUACCCCACAUUGAGCAACAAACCUCAACGUCAUUCUACGAGCUCUUUGAUUGUUUAUAAAAUUGAUUUAGAGUACAUAAAGUGUAUCGACAAUGAAAGUGCAAAACAAAUUAUUGUACAUAUUAAAAUGUGCAAAAACAAUGAAUUAUAUGUACAAACGAGUGCAAACACAUUUUUCAAUAAGAAGUUGGAAGAUAUUUAUGCAUGAAAAAGCCUACGUUUGUAGUUAUUCUAAAUUUUAAAAACAAAAUUUACAUUUAGAUUCCUAAAAUUUACAUAUAAGUAUAAAAGUUUCAAAUAUUGUCUAUUAUUUUUUUAACAUGCCUAUUCCUUGUGGAUAAUUUUGUCUCAUCACUAAUGUUGUUUCUUGCUUACAAAAACCAAAAGCCACCUCCUUUUUGCAAUUUUUAUAGCGUCUCAAAAUAGACAAUAGGGGGAUUUUGAAUUUUUUAAGUCUCAAUAUAGUCUCUAAUCUUGUGAGAAAUAUUUUCUUUCAAUAAUUUGGAGGUAAACAUAACAUAACUUUUUGGACUAAAGCCUAACUCUGCUAAUAAGUAAUUGGUGGUAUCCUUUUCAAGACUUGAGUCUUUAGAUUCGAGUUUUAUAUAGUGUGCAUGUGUAUUUAAUUAAUAUUUUUUUUCAAAAAAAAUUACAUCAAAUACUAAUAUUCAUGACAUAAUUUAGUUCAUAAUUUUUUUAAAUACAUCGAAAAAUAUAAUUUUUUAACAACUUAAAGGCAUGACAAAUUUCAAGAUAUAAAUAUCAGUCAAAAUAAGUGAAAGAAAUAAUGGUGUCAAUUCUAAUUUCUUAACUAAAUUAAUUACUGCAUGAGCCCCGAAUAUGACACGAGAGUUUGAUGGGCUAACUUGGCACAAGAACGUGAAUAGUUAACUCAUUUAAGAAAUAAUUCAACAAAAAAUAUAAUUGAUAAGAAUGCAAUAUUGAAAUGAAUUUUUUACGAAACAUUGAAUUAAUGAUUAUUAAGCAAGAACAAUAAAAAAAUAAAAUAAAAAUAAAGAUUAACCAUUGAUAAGCUUCAACAAGAACUUAACACAACCCUCAAUCCUAAUUCAAAUUAUAAAUGUCAUUCAUAUAUUCAUUAUAAAUCAAUAACAAAGGUUAUAAAUGUUUAGAAAUUCUAGAGGGAAGGAAGCUAUCGCCGGGGAAUCAACAACUAAAAUUGAUGUAAUUGUGGCACGAGAUGGAAUAUGGAAACUACACCAUAAUUUUAAAUGCCGCCAUAGACAUUGACUUAUCUACAAUAACAAUGAUCUAAUUAAAAUAAAAAUAGAGUUUAUGGGCAUUUAUUAUUUUGACAUUCCUCAUUUGCAAAUAGGGAUACAAUUAUAAUUUAUUUAGUCAAAGCAAACAGUAAUUUUCUUCAUUAUAGGAGUGAAGUAAAAACAUUUAGAUUUUAAUGUAUGUAAGGAAAAAUUUAUCUUUAAAAAUACUUUCUUAAUGUGUGUAUGCAUAUUGAAAUACUCAAACCAAUUUUGGUUAUAUAUAAUUAAACAAAUUUUAAAAUAUGAAAAAUAUAAUGUAGUUAUAGUGGAUAAACAAUAAGUGAGCACAAUAUAAUUAAUCAAAUAUUGUGCUAUCAAAAGUUAAUUUUAGAAAUUCCAAAUCCAAUAGCUAACACAAUUCUUUAAAGAAAAAAAAAAGGUUGACACAAUUAAUAAAAUUAGCGACAUGAAUUUCACGCCAUUGAUAAUCAGCAAUUAGUAUUACUUUCUAAACUUGCUUCAACUGGUCGUUGAUGUCCGGGUCACCAAAAGUAUAAGCGAUAAUAAGGGGCAUUGGGCAAGAGUGAUGAAUGUUUAGUGGGUGCAUUUGAUUGAUAGAUAUAUAAAGGGCCGAAACUUGAGAUUAUAUUACUUUUACAAAUUUUAAUCCAAUCACAUAUUUAAUGAAAACAAAAUGAGUUAGGAUACUUUAUUUAAAAUACACAUUUUAAUAAGGCUUCAUUUAAUUAAAUAAAAUUAUAAAAGUAAAAUAUAUUUUAGAUAUUUUAAUAUUUAAGAAAAAAUUUUCAAUCUUUACUUUCAGAAGCUCAAAUUUUUAAUUUUUAGUUGUAGAGACAAAAUAUCUUAUUUAAUGUUUAAAAGUUCUGCUAAAAACAAUCAAAUAACUACAAAAAUUUUAAUAAGAGCAUAUAAAAUUAAAUAAGCAUUUAUUAAUAAUCACUUUAGUGUACUUAUCUAAUAACAAUAAGUGUUUAUUUAAUCUAAUAAGUUUUUAUUUAAUCUAAUGAGCUCUUUUUAAUUUUUUUUUAGUAGAGCUUUUGAAAAUUAAAUAAACUAUUUUGUCUCUAUUAAGAAAAACUUAAAAUUUAGGUUUUUGUAAGUAAAUGUUUAAAUUUUUUUUAAAAAUAUUAAAAUAUUAAAAUAUCUUUUCUUUAUUUCAUAAUCUUAUUUCAUUCUUCACAACAUAACUUUAAAUAACUUACCUAUUAAAAUAAUUUCACAAUUUCUAAUAAAAACUCCGAUUAACAAUCAAGCAAUAAUUUUUUUUUUUUUUUUGUAAAAAUUCUAUUUGUAAAAACUCUAAUAAUAAAAAUUCUACUUAAAUAAAUUUUAUUUGAAAAGGUAUACUAAACGAACCUAAGAUAAAAACAAAAAUUUUUAGAUCCAGACAAUUAAGCUUAAAACAAUUUCAAAUGAAUUUUAGACUAAUCAAAGUACAAUACGUACCAAGUUUGGUAAUUUAUUGACAUCUUCUUAUAUACCUUCGAUCAAGUCGAUUCUCACUUGACGACUAAUUGGUAGUUUGGUACAUCACCGUUGUUCCCUAUACUCGCAUGCAUCCGAUCACAAAUCUCACUCCAAUUGUUGUCUUUCUUCGGCGUUUUAGCGCAUCCUUCUUGAAUUUCUCGCAUUUCGUUCCCUUACAAGUCUCCGGUCAGGUCAGUUCACUUGACGAUUAAUUCGGCAAAUCUUGAAUCUCUUCUCUAUCCCUCUCGUUUUCUCGUGUCUCCUUUCAGUUAAAGCGAUUGAAUCAAUUUUAUCGCAGUCUAAGAGAAAUUAAGUAAUGCUCUUGGAUUUAAAAUUUUUUUGCUUUCGACUUUAGAUCUCGAAAGUCAAACUCUUCUACGAAUCCAUAGAUUCUCAAUGUUUAUAAUCUUAUUUGUGUUUGACCAGGUAACUGGAUCGUGAAAUUCGUCGUUUUGUAUCAAUUCAAGCUUUCGCGAGCUCAUGGAAUCACCUGGUGAGUUGUGGUGAAACGUUACCGUUUCAAUUUUCGCUUAAUUCUUUAUUGCAUAUUUUUUUCUCUAAUAUUUCAGUUUAAUUAGAAAAGAAAGAGGACCCAAAAAGAGAGAGAGAGAGAGAGACUCUACCAUACUCAAUUCCUUGCUCAUUCUGAUUUGGCCUGAAUGUUGGCAUUGACUAUUAUUUGUUUUCAUUUCGAUUUAAUUCUCAUUUAGACAGUCUUUACUAACGGUCAAUAAUAGUUUAAGGAAAAUGAUAAUAGGGAUUCUGCAAUAAUCUUUCUGCAUUGUUCAAGUUAGUAGACAAUGAAUAGGAUGUUUACGUUUACCUCAUUUUGAACCCCGAGGGCUUAGUUGAGUAGUUGAUUGAUUCAAUCUUGCAAUGUGUUCCCACAAGGUUUUGAGUUUGAUUCCUAAUUAUGUGGACCUUAGUUUCGAAUUUGAGUUUGUUAGGUGGGUUGAUGGGGUUUUUGGGUAUUAAAAAGGGAGAAGAAAAAAGUUGCUUGCUUCAUUUUGUACAAACCUGUUGACUUUUUAUUUUUUUCUUUUUAUUUUUGUACUAUUUUGUUUUACAGUUGGUGGUUCAAGACAGACAUCUGUUAUUGUUGUAACUUUGGAUACUGGUGAAGUAUAUAUUGUAACCAGCUUGUAUUCUAGGACUGACACUCAAGUGAUAUAUAUUGAUCCAACUACUGGUGCACUUCGCUACCAUGGGAAAUGGGGCUAUGAUGUUUUUGGAUCUGAAAAUGAAGCAGUAGAUUACAUAACAAAUGGAUCACGAUGGAUGUGCAAGAGUACAACUUUUGCCAAGGCGAUAUUGGGUUAUACUGCCCUGGGAAGCUUUGGGCUGCUUCUUGUUGCCACAAGGUUAACUGCCAGCAUUCCAAAUCUUCCUGGUGGAGGAACUGUAUGCACGGUUACAGAGAGCCAAUGGAUCAAAAUUCCACUUCAAAAUCCUCAACCCCAGGGUAAAGGAGAAGUAAAGAAUGUUCAAGAGUUGCCUGAUCUUGACAUUGAUGGGAAGCACUACUUUUGUGAGACAAGAGAUAUCACUCGACCUUUCCCCAGCCGCAUGCCUUUGCAAAAUCCUGACGAGGAAUUUGUUUGGAAUGAAUGGCUUUCGAUGCCUUUUAAAAGCAUUGGUUUACCUCAGCAUUGUGUCAUUCUUCUGCAGGUUUUGCUUCAUACUCGGUAUCUUCAAAAUUUAUGCUCAUUAAACUUCUUUCAUUCCCCACCCUCUCACUAUCCCUCCACCUAAUUUUGUUUCCAAAAGUUUGUUUGAUAGUCUAUUGCCACUAUAUGUAAAUGUAUCAUUUCCAUUCUGAGCAUGAUAUUUUAUUCAUCAUCACUUGUUAUUCUAAUCUUUAGAUGAAAGAAUAUUUCGUAUUAACAUUUUUCAUGGGCCAGUACCUAUUUUAUGGUCCAUUGUAGAUACUAAAAUGACCAACUUUAUUUCUUGGUCAUAAAAAGUUGCGACAGAAAUUUUAAACAUGUGAAUAUUUAAAUCUGAUAAUUCAUUAAAGAUUUCAACCUAAUAGAUUGAAAACUUAGAUUCAUUCCAUGAAUGAAAGAUAAUAAAGCAUCAGCCGAUGGAAUAUGGGAAAUAGAAACACUUUCCCUUCUAUUAAGAAGAGCCUGCUUCAGAUGAUCCUCAUUUUCUUCAUCCACAGGCCAACCUAGAACAUACCACACCAAGGUAAGAAAGAAAAGGGGUAGCAGGAUUGCCUAGUUUGACAAUUAGCAAAGCCCCAAAUGUUCCUCUUUUACUUUUCUUUUAGAAAGGUAGACAUGUUUGACAGAUUUGGGACAUUGCAUCAUCCCUUUCUGCUGCACAUGGUUGCAAUGUUUUACUUCUCACGUGAAAGCCUAGAAAUCCCAAUCCAAUAAUAAAAGGCCAUUUUAGAGUCAAUGUACAAAAACUUCCUUCCUUGUCUCUAUAUCCUCUUUUACAAUCCAUUCUUAGUUGAAUUGAGAUUAUGCUACAGCUGCUUCUUCAAGUUAACAUUGUUAUGCAAUUCAAUGGUGAUUUACGUGUGUACUUGUCCUAAGCAUGUGAUUUGAAAAUAAUAUGUUAAUAUUGUUUUCACUGGAUAUUAAUGUAUAGGGAUUUGCAGAAUGUCGAAAUUUUGGAAGAUCAGGUCAGCUAGAAGGGGUUGUUGCUCUUAUAGCUCGUCGUAGUAGGCUGCAUCCUGGUACUCGAUACUUGGCUAGGGGGAUUAAUUCUUGUUUUAGUACAGGUAAGAUAAUCUUUAACAUCUCCAGACCUGGAAAUUACAUUUUUGUUGUUGAGAUUCACUUGGUUCUUCUAUACAAUCAAAAAAAUUAAGGAUUUAGUUUUUUUUUUUUUUAAACGGAAUUUUCUUUUCCUUUCAGUACUCUUUGCAUUCUGUGUAUGCUGUUUAUUCUGAUUGUCAUUGAUCUCAUGCCUUUACAAGGAAACAGGUAAUAGUUUCAGUGGUAAAUUCAAGUGGAAUUGGUUUUGAUUCUGUUGUUUAGAAAGAUGGAUUGUAGAACUACAGAACAUUAAUCGUGCCACCUCAUGGCUCAUGCAUGCUUUUGGAGUAUUCUUUACCUGUAGAAUUUUUGUUUUUGUAGUUGACUUGGAAUAUAACUUUACCAUUUUUUUCAAAUAAUAAGAAUCAAUGAGUCUCAUCAAUAUUAAUCAAUAAUGAGCUAAAGAUAUAUAACUUGUGUCUCAGAACUAUAUAUGAUAUGCUUGUGAAGGUGUAUUAUUUUAAGUAGAGAUACCAAAUGCUACAGGGAGAAGCAAAAAAGAACAUUCUCCAGUGAAAACCUUCUGACAGAUUACAUUUUUGGGAUAAAAAAGAAACAUUGAGAUCAUCAGCCACACUUUUUCUUCUUGUACUGUUUAAUUAGUUUAGAGGCCUUUUAGUUGGUUUUGCUUGCCUGGAGGUGUCAUACAGUUCACUUUUUGAAUACCCUGGUUUUCUACAGAUUAGAACUUGGUUUCCUUUCACUCCACAGCUUUUGCUUUCCUACAUCACGUCCUUUGGGAUAAUUGAAUAAUGAAUGAAUGAAAACAAUCAAAUAAUUUCUGACAAUUAGUUAAUAACUUUUAUUUUGUAUGACCCUUUUGAUAUGUGUGGUCCUUUAAUUUACGGUUGAAAUAUAAAUAUGAAAAAAGUCUGCCAAUUAGUUUUACAAAUGACUUUUGUGCCAUAGAAUAUAUAUAUUUUUUUUUUGCCGAAAAACAAAACAAAUUCAUAAACAACAUUGUAUUUCACCAAUUAACAGUGCAAGUGUCAUUAUAGUUUCCACAUAUUAGUUCUGUUUUCGUUAGUUUCAUUUUCAUUCUGUUAUGUAACUGAUGUUUCAUUGCUAUAAAAUUAAUUGUCUGUUUCUCUUCACAACUGUUAUUUUGAAUGAUUUUUUCUGAAUUUUAUAAAGAAUUUGUAUAUGACAGGAAAUGAAGCAGAGUGCGAGCAACUUGUAUGGAUUCCUAAAAGGUCUGGUCAGAGUGUUCCUUUCAAUGCAUACAUCUGGCGGCGAGGGACUAUUCCAAUAUGGUGGGGUGCAGAAUUAAAGCUUACUGCUGCUGAAGCAGAAAUUUAUGUUGCAGAUCGGGAUCCUUAUAAAGGAAGUCUGAAGUAUUAUCAGAGGUUGAGUAAUCGAUAUGAUGCUCGAAACUUUGACUUAGCUGUUGGGGAAAAUCAGAAGAAAAAGCCUUUUAUUCCAAUUGUAUGCAUUAACUUGCUUAGGAAUGCGGAAGGGAAAUCAGAAUCUAUUUUAGUUCAGCAUUUUGAGGAAUCUUUGAACUAUGUCAGAUCAACUGGAAAACUUCCUUAUACUCGAAUAAUUUUAAUAAAUUAUGACUGGCAUGCCAGUACAAAAUUAAAAGGUGAACAACUUACAAUUGAAGGAUUAUGGAAGCAUCUAAAAGCACCCACUCAGGCCGUAGGCAUUUCUGAAGGGGACUAUUUGCCAUCACGGCAACGACUUAAUGAUUGCCGAGGUGAAGUCAUCUGCAAUGGUGACUUUGUGGGUGCCUUUUGCUUAAGAUCCCAUCAGAAUGGAGUGAUACGCUUUAACUGUGCAGACUCUCUUGAUCGGACCAAUGCUGCUAGUUAUUUUGGUGCUCUGCAAGUAUUUGUGGAGCAAUGUAGGCGGCUUGGGUUCUCCCUUGACAGUGAUUUUGCAUAUGGCUAUCAGUCAGCUAAUAACUAUGGUGGAUAUACUGCUCCUUUGCCACGAGGAUGGGAGAAACGAGCUGAUGCAGUGACAGGAAAAACAUAUUAUAUCGAUCACAACACUAGGACCACAACAUGGAUUCAUCCAUGCCCAGACAAACCUUGGAAGAGAUUUGAUAUGACAUUUGAGGAGUUCAAGCAAUCAACAAUUUUAUCACCAGUGUCUCAGCUAGCAGAUCUUUUUCUGCUUUCUGGUGAUAUCCAUGCAACCCUUUAUACUGGUUCAAAAGCAAUGCAUAGCCAAAUUCUUAAUAUAUUCAAUGAAGAACCAGGAAAGUUCAAACAAUUUUCUGCAGCACAAAAUAUGAAAAUUACCCUGCAGAGAAGAUACAAAAAUGCAGUUGUCGAUAGCUCUCGUCAGAAACAGCUGGAGAUGUUUCUUGGAUUGAGGCUUUUCAAGCAUCUUCCAUCUGUUUCAGUUCAACCUCUACAUGUAUGAUACUGUAGAACUUCAGAUUACCUAUUCAUACAAUCUGAGUUCAAUGAUUAUCAAUUUUCAUGAGGGAUGGAGACAAUAUUACACUAGCUACUUGUUUCUAACCUAAGCAUCCCUAACUUCUGCACAUAAAUAAAUGAUGCGCAAAGCAUACCAUAGCUAUAUCAAUGCCCAUUUCCUGUUUGAUGUUGACCAAUAAUGUUUGGAAGUUAGCUAUUGCAUGGUAAGAUGAUUUGAAGCUUCAUUUAAAGCUUCUAAGCCAGAGCUUCUAAGUCAUCUGGCUUAGAGAAUUUAAAUGUCCUCCAAAAGUCUGGAAUCACUGUUGCAUCUCAGCCUGAUUGAUAUUUGUUAUUGUUAACUUGGAAAUAUUUUGUUAAUCUUUCGGAUUGAACAACGUCGUGCUAUGAUCAUUAUUCAAGAAAUGACCUCAAGAACUUGUUGCAGUUGAGUGAUUUUUUGGUAAUGAUGAAAAUUAUUCAUGUUUAGGAACAGCUCUUUAGGGGAAAAGCAUAUAUGGGCUGGCUGGCCCUUUUUGGUGUAUUUGAUGAACCAUUUCAUAUCAUGCUGGUAACUGCAGGUUCUUUCUCGACCAUCUGGUUUCUUUCUCAAGCCAGUUCCCAACAUGUUCCCAAGUUCUGAUGGUGGAGCUAGUCUUCUAAGCUUCAAAAGAAAAGACAUGAUCUGGGUAUGGGUUGCAGCUAAACUUAGUCCUUUGUAGCAUUCCUAAUUCUCUGAUUGUCUUUUCUUUGUAGCAUUCUUAAUUCUCUGAUUGUCUUUUCUGUCCUUAAUGGAAUUCAUGCAUUUUUGGUUCUUUAGGUAUGUCCACAAGGCACAGAUGUGGUUGAACUUUUCAUCUACCUUGGUGAACCUUGUCAUGUCUGUCAGCUUCUUCUCACCAUAUCCCAUGGUGCAGAUGAUUCAACAUAUCCAGCAACAGUUGAUGUGAGAACAGGACGCCACUUAGAUGGGCUUAAACUGAUUUUGGAGGUUUGUAUUGGUUCUAUUGUACACCUUGCUUACAAAUUUUUUAUUUUUAAUUUUUAAUUUUGUAUGAUAUGCUCUUUGUUGGUAAAUUUCAUUUGACUUAGAAGAGAUAGUUUUAUCCCAACAGUGGGAUACAUCAUUGAGAUGCAUGGCAGAGUGAAUAUAGUAGACAAAAUCAUUGAGACCCAUGGUGGUGUGAACAUAGUAAACUUUGUCAAACACAGCUAAGAUGAGCAAAUUGUUUCAUUAGCCUUUAUCUUAUCUGCUGUGAUGAUUCAAAUUAAUGCUGUUUGGUAGGUUGCAAAAAAACGAAAUGAGCUGACUGUUCGUAUUAUUUAGUCAGAUCUCUAGCAAUAAGUUGAAGUUCAUUGUCACAUGGGUUGGGAGUAUCGUGGGCUGUGAGUAGUAGAAUGGAUUUAUGGAGUUGAUACAAGUGCCCACAAUCUCUCAUGUCAUUCUAGGAUUAAAUGGAUUGCACAUUACUGUAAAAAUGGAGGUUAAAUUUAUAUAAUUCGGAUUGAUUGUAAAAUGGAAGACAGAGAUGAGUUAGAAAAAGAAUGACCCGUGUCCUUUUUGAGCUGUUUCUAAAUGUCCCUGGUGUGCCUCAUGCUUAACACGUGCCUUUCCAAAUAAUUUUGCUUAACCUGUGCUUGUCUACUUCUUGUGCUAUUCUGUGCCUGGUCCUGAGCUGUAUUGGUAGAUUGACAUCCAGCUUGAACUUUUAGGUAUAUCUUUUGUACAUAAAUUCUGAAUACCCAUGGACUUAGCGUGAUAUAAAGUCAAGGAUCCAUUUAGCUGAGUCCUUCAAGUUUUGUUAGUAUGUCUUCGGAUUAUAAAUAUGUAACAAAAUGAGGUGUAGAAUACAUUUAAAAAGAAAAGGAUAAAAAAACAAAAGAAAUGAAAAGAGGUGUUUAGAAGUAAUAGCUAAACUAGAUACACUCUCACUAAUUAGCGAUUCUGAUGAACAGUGCCCAUAGCUUCUUUUAUACCUUGAAGUUGCAGAAAUUGAUUCUUGGUGAAUUAAGUCACUUACAGACAUAACUUUUUCUUCCAUCUAAUUUUUAUUAGGUUAGAUAGGAGAAGACUUGUUUCAGGGUGUCCUGACCCUAGUAUUAGUUUUCUUGUCAGAUUUUUCAUGAAAAUUUACAAUGCACGUGACAUACAACUUCUAGUAAUCCUAGGACUUUGUUCACAGGGUGCUUCUAUUCCUCGUUGUGGAAAUGGGACAAACCUUUUGAUACCUUUACCAGGAUCAGUUAGUGCUGAGGAUAUGGCUAUUACUGGAGCUGGUGCACGACUUCAUGAUCAAGAUGCACCAACCCUUCCACUGUUGUAUGAUUUUGAAGAAUUAGAGGGAGAAUUGGAUUUUCUUACUCGUUUUGUGGCAGUUACCUUUUAUCCUGCUAUUUCUGGAACAAGUUCCAUGACUCUUGGUGAGGUAGAAAAUAUUUUCAUAAAAUGUUAAUUGAUUUAUCUACGCACUUUAUUCUUAAAUUAGUAUUUUAGACCAUGAGCUUUGUGGAGUGGGUUUGCUGUAACUGCUGCUGGUGACAACAUAAUUGUUAAUAUUAUUACAGAUAGAGAUUCUUGGAGUUUCUCUUCCAUGGAGGGGGGUAUUCAAUAAUGAAGGCCCUGGUGCUAGAUUAAUUGAGCUUGGCAAAAAGUUUCAGAAGGAAACCGAUCCAUUUUUGUCAAAUUCAGUUACAAAUACGGUUCUGUUUUCCAAUGAAAAUGUGUCAACAUCAAUGCAAACAGAAGCUGCUUCCAAUCCUUGGGUUGACCUGUUGUCUGGAGGGGACACAUUUUCUGAUCCUCUUUCAGAGCCGUUUUCUAACCCUCUUUCUGAGCCGUUCUCUGAUCCUCUUUCUGAGUCGUUCUCUGAUCCUCUUUCUGAGCCAGUGACAAGAAAUGUUGCAUCUGGAGGGGCUGAUUUGCUUGAUUUCUUGGACCAGCCUAUAGUUGAAGAUCAUGGUGUGGAAACUUAUAAAAGAUCUUCAACACAGGAUGGCUGUUCUCUGGCUAGUGGUGCCCAGCAGUACAUAAGCUGUCUAAAAUCCCUUGCAGGGCCACGCGAGGUAUAGUACUGCUCUCUUGUGUUUUUUGCAGCUCUACAUCUUAGUAACCUCAUCUUUUUAAUGGAGUAAAUUCUAGAAGUUCAACAAAUUUUGCUUUGCUAAAUGUAUAACUUAUUAAUCAG